rnacentral:lncRNA from 1 species
UUCAUAGAAAGAGUGUAAAACAGCUUAGUGCUCGUGCUCAAUGGGACAUUGCAAGGAUGUUCCUCAUUUGCUAAGCUUCGGAGGCCGGCCAUGACUUGAACCGAUGCAUCUGUGUCAUUGUAUGCAGGAAGAUGAGGCAAGGAGGGAGGUGAAGAUGGAGUGUAGUAACCCCUAUACUGUACUAUAGCUGUGGUGGUUGUGUUAUCAUAGAAGUCUUGAUAUUUCGGGGCAACAGAAUAAGUUAUAGCCGCCAUGUAAUAGUGAUCCGGGCGUUGGUUAGCUUCUAGUAAGACAUCAUAGGUUUGGCCAGGAAAUAUUGUGAUAUAAUCUCGUGUCAAUGGUUUUGUGUAGCUACCAUCUGUUCCAACCACUGUCAUUUUAUGCUUGGCUAUGCCGAAGAAGAGAGCCUCGUGCAAGGCAGCAUUGAUUAUGCGAAGUAGAUAGGUCUUUCCACGAUCCACCGUUAGCUUGAAUGUGCCUGCAAUUAGAAAGGGAAAGUUGUAUACUUAUGACUAGCCAAAAGAAAAAGAAAAAGUUUCCAUUAGAAUCCACCAAUUAUGAAGUGAUUGAUUGAUUAAGGGUGUAAAUUUGGCUCCAUAGUUCAAAAUUAUAUUUGGACUAGCCUUUUUUGAUGUGUUAAAUCAUGGCUCUACCAUCCUCAUAUCUAUAUUCCUCUUUCUUAGCAUUAACCUUUAAAUAUGUUGAUGUUAAUAAGAAAAAGUAGUAUGGUUAACAUAUAAGAAAAUGAAAUCGUGUACAAUUUUAAAAUGGGAAGUUAAACUUUGUACCUGAUUUUGAGCAUGGAUAUAGAUCACCAGGUUGUCCAUUUAUCAAUAAAGCAUUAGAGGAGUUGGGGUCACCUCCGGUUGCAAGCCCUUGAUCUCGAACCUCAUUCACAUCCCUCUUCCACCACUCUCCUGCAUUUCAACAACUUCAAUAAUUUUAGAUUUUGCUUGGUUGGUUAAUUCAUAAUAUGUAAAUUAACCUUUAAAAGUAACAACACUUAUACCUAAUAUGAUGGGGACUUCUGCGUUAGGUUUGUGAAAAGGAUACUUGGUUCCAUUCUUGGGAUAGAUGAUUAUAGCUCCAUGAACAGUGGCUCGGGUCCAGUCACUGUGAGCAUGCCACCAUAGAGUGCCUUCCUCAGUGGAAAGGAUGAUCUUCUGGGUAAACUUUGACCCUGGCUGAAUUGGGCAUUGUGUGAUAUACUCGGGACCAUCUGUCCAUGGAUAUCUAGGCAUGGUCACCCCAUGCCUGCAAAACCAUAACUAUACGUUAAAGCUAGUACUAAUUUUCAAAGUAACAAAAGAUAGCAUGCAACAAGCAUCAAUUGUAUUUCAAUGGAACUGAAGCAAAUAACCCUAAAGUAUUGUUUUAAAUUUGACUUUAUUUUUAAAGCAAUAUAUUGCGGCUCCCUCUUAGAAAGAAAAGAAUGUAAGCCAUGUCUUUCUCUAAGAUACACACAGGACCUACCAGUGAAUGGUGAUGUUUUCUUUUCCCCUGUUAUAAACAUCGACAAUGAUCGUCUCUCCUUUCAUAGCAUAUAUAGUUGGUCCCGGAAAUUGUCCAUUUACUGUUAAGAUGUUCUUGGCGCUACAAAGCCUUGUAUAUGAAGCUUCCCUCACCUGCAACCAAUUAAAAGUUAACCAUGCAACCUCAUCCCAAAAGAAAUAUUACAAGUAUGAAUAGUUCCAUCGAUCUAUUCAUGUAAGUGUAUAACCAAUUAGAAAUUGAUGGCAUGCAUGAAUGACUCAACGGCACCCAUAACAUGCAUGAACAACUCAAUGACACUAAGGUAAGAGGUCAUACGGUAGAAAAUGAGAGCCAUACUACUAGCUAAAUAUCAUGAUUAGAAGGUGGCGUUUAGGCCAGAAUCAUAUAUAAUAUUUACCACAAAAGUAAGCCGACGGGUCGAAGCUUGGCAAUGGAUGCCACCACCAAAAACUAGAAACGCUAAAAUUUGCAAGAGGAAAACCUUCAUGAUCAGCCACAUUUUCCUUGGAAUAAAAGCCUCUUCUCUUGUCCUAAACACAACUCCUUCAAUUCUCUUACUACUUUUGAUAUAUUUCUUUCAUAUAUGAUUCAUUAUAUAGGCAUGGUAAUUCUCUCGGGAUACAAUACUUCCUCUCCACGUGUCAAUAUAAGAGGAAGUGAUUUGAAUGUGUAUUGGUUUUCAAUGUUCUUAUGAUAUUUCUUACAAGUUACCUACACGUUAUCUUAGAAUAAAUUUAAAAUAUUCUUUCACAAGUCCAACAAAUGUUAAUUAAUUAAAACUUUGACCUCCCGUAUGAGUACCCUUAUCAAGAUUAGUCAUGAAUACUGUUUUUUAUUGACAACUACUUUCAAGAAUUAUUUUAAAAUUAUUUUUAUAAACAUUAUUUAACCAACCCUUAUUAUUAAUUUUACUUGUUUUCGUGUUACUUAAGAUAAUUAAUAGUGCAGAACCCAUGACUUUGGUGGUUGGUGGCAAAGUUGUUUUCGUAUUGUUACUUAAUACAAUUAGUCAUGAUCAUUGUUUUCGUCUGAAUGGGACAAAGUUGGUAUUUCAGAAUUUUCCAUAAAAAGCACAAAAAUAUAUUUUGUAAAAAGUUGAAAAUAGGAUACGAACAACCCCUUGUAGCAUACUUUUUCUCAACAAAAAGAAAUUUAAUAAUAAUAAUAAAAAAUAAUUAUAGAUUUAAAAAAAAAAUAUUUUUCAAAACAAAUGCAAUCGAAAAUUUAUUUCUUCGAAUGGUAUGUAUAUCUUGAUUAAAUAAAUAAAUUAUGGAAAGACUUAUGUAUUUUUAACUUAUUUAUAAAUAGAAAAACUGAUGAAUAAAUUUUAAGAUGUGUAAAAAUUUGAUCAAGUUAAUUUAAACUUUUUUAUUUUUUCACUUUCUUUCUCCUAUUUUUUUCACUUGUCAAACCCAAGAGUCCACCACAUGAAUAACCUUAACUUACAAAUCCAAAAAGUAAUUAGUUGACAACUUUCUCAAAUUGAUUCAUAACAAUAAUUAGAGCAUAAAUAUAUAUAUAAAUUUCUAAUCCAAAACUAAUUAAAAAUAUCUAAAUAGUAAAUUCAAAGAUCAUCCCCAACACUUUGAAGAGUUUUAGAAAUCAAUACUAAAUUCAAUCUUAAUUUAAAACUCCUAAAUAAUUAAUUGCAAAGCAGAUUUCAAAUGAAACACCCUUCUUAUCUUAAUUUCCCCUCAUUAAUAUCACUUAUAUCUAAAAAAGGGAAAUAAUAGAGAAGAGUGAACUUAAAACUCAGUUGGGAAAAAUAGUUCAAUGAGGAGGAUCAAGUAUAGUAUAAAGCUAAAUCCUAGGGCAUAUCACAUCUUUAUAAAAAAUAAAAAAAUGAUAAGUAGGAGUUCAUUUAAUUCAAUAAUUAAAUUCACUUUCUUUAAAAUAUUAUGCACUAGAAGUUCAUUUAAUUCAAUAAUUAAAUUCACUUUCUUCAAAAAAUAUUCGAACUAGAGGCUUGAAUUGAACCUUGGCUACCACUUGGCUAAGUUGUUAUUUAUAAAGAUAUGUUUAAUUUAAAUAUCUUAAAAUUCACUAUUUUAAAAAAAAAUUCUAAUUAUUUUAUUUUAAAAUUUAUUUAAUUGAUUAAUAAAAAUAUAAAAACCAACAUAAUAAUUUUUCUUAAAAAGUCUUUUUUAUAUCAUUUAUAUGAUAAUUAAAUACAAAAAAUAUAAAUAUUAAAAAAUCAUAGAUGCAUCAUAAUUUAUUUUACAUUAUUAAACACAUUUAAAUUAAAUAGAUUAUAAUUAUAAUAUUAAAUGUAUUAUCAUUUAUCUCAUUAAUUCUAUUUUUUUUAAAAUAACUAUCACUUCACUUUUAAAUUUUUUAUAUUUAUCCUUUUAAUUUUGCAUGUCUUUAUUUUAAAAUAUUAAAAAUAUAAAUUUAUUCAAAAAAUACUAAAAUAUAAAAAAAAAUUGAUAAUGAAGUUCUAAUACUUUAUAAAUUAAAAUUAAUUUGAUAAGAUAAAUAAUAAAUCAUAUAUUAAGACUGAUAUAACCUUGCUUACGGAUAUUUUCCUCAUUAACCAUACCUAUGUCAAUUAUGCUUAUAAAAUAACUUUAAUAUGUAUAUUUUUACUUAUUUUUAUCAUUUUUUUUUUGGAGUUUUCAAAAUAUUUCUAUGAAUUUUGAAUAAAUAAUUUUCACCUUACCGAAUUGUUGUCAAAAUAUCAAUCGAUAUUCUGAUAUUUCUAAUAUAUCCGUAAAAUUUAUGUAUCGAUGUUUUCCGAUAUUUUAAUCCUAGAGUUUAGACUAAUAACACCCUUAUUAGUUAGACUUACAUUAUAUCACUAUCCUCACCAAAGGUAACUAAGGUUAACAACUUCUCUCUUGUUGACUAGGUCCACUAAUAACUAGAGUUUCAAAAUUUAGGGAAUUUAAACAUUUUGAUAGUUUAAAAAUAGAUGAAAAAAAUAAGGAAUUUGUAUGGCUUACCGUACCAUUAACCCCUACCUUGAAGAUAUCAUUCAAAAUCCUGAAAGAUUUAGUCUACUCCUAAUAUAAAUAUAAAUAAAAAAUAAUUAUUAAAGACUAAUUAUCUAAAUUAAUGUCUUCCUAAAUUUUUUGUAAAACUUAUUUUAAUUCCAAACUCUCUUCUAAAAAUCUACAUUUUUUAAUUAAUUUUUUUAUUAACCACCCACCCAACUCCAACAAUAUUUAAGUAAUUAAUAAAGUAAAUGAUUGAAUUACAAUGAACAAGUAUAAUGAUCAAAAUAAAAAUUUUACUGUUUUUUGUUUUAAUAUAAAAUCAGACCUCUAAUUGAACAAAUCAUUUACUGUUUAAAAAUAUUCUUAAUAUCUUCUUUUUCUUUUUGUGUUUUUAAAAGUUCAUUUUUAUUUUAACUAGAUCAAAUAAUAUUUGUAUAAUAAUGCCUUUAACAUACAUUUUUUUUUAAUCAAUAAUACCAAAUAAACAUCUCAACAAAUAUUAUAUAAGAUGAUCAUUAAUUUCACUAUCUUCAUUUUAUUUAUGUUAUUCUUCUUUAUUCAGUGGAUUUAAUUAUGUGUUGUAAAAUGAACAAGGACCUCUAUAGUUAUAAUCUCACCUAAAAAGUUGGAGAAGUUAUCUCUACAUUUAUGGUUCAUGCAUGAAAUAAAUUGUUUUUGUACUUCCAUCAUCAAAGAUGCAUGUAUGUCUAUCAAUGGCAAAAGAAUCUAUGAGUUCAAGAAAAAAAUGAAAAAAAUUUAUAUGUUUUUUUAAUUCAUUUCAUUUUUUUAUUUUUCUAUUCUAUAUAAAAAUUCAAUAUAUAUAACUUUUUAACUAAUUUUAAUUAUAUUUUUGUUUCAUAUUUUCUAUAAUAAAUCAAAAAUUAAAAAAAGAAGACAUUUUUUAAUAUUUCAACCAUAAUAAGGUGGGCAUAAUUAAUUUUUAAUGCUAGGAUAUCCUAACAACCUAACCUUAAAAUUUUCUUAAAUAAAUAAUCACUUUACUAGUCAUAUAUUUUUUUACUCCACCCUAUUGUGAUUGGCACCAUAGUAUUUGUUAUACUUCGAAGCAUUUUGGUAUGAUUCUUAUCUCAUAAUAAGUCAUUUUUGAAGCAAACCCAACAUGCUUGAUAGAAAUCCUCUUCCUAAAUGAACCCCUAGGUUUCUUAUUUAUGAGUGUUGGUACAUUAAGUUAUAUAGUUUAAGAUUGAUAAUUUUGUUUCAUUCAUUUUGACUUAGGGCUUUUUUAGAUUAUGUCUCGCUCUCCUUUGAAAACUCGAAGUUGUUGUGUGAUCAACUGGAAUAACAAAGGUAAGUAUCGAAAGGUCUAGAAAGGCAAAUUAGAGUUAGUUAAGGUUGGCACGAACGUCAAGUUCUUAAACCGAGUUAAAUGUUUAUUAAAAUAGUUUUAAAGAACUCCUUGAGUGCUUUAAUGAUGCAGAGAGCACUUAAGCACUCCUUGGAGCACUCAAGUGUGAUAGAAUUCUUUAGAAUUUCAAAGCUUUGAUUUUCCAACUUUUACAAGCUUUAUUUUUGGAAAAUUCUAAAUCCAAUCCACUAGGAUCUUGGCCUAAUAAAUACCUUGCCUAAUGAGGAUUUUCUCUUUUUGAUGUUAAUGUUUCAAAAAACCUAGUUUGUCAUCUUGUUCCCAAAACUUUGAAAGAUGAUUGUCUUCACUUUUACUAGGUUGAGAAAGAGAUUUGCAUCUCAACAAAUACUAAAUUAAGUAAGAUUCACGAGGAGCAUAAGUGGUGUUGUGCUACAAAUGUGAAGUAUAGUAGAGGUGAUAGUGAGCUCAUGACCUAGAGUCGUUUGCAUCCUUCACAUCCCUGAGAUGCUUCAUUUUCAUUAUUCUAGCCACUUGCGAGUGGCCUCAACCCGACACUAUGAGCCGGAAAGCAUCCUGAUCGGCUAUCCAUUUAAAGCCAUAAUCUCAUGACCUAGAGUUGUUCUUUUUAUUUAUGACCCAGAGUCAUUCUUUCCAUUUAGAGCCCUGGGCUCAGGACCUGGAGUUGUUCUUCUCAUUUAUGACCUAGAGUCAUUCUUUCCAUUUAAAGCCUUGAGCUCACGACCUAGAGUCAUUUUUCUCAUUUAUGACCCAGAGUCAUAUCUUUUCCAUUUAGAGCCAUGAGCUCAUGACCUAGAGUCAUUUCUCUUCCAUUUAGAGCCUUGAGCUCACGACCUAGAGUCGUUUUUCUCAUUUAUGACCCAAAGUAAUUUCUUUUCCAUUUAGAGCCCUGAGCUCACGACCUAGAUUCGUUUUUCUCAUUUAUGACCCAGAGUCAUUUCUUUCUAUUUAGAGCCCUGAGCUCACAACCCAGAGUUAUUCAUCUCAUCCAUGACCUUGAGUCAUUUUUUUCAUCCCUUUCCAUCUUUGUGCUACUCAUCACAAACCUUUCUCUCUUUACUGUCAUCCCCCCUCAUAGAGUUGUUCCAUCCUUGUUGUUGUAGCCUCGUGUUUCGAUCUUACUCUCAUCAUGUGCUAGGACAAAAUCUCUGGUCCUUUUUUAGUUCUUUGGUAUAGUUCACUUCGUUCCACUCAUUAUUCAUAUUUCAACUCACAUUCUCUACACUCGUGAUCUUUACUGAAGAGGGGAAUAUUUGUAGACCCUCCAUUUUGUCCCUUUAGCGCAUGUCUUUAAGUUCACUUCCAGUGUUCCAUAGUGGUUCUUUGAUGACCCAUUACUACUUAUGUAACUUAUUUUUUUUGAGCCACUUUGAGGACUUUGGUUGAAGGGUUUAUCUAACUUCACAUUAUGACCUUAGCUGUCAUUCAAGUUUAGAUUAGACUUCACUUAGGUGCACUUUAGGUUAGACUUAGCUAGGCUCACCUAGUCUCACCCUAGGGUCGUAUAGAUAUACCCAACCCAUUAGGCACCAUCUUAGGUCCACUUAGACACUUUAGGCCUGUCUAGGUUCACUUAGGCCCAUUUAAACACCUUAGACCCAUCUAGGUUCACUUAGGCCCAUUUAGACACUUUAGGCCAAUUUAGGUUCAUUUAGGUCCACUUAGGCAUAGUUGGCCUACUAGACAUUUUUAGCGUGACUUGUAUGAUUGCAUGGAUCAUUUAUCUCAUUUACUUAUUUAUUUAUUUUUAUUUAUUUUAUUAUUAUUAUCAAUCACUUAUUUAAUCAUUUAUUAUAUUUUUAUUUGUUUAUUUAUUUUAAUUUAUUUUUCAUUGUUAUCAAUCACUUUUAUUCAUUGAGUUAUUUAUUAUUUGUUUAUUAUCUUGUUGUUUAUUCGUUUAUUUAUUAUUAUUAUUAUUUUAUCAUUCUCUAAUUUAUUUAUCUAUUUAUUUAUUUAUUUAUUUAUUAUUCCUUUAUUUAAUUUGAUAAUUUGAUGUUUUUAUGGGAAAACUGCAAUCGGAGGAAAAAGAAUUUUGAAAUUGGUAAGAAUUUGAAAAGGAAAGGAACUCUUCAAAGAUGGGACUCUUUACGUCAUAUGCAUGGAUUCACUUUUGAAAUUUUGAAAGAAUUUUUCUGGUGGAUGAGAUAGAAUUUGGCAAAGAGGAGUCCUCAGUUGGGACGACUCCAAUUGCUAUAAAAAGCAUAAACUGGUGGUUUUGAAGGGGGAGGGGAUUUUCUGGAGAUUGUUUUUCAGAGGGAGAAAGGAAUGAAGCCAGAAGGAGAGAUCUGAGACCACACACGAGUGGGGAUUUUCCUGCUGGAAGGAGGGCUUUGCCAGAUACGUUUGUUAUAGAUUCCUUCAUCCCCAUUAUCCUCUUGUUAUCAAUUGAUCUUCACUGGAUUUCGAGUUUUGCCUGGAUCCUUGGGUUUAGAAAGGCGGAGGUUGUACGUUUGUUGGCAUUGGUGCUAGAUUGCUUAUAUGAUUCUUGUUGUCGACUUUCUUUUUUUUUCUAUGGAGUUCCUUAGUUUUGGUUUGAGAAUAAAAGGUUCCUUUCUUUUUAUUAUAUACUGUGCUUUACAUCAGAAUCGUGGUUGUCUUUGUUUGCUUGAAUCUUCUUGUGCUUUUUCUCACCAUUCCAAGCCCGUUGAAUAAUCAUGAAAUGUGGCAUUACCAUGUUCUUGUUUUUACUUGAUCUCUCCUCCUCUCUGUUUCAUUCAUUUCUCGUUUCCGCACCUUCCCCUGUUUUUCUUGUUCUGGCAGUCCACUAAAAGUGCUAACCUAGCCUCCUUGCUUAAGACGGCCAUCCCUAUGGUUAUAUAUGGCUACAAAGAUCAAGCAGAAUAGAGAUUUGAAUUUGCUUCAAACUCUCCCACUUGCCAAUCUCGGAACGUAUGCGGUAAUGGAGUUCUACUAGGGUCAAAUUUUCAGAAACAACAACAGCCAGGCUUUCCACAUGAGGAGCAAUAGUAUUGAUGCACAUUAGGGAAUGACUCAAUACCUGGAGAAGUUAGUCAUUGAUUUAUCAGGGCUGGUGACUGGACCGGAUUGCUGUCGCUAGGUCUGGUAAAGCAUUGGCAUUUGGAAUUUCUUUCUCUGCCUGGUGAUGCCUUUGGUUCCAGCAGCUCAAAAGACGCAGGGGUUUGUGAUAAUGAAAAGAACGUUUUCUGCUUAAAUGGGAAGUCAUCGACCUUACUGAAUGGAAUUGGAUAAAGGAGAAGGAACUCCAAGAAACUUGGGAGUAAUGUGCAUGGAAACUUCAUUUUUCUUGCAAAGUCGUGGUUCCUAUAAAAUCAUAUGAAGCUUCAGGUUCGCUUUCAGGUGACGCGAUAUGAUUCUACAUAUCGCAAUGCAGAACGGUAUGGCAAUGCAGAACGGUUUUGUUUGAAACUGGGCGAGCAGGUCUACCAGUGAUGAUAGCAAACCCGAGAGUAGCUACACGUACAUGCAGAUUCUACAUGCAUGGUUAUCUUUUGGUGUGCCCCCACACAUGCAUGUGUCACAAUCAGGGUGAAGAAAAAAUGUUUCCAUGGAGACAGAGAUAGGUGGCAGUGAAAUAAGGAGAAGGUAGCUGUUGGUGAUGUUACAUAUGUUGAAGCCCAUUGUGGAGCAGUUAAAAGGGUGGGCAGAAGUGAUGCUUUUGCUACAGAAUUUGACCUUGAGGCGGAAGAGUAUGUUCCACUUCUUAAAUGAGAGGUUCACAAAAAAAAAGGAGAUGGUUCAGGAUGUAACACUUCAUGACCUGGAUAUUGCAAAUGCACGGCCUCAAGGUGGACAAUAUAUUGUCCCUAAUGGGUCAGAUGAUGAAGCCCAGGAAAACAAAAAUCACUGAUAGGUUACAAUAGGAAAUUAACAAGGUUGUUAACCGUUACAUUAAUGAAGAUGUGGCAGAGCUUGUUCUUGGGGACCUAUUUAUUAAUGAGGUACACAUGUUGGAUAUGGAGUGUUUUUCAUAUUUGAAUCGUGCUCUAGAUACCUGACUGUCUCCAAAUGUAAUUUUUGCUGGAAAUAGGGGAAUAUAUAAUGUAAGAGGAACCGAUGUGAGUAUUCCUCGUGGCAUACCUGCUGACUUGUUGGACUGGUCGGUGAUUGUACGGACGAAAACUUAUGAUCCUGCUGAUAUGAUUCAGAUUUUGACGAUUCGUGCACAGGUGGAGAUGAAUAAGUGGUUUUGAAGAGUGACCCUUCAAUGCAGUCCUAAGGAUGGUUGUUGGGAAGAGAUAGUUUGUUAAUGGGGUCCACGCAAAUGAAGAAGCAAGACAUGUCAUAGCAGGCUUUACGCAGUUCGUACAUCUCCUCGAGGCCCGUGUUCCAUCUGAUGUCUUUCCAUUUGUAGAGUGGAUAGAUUUGGACGGCUAUUUGAAGUCUAUGAAGCGUGUAGCCAAGCGGGUGGACAGUCUACAAGGUUGGGUAGAAGAACAUGUUAUGAAACCUAAGAGUGACCCCAGCAGCGGGUAGGACUUCAUUGAUGUGAUACUGUCUAUUCUCAAAGACGAUUCCGCGUUUAGCCAUACAAGGGAAACUAUUAUCAAAGCAACAGUAGUGAAUCAACAUUGGCAGGGUCAGUAAGCGUGGUUGUUCUUUAUCUAUUUCCCAGAUGAAGAUUAUUGAUGAACCUGUUGAGAAGCUUUUCCUUUGGGGUUAUAUAAUGCAUCGAGAUAUUGUAAAGGAGUGGACGCUUAUAGUUUGGGCCUUGUGGAUGUUAUAGUUGCUCCAGAUCAGUUAGUAAAGACUGCUCGCCAACUAGAUAUUUUAGAGUGUAGAAGACCAUGGGUUUAUAAUCUUUACAAGACUGGCAAGUUGGAGCCCCUAGGGAAAGCAAGGGAGAUGCUCAAGUUUGCAAGAACUCAGGCACAGAAACAGGCACUAAAUUUGACGCACCCAUUAGUUUGCAUUGAUGUUAUUGAAGCGGGUAUAGUUUCUGGUCCUGUUGCUGGACUUUGGAAGGAGGCUGAGGCUUUUCAAGAACUUCUACGCUCUGGCAUUUGCAAGUCCUUGGUCCACAUCUUCUUCGCUCAAUGAGGAACCACAAAGGUUCUUGGGAUCACUGAUCUGGGUUUGGUACCAAGACGAAUAAACAAAGUAGCUAUUCUUGGAGGAUUGAUGGGAUCUGGAAUAGCAACAGCAUUGAUACUUAGUAAUUAUCCGGUGAUCCUGAAGAAAGUAAAUGAAAAGUUCUUACAAGCUGGGAUUGGUAGAGUCCGAGCUAAUUUGCAAAGCCGUGUCAAGAAAGAGGCAAUGACAAUCGAAACUGAUGCUACUUCUGCAAGUGUUUCAGCAAGUUCCUAGAAUGAAUUAAGCUUACCCUCUAUAGAGGCAAUUGAAAUGGAAACAAGCAAGCAGACAAAUUGUUCUGCUAGUGUCUCCAAGAGUUAUCAACACUCCCCAAGCUCAUCCUAUGAGAAGGCAAUGACAAUAGACGCAACUGGCCUUUCACCAGGUUGUAGUGAUUGUCAGUCUAUGAUCAACUCGGUGAAGCAGCAAAGAAACAAGAACUUAUCAAUUACAGACCUGUUUUCCAAGUAUAAGAGUUCUCAACAUGCUCAAAGCUCAGCAUAUGAGGAGACAAUGUAAGAUAGCGGUGGUUCUUCUAAUGAUGGUCCAUCUAUGGGCAGCGUGUGACAGCAAUGUGAAACCUUAGCAAAAUAGUCAACUGAUUAUCUUGAAGUAAGCGAUCUAGAAUUCAAGGAUUUCACUAAAAAGUAGAAUUGUGAGCAGAAAUCCAGCUACAGCUAAAGGUAAUGGCGUCAGAAGUCCAACUGGAAACAUCAGCAGAAUAUCCAGUAAGAGAUAUUAUUGAUAUGGUUGCUGGAUUGCCUCAAACCCUAUGAAGACAGGGCACAUAUGCAUUUGCCACUCUAACGGGAGAUGUCUCUUACAGUGAAGAAGUUUGGAAAAUCCUUCUCAUGACUGUGCGAACUAGUAAGGAUGACGUUGAAACUGAUUCUUCCUCAGGAUUUGAAAUUGAUUCUUAUGAAGACUUGCUCGCACCACUGUCCAAAACCAAAACUGCCUUGCUUGAAAUCAAAACUGCAUUAAUGGAACACUGAAGUCUAUCUAGACAGUCACGGUUAGAAUGUACUGGUUGUGUCUUUCCUCCCAGGCAUUAGCAUGCAACGGCAGUUCUAGGUUCAAAGAUACAUGUAUUUGGUGGACUUGACAAUGAUGCAAUCUCUCCAUCCUUGCGUGUCCUUGACACGGGCGAUUUGCAGUGAAAUGAGAUACGUGUCCAUGGGGAAUGGCCUUGUGCUCGUCAUUCUCACUCAUUGGUUGCCUAUGGGUCUAAAUUAUUUAUGAUUGGGGGUGCAAUGAUGGCAAAGCUCGUGGGGAUCUGUACGGUUUUGAUGUUCAAACACGUCCAUGAAAAAAAUGAAGUGGCAUCAGAAGAACUCCAUAUACAAGGUUCUCCCACUUAAUAUUUAUCUACAAAAAUUAUCUUGGCAUUAUUGGGAGUGGUUCUUUCUUAAGUCCAUCAUCAUAUUCAGCGGCAAACAUGGUCAGGUAGUGAUGAUGUGGACCUGCAUUUCUCACGUGCGUCCCCACUUGAUCGGGCAAGACUCACUUUAAAUUGGUGAAAAAAUUGGUUUUGGAAAAGUCGAAGUCGCCACUUAUUUUAUUUUAUUUUAAAGGGAAAAUAAAACAAUAAAUAAAACCCUAAAAACAUGACUUCAUAGUUUUUGGAAAAACGUGUCUUUGAAAAACCCGAGUCUAGGUCCGAGGAUCAGGUUACCUAUUAGGAAGACACCUCUAAAAGGUAGCACCCCUCUAAGCCCUACAAAGGUCUCUACUGACUAAGUUGAGAUAAAUAUGAUAAUUAAUUAAUUAAUUGAAGAUAUCUACUAAGGUGAUUUCAAAAAAAUAGCAUGUCAAACAAGAUUAAAUUACAAUAAAGGAGAGUUAGGAUGCAUACACGAACCACUUCUCAAGCGCUAUGAUAAAACAUCAGAAUUAGUAUAGAAAUAUAACACACGGCAUAUAUUUAAUCAUAGCGAAUCAAGCACACAUCUAAGCAUCUAAGGAUCAUAUCAAGCAUAAAUAAGGCUCACGACAGCAUGCAUGUUCAUGGAAUUCCAAAAAGUAAUGAUAUAGAGCGUACCUGGAUAGCAUGCAUAAUUUAUAUGAUUUCUCCAAAAAUGCUAGAGUGAUUAGGACAAGUAUGAAUUAUAUAACAUAGUCAUUAUGUCCAAUACACAGUACCAAAGCCAAAAUUGAGCCAAGGUAAGUCAAAUGACUCUAAAAAUAAAUAACCAAUUCAAGUAAUGUAUACAAGAUCAUCAGUAUGCAAUUUGAAAAGGGAGCAUCAAAAAAACAAUUUCUAAAAAAAUGGCUUAGAAUGGAAUUUAAUAAUGAAAAACAUCAGGAAACAACUCCUACACAUCUAGAUCAACAUACCAAAGGCCAAACUCUCAUUCAAAGGACAUAUUGCAACGAAGACACCUAAAGGUUCUACAAAGUCUAGAUUAGAUAAGAAAAACUGACAUGCAUAAAUAAAUUUUUAAAAAAUAAUAAAUGAUCACAUAAAAUCAUACAAAAAAUCACACACGGAGUUCAAAGUGUCUAUAUCACAUAAAAAAAGAAUCCAGGGUCGGAUAGUACUCAAAAAUACUUUUAAAACACUCAAGCUAAUCAAAUGUCUAGAAUCAAGCAUGCACAGUAGGAACGAAUUUGAAAAAAAAAAAUCUCCAUCAAAGAGGCAUGUUUUUUAAUAUUUUAUGUGUCUAAGAUCAAUUUCAAAAAGCCUAGAAUUGAGAAAAAAAUAUUUAAUCAAAUUUAAAAAGUCGUCUGGAAUUUUAUUUUUUCAAAAAAGUUCUCAGGUGUCCAUAACUAGGAGAAAACGGAGCCCCCCUAAAGACUCGUUUAUAUAUUCUAUUCUAAAAUGGCUUUUUAACUCAAACAAAACUUUAAAUUCAAGUUCAAGAAGUGAGGAAAGUCAUACAAGUUUUGGAAAAUUUUUAAAAACAUUCUAAAGUUGCUAAAACAAAUUUUAUCUAGAGGGUCAGUGGCUAAGUGUAAACUAGUAGCAAGGAAGUGUUUUGGAAAUUUUAUAUAGGGGUUUCACCAAUUCCCCAAGUGAUAUACACAAAUUUAGCCUAAAAUUAUCCUAUUUGUUUGGGAUCACAAGCUUGGAUUCGUGUCUUAUUCAAAACCAUAAUUUUUAUUGAAAACCGAGAAAGAUGCAAACCGAUCAAGACAUAGUUGCAUAUUAUUUAAAAAAAAAAUGAGAUUUUGAUUCUAAGGACUCUAAAUGAAUUAUUUUUAAAAUAGAAUUUUCAAAGGGAUCUUUUGAGAAAAGUAUUUUAUUUUAAAAUAAAAGAAAUUAAUUUGAAAACAAUCAAAAUAUAAGAAACAAAAUAUCGAGCAAAACAAAAGAAAACGAAUUCACAAAGUGAAAUUUUUGACAAUCGAACAAACCAAAGUGGUGAAAAUGGAAGCCAAUUUUAACUAUUUUCCAAUGACCCCUGAAAAGUAAUUUUUACCAGAGACUACCAAAGCAAUAAACUAUUCAAACUCAGGCCAAAUAAGCUAAUGAGAUACUCAUCAAGAAUUAAUGACUAAUUUUCAAGAAACACGUAAAUUAAGAGUAACAAUCAAGAAUUAGCAAUGAUCAAUUAAACACACAAAUGCAUCUAGAUUGAUUAAAAUGGACCAAAUUAAAUCAGGGCAAACAGGAAUUUUCAAUCAUAGAAUUAAUUUUAUUAAUGAGCUAAUAUUAUAGCAAAUACUCAAAUUGAAUAGAUGAGUGAAGCUAAAUCAGAGUAAACUAAACACAGACACCUUCAAAUAUAGAAUUGAUUUAUUAAUAACUUAAAAUUUGAAAAACACCUAAAAUAAUUAAAAUGAAUCAAAUUAAAUGAAAGCAAACUAAAAACAAAAUAUGAAUUCAUGGAAUCAACUUCCUAAAUAAAUUUACAUUAUUAAAAUGAAAUCUAAGAUCAAAAUGAAUUAAACACUAAUUAAGGCAAAUCUAAAAAUCAAAUAUUUAACACAUGAGGUCAAUUAUUUUAACAAACUAAAAUUUUACUUAAACCUAAAAUUAAAUUGAAAAAACUAUCCAAAACAAAUUUUAAAACUAAACUAUAAAGUCAAUCUCAUUAACAAAUGGAUAAAUAGAUAGCACAUGAAUAAAUAAGUAUGACUGAAUCGAAAUAUGAACUCAUGGAAUCAAUUUUUUUUAAAUAAAUUUACAUUACUAAAAUGAAAUUGAAAUUUAAAAAUAUUUUUAACACCAAUUAUGGCAAUCCUAAAAUCAAAUAUUUAACACUUAAUAUUAACUAUUUUAAUGAACAGAAAUUUCACUUAAACCAAAAAUUAAAUUAAAGAAAAACUAUCUAAGACAAAUUUUAAAACUAUGUCUCUAACCAAUAACAUAAAUCUUGUUAAAUAAUGGAUAAAUAGUUAGCAUAUAGAUAAAUAGAUCUCAAGUUUAACAAUGACUUAUAAUGGCAUAACAGUAAAUCCAUAAAGAACUUUUAAUAUAUAGUAUUGAUGGAUUAAAAAAAUAAGAGGAGAGAAAGUGGCAGCCGCAUGGACUGCAUGAGGAGGGUUGACGUCUCAUAGUCACCUUCUUUCCUCCAUUGAUAGUAGCCCACAAGGCCACCUUAAGUGGGCGACACAAUAAGACUGCCAUGCACGCAUGACGCAGCCACGUGGGAGAAGGCAGCAACCACUUUCGCAUUUUUACUGUAUCUCCAGAAACUCCUUUGUAUAGCCCACACACGCGCUAAUGAAGCAGAUUCAGCAGAUUUUAAGAGGGGGAAUCUUGAAACCACACAACAUCAAGAGACUUGGCCGGAAGUGUGAUGAUGGGUGUUUCCGAAGAAGAGUUAUAAUUCGCCCACUGUUGAAUAUGUUCAAAGAUGUGAAGGGUCCCACGAGCCUUGAAUUUGUCACUACAUACAAAAUAUAUGCAGAAGUGAUUGAAAAUGCUUGGCAACCUUUUCCUGCAUGUGAAUGUGUUGAGCUCUAUGGUGCAAUUACUAAUGAAAUUCUCAAUUUAGUUGAUAAGUAUUUUGAGAUGCAAAAGCAUGAUGCUGUCCGGGCAUUGGAAAUUUAUCAGAAAGCAGGAGAGCCAUCAAGCAUUCACUCGACAAGCAAGAGUAACACAUAGGCCACACCAUUCUCCAACAAGACACAACAACAUACAUUCUUGAAGGUAAGUCCCAUUUUAAAAAAAAAUUUUAGUUUAAUUUUAAUUAAUUUAGUUAGUUUAGAUGUUUUUUUUUUUCAUAAUUAGUUUAAUUAAUUCUACAUGAUAAAGUUGUUAUUUUUCAUUUCGAUUUAGUUUAGUGUUGAUUUUUCUUUUAGUUUAAGUGUGUUUGUGGUUUUAAUUCAAUAGUUUAAUUAAUCUUAUUAGAUAAAGUUCAUACAUAAUUUUUUUUUUAUCCCAAAUUAGUUUAGUUUUAAUCCAUCUUUUAGUUUAAUUGUGUUAGUAAUUUUAAUUCAGUAGUUUAAAUAAUCAUAUUAGAUAAAGUUCGUAUUUUUAAUUCUAAUUAGUUUCAUCUUAAUUUAUUCUUUAGUUUAGAUUUGUUGUUGAUUGUACUUUAUUAGUUUAAUUAAUCUUAUUAGAUAAAGUCUAAUUUCAAUUUAGUUUAGUUUUAAUUUAUUCUAUAGUUUGAGUAUUUUUGCGAUUUUAAUUCAAUUGUUUAAUUAAACCUCUUAGGUAAAGAUCUUGUUUUUAAUUCCGAUUUAGUUUAGUUUUAAUUUAUUUAUUUAUUUUAGUUUAGAUGUAUUUGUAAUUUUAAUUCAACAGUUAAAUCGAUCUUAUUAGAUAAAGUUGAUGUUUUUAAUUCCAAUUUAGUUUUUAGUUUAAAUGUGUUUGUGUGUUUAAUUGACCUUAUGCUAGCUCAUGAUUUUUUAUUUUCAAUUUAGGUGUUUUCUUGAAUCUUAAUCAUUAAUUCUUGGUGGAUAUCUCAUUAGUUUAUUUUAUCUAAGUUUUAAUAAUUUAUUAUUUUGAUAGUCUUUUGUCAAAUUUACUUUUCAGAAGCCAUCGGAAAAUAGUGAAGAUUGACCUCCAUUCUCACCACAUUAGUUUGUUUGGUUGUCAAAAAUUUUACUUAGUGAUUUUGUUUACUUUUGAUUUGCUUGUUUCUUAUGUUUUGAUUGUUUUCAAACUAAUUUAUUUUAUUUUAAAAUAAAUAUUUUUCUCAAAAGAUCCAUUUGAAAAUUCUAUUUUAAAAAUAAUUCAUUUAGAGUCCUUAGAAUAAAAAUCUCAUUUUUUUAAUAAUAUACAACCAUGUCUUGAUCGGUUUGCAUCUUUUUCAGUUUUCUGUAAAAAUUUUGAUUUUGAAUGGAAUAUGAAUCCAAGCUUGUGGUCCCAAACAAAUUGGAUAAUUCUGGGCUAGAUUUGUGUAUAUCAAUUGAGGAAUUGGUGGAACCCCUUUAUAAGAAAAUUCUUCAAAACUCAUCUUUGCUGCCAUCUUUGCUAUUUCAUGCUAUCAUGUCUCUUCAUUUUUUAGGAAUUAUAUACAAGAUGUAUGUGAUAAUUGAUGAUUUCGUAUACUUUGAUCAUUUUUGCUAGGUUAAUUAGAUAACAAGCACGUUAGGAUUUCUUUAUUUUAUUAUUUAUUAUCUAACCCCUCAUGUCUUGUGGAAGCACGUUACAAGUUAUCUAUGCUAUCCAAGUAUGCCCUCUAUCACCCACCUUCUAAAUUUUGUGAAUAUGCUGGUCACUGUGAACUGCACUUAUGUUUGAUAGUGCUUGGGUGUCUUGAUAUUUGUUUCAUUGUUCAAUUUUUUCUGAUAAAGCGCAUGCUGAACGAUAUACUAUUUGAACUAACUUUGAUGUCUUGCAAUGACGCUUAAGAAGCAAUCCAGGUACAUACCCUAAAUCUUCUUUAUGAUUAUGAUUUGUUUUUCUUAUUUGGCAUGCUAAUUUUGAAAUCACCUAGCCUACCUAGGUAUCUAUGAUCAACCAAUUAAUUGUCACAUUUCUCUCAACUUAGCUAGUAGAGACCUUUUUAGGGCUUAGAGGGGUGUUACCUCUUAAAGGUACCUUCCCAGUAGAUAACCUGAUUCCCAAACCAAGACUUGGGUUUUCGAGAUAUGCUAUUCAAAAAUUGUGGAGUCACUUCUUUAGGGUUUUUAUUUUUAUUUUUUUUAUUUUCCUUUUAAAAUAAAAUAAAAUAAGUGGCAACUCCAACUUUUCCAAAACUAAUUUUUCACCAAUAAAAGCGAGUAUUACUGAUUGAGUGGGGACGCACGUGAAAAAUGUGGGUCCUCAGUAUAUAUAAGGCAACCUAAAGGAUUUAUUGUUAUAAGACAAAAACACAAAGUUAAGGAUAGAUACAUUUAGCUAGGUUGAUUUUUAACCAAUCCAAGAAUCAAAUAGGAGUUCAUUGGUUUUAAAUAAAGUACAACAAAUUUAUUUAUUUACUCAAACUCAAAAAUAUUGAGUUUGUAUGUUUUUUUUUUUCACAUUGACCGUACAACCGAAAUGAUCAAAUUCUAUAUAUAUAUAUAUUUACAAGUAAUACAAUUACAAUUUUUUAAAAUAAUAUUGGGCGCUUGUGACUUGAAAUUAUAUUAUCAUCAUUAUUAAGUCCCAAAAUACAAUGAUUUUAAAUUUUAGAUCAGGCUUAUGCCAUAAGCAACUUUUAAUUUGUAAUAAAGCCAUACGAGUUAGACUCUAAGCCUCUAACAUCAAACUGUAGCCCAGCUAAGUUGCCUUUGGAUGAGCAUGGUUCGACUCACAAAGUCCUAAGAUUCUCCACAACACUCCAAAAUCCAAACAAUUAUAUUUGUCCGACUCCUCUACUACUUGGGUUUGUUUGCCAGUCCACUUUUGGUAAGUGAUCUAGGUUGAAUAUUCCAUAAGCCAAAUACAUAAACUAGUUUGAUCUCUAGUUUCAUUGUACCACCAAAAUAGAGAAAUUCAAGUAAGAAGACUUCUAAAGAGAAUAGUUUAGAGAGCUACUACAAAAGAGGAUUGGAGAUGGUUGGAGUAAUGGUGGUAGCUAUUGAAAGGAUCGAUGGUGGCGGGAAGCCAUAGCCGCUGGUGAAGAGGAAGUUAGGUGAAUUGGAGACUUGGUGAAGAAGAUAAUGUGAGCUUGAUAAAAUUUCCUCAAACUUUUCCUUCUCUCUCUUAUUUUCCCCACUAAUUUUUAAGGAAAGUAGUAGGGAAAAUAUUACAAUAUUUUCUUUAGUAUUUUCCUUUAUUUUUCCUUCCAUCGUAUUUUUCAUGUCACCCAAACUAAGGAAAAUGACUUUCCACAAUAUUUUUUUUCCUUUCCCUUGCAUUUUCUGUAACAAAGUUCUAUAAUCACUCCAAUCCGCGUUUAAAAAUUGUAUUUCUUUCUAAUAUGGGAACAAACUUUUUCCUUCUUUCUUAUAAUUUUCAUUUGGGAAUAAUUUAAAAUUAAAUAAAUAAAAGCCCUUCUAAAUAUUAAAAAAACACUCUCUUAUAGAUUAGUCCGAAAAAACUUGGCCCACUCUAGACAUUCUCAUUCUCUCCUUCCUCUAUUUGAUGUGAUGGAUCAUGGGUGGUUCUAUAUGACAAGAUUAAUCAACUAAUUUAUGGAUUUGAGAGUGACCCUAAACUAAAUGUGGAGCACAUAUUAGAUUACAAUCUUAUAAUAUUUACUUAAUGGUAUCUAAAUUUCCCAUCCAAGGCCUAAAUUGGCUUUGGAAAGACGAUAACCCAAAACAUGAAUGAAAAAGACCCAAAAUAUUGAUGAAAUAAGAAUGAUAAUAAGAUGAAUUUUAUUUAUUUAUUUAUUUUAUUUCAUGCUUAAUAGGAACGAGUUUGAAAAAAAUAAUAAAUUAUUGAAUACAAGUUUAAUUUUAUUCAAUUUUUUUAAAUAAUGAUAAAAUAAAAUUCACAAUAAAAAGAAUUUUUUGUUAUUAUAUAUUUGUUUUGCCUCAUCCUUAAUACGAGGAAUUUGAAAAAUAACAGAUAAGUUAAAACGUGGGUUUGAAUUUUUUAUUUUUUUAUUUUGCAUGAGGAAUAAGGCUGCUAUUGACUAUCGAGAGAAUACACAGAACUUUGAAAGGAAAAUUACCAAAGCUGUUUUGGCAAGAGGAAUGGGAAGGAGUGCAGAUGUAUAGGGACGGAAUGUGGGCUAUGUUCAGGAAGGAGGGUUCUGAUCAUGCUGGACUGACGUGGAUGAUUGAGGCUCUCUCCAGGCUGGUGAGUGGUCUUCCCAUGUGGGUGGAGUCAAUAAGAAGGGGAGAGUUUUUCACGAGCGGAAAAGGGUGAUUGAAGGAGGGGGAUGAGAUCCAGAUCAUAAAAAACGGCUGGGUGGCUUUUAAAAGUUGGGUUUUUUUUUCAGUAGUGGGGCACGAUUUGCAGCAUCAAAACAGGAAGAGGAGGUGCAGCCGCACCAUUGAGAAGAGGAGGUGCAGUCGCACCAUUGAGAAAAAGAGGACAACUUGGUGAGAAAGGGGAGGUUGGGUCAACCUUUUAGAGAGGCGAUCAGACUACGUUUGGAAAGGUUUGGGGCUGCUAUUUUGGAGAAUCAGUCCAUAUUUUUAAGAAGUUCGGGCUGCAAAGAAGGCAUCUCGAGAAAAGGGGGAAUAUCCAGCAUUCUGAAGGGGAAGGCCGUGUCAAUGGAAGAGGGUUCGUAUUUUAGGGAAGUGAUGGUGGGGUUGAGGUUAGCGAAGGAGGUUAUUAAGGUUCAGCAAGGGUGGCGAGCCAAUGCUGUGGCUCAUUUGAAUCUGUCUAGUGGUUAUUCGAGGUCCUCAGCCAAUUCUGCUACUGACUGGCCUUGUUUGUUGUUGGAACCAUUAUCACAGGCAGCGAAGAUUGGGUUUUUUUUCAGCCGAAGCUGAUAAUUAACAAUAUUGAUGUUUGUCGCCAUGCAAUUUUAACGGAUGAUUCAACAGUGUGUGCAUCGAUGUAUCAUGACAGAUUGCUGUGGAAAAUAAUAGCUUUGGGUGUGAAUGAGAGGUGUUUGCCUGUUGUUCUUGUAACUUCAGAUAGCUACCAUUCAUACCAAGCCUAUUUGGAUUUUAGAUUUCCAAACAUAUUCAUCUCUCGUGAGACCUUUGGAUGGACUCCACAAGAAGCUAAACUGCAUAUGGUCACAGAUUAUUUCAGUCAUUCUGAGUUGGCAGUGAUAGCUGAUGUUCUUGGACCAAACCCUCGACAUAUGUUUGAGCUUUAUGCACUUCAACAGAGCAAUUAUUAUCGAAAGGUUAUGGAAGACAGUGGUAGUACAUUUGAGGAUAUCAUAGAUGCAUAUUUGUCAUAUUUGCAAAUUACUGUGGUGAAUCCUGCCAUGGAUAAAGCAUUGAAACUCCUGGAAAAGUUUGUUGUUGAUAGAUUACGUUUUGGUGCUCCUUGGAGACAUCCUCCACGUAUAGACAACCCUACUUUGUGCUCGGAGUGGACGAAGCUUCAAUUAAUUGAUUUUGUUCAAUCUCUAGUAUAUCCGAGUUUGGGGUGAGCAAAUAUGUUCUGAAACUGCUGGUUCAUUCAAGACGAAUGUCAUAAGAAAACAGUCGGGUGGGUCUUGAAAGCUUGGGUUUCUUUCAGUUGAUUGGGCAAUGGGAGGACACUGGUUUUGAUGGAGGGUGAUUCUCGGCAGAUAAAGGAAAGAGAUUCGAGGUGACUUGGAAAGGGAGAAACAGGCUGGUGGUCUUUUGGGGGAAUAGAAGAUAGAGAGGGAGACACCACUUUUUUGGAGAAGGGAGGUCCACACAGGUUCAGAUUUUGGUGAGGCUUUCUGGGGAUUUUCGGAAGCAGAUUCAACAGAUUUUGGUGAAGGAGUUCUCUAGGCGGUUUUUUUCUGUUGUUAAGUGGCAGCCGCAUGGACUGCAUAAGGAGGGUUGAUGUCUCAUAGUCACCUUCUUUCCUCCAUUGAUAGUAGCCCACAAGGGCACCUUAAGUGGGCGACACAAUAAGGCUGCCAUGCACGCAUGAGGCAUCCAUGACGCAGCCAUGUGGGAGAAGGUAGCAACCACUUUCUCAUUUUUUCUAUGUAUCUCCAGAAACUCCUUUGUACAGCCCACACACGCGCUAAUGAAGUAGAUUCGGCAUAUUUUUAGAGGGGGAAUCUUGAAACCACACAACAUCAAGAGACUUGGCCGGAAGUGUGAUGAUGGGUAUUUCCAAAGAAAAGUUAUAAUUCGCCCACUUUUGAAUAUGUUCAUAGAUGUGAAGGGUCCCACGAGCCUUGAAUUUGUCACUACAUGCAAAAUAUAUGCAGAAGUGAUUGAAAAUGCAUGGCCACCUUUUCCUGCAUGUGAAUGUGUUGAGCUCUAUGGUGCAAUUACUAAUGAAAUUCUCAAUUUAGUUGAUAAGUAUUUUGAGAUGCAAAAGCAUAAUGUUGUCCGGGCAUUGGAAAUUUAUCUGAAAGCAGGAGAGCCAUCAACCAUUCACUCGACAAGCAAGAGAAACACAUAGGCCGCACCAUUCUCCAACAAGACACAACAACAUACAUUCUUGAAGGUAAGUCCCUUUCUAAAAUUUUAUUUUAGUUUAAUUUUAAUUUAUUUAGUUAGUUUAGAUUUUUUUUUUUUCAUAAUUAGUUUAAUUAAUUCUACAUUAUAAAGCUCUUAUUUUUCAUUCCGAUUUAGUUUAGUGUUGAUUUUUCUUUUAGUUUAAGUGUGUUUAUGGUAUUAAUUCAGUAGUUUAAUUCAUCUUAUUAGACAAAGUUCAUAUAUAUAUAUAUAUAUAUAUAUAUAUAUUAUCCCAAAUUAGUUUAGUUUUAAUCUAUCUUUUAGUUUAAGUGUGUUAGUAAUUUUAAUUCAGUAGUUUAAAUAAUCAUGUCAGAUAAAGUUUGUGUUUUUAAUUCUAAUUAGUUUCGUCUUAAUUUAUUCUUUAGUUUAGAUUUGUUGUUGAUUGUAAUUUAUUAGUUUAAUUAAUCUUAUUAGAUAAAGUCUAAUUUCAAUUUAGUUUAGUUUUAAUUUAUUCUAUAGUUUGAGUUUGUUUGCGAUUUUAAUUCAAUUGUUUAAUUAAAGCUCAUAGGUAAAGAUCUUGUUUUUAAUUCUGAUUUAGUUUAAUUUUAAUUUACUUAUUUAUUUAUUUAUUUUAGUUUAGAUGUGUUUGUAAUUUUAAUUCGACAGUUUAAUCGAUCUUAUUAGAUAAAGUUGAUGUUUUUAAUUCUAAUUUAGUUUAUUUUAAUUUAUUUUUUAGUUUUAAUGUGUUUGUGUGUUUAAUUGACCUUAUGCUAGCUCUUGAUUUGUUAUUCUCAAUUUAGUUGUUUUCUUGAAUCUUAGUCAUUAAUUCUUGGUGGAUAUCUGAUUAGUUUAUUUAAUUUAAGUUUUAAUAAUUUAUUAUUUCGAUAGUCUCUUGUCAAAUUUACUUUUCAGAGGCUAUCGGAAAAUAGUGAAAAUUGACCUCCAUUCUCACCACUUUAGUUUGUUUGGUUGUCAAAAAUUUUACUUUAUGAUUUUGUUUACUUUUAUUUUGCUUGUUUCUUAUGUUUUAUUGUUUUCAAAUUGAUUUAAUUUUAUUUCAAAAUAAAAUAUUUUUCUCAAAAGAUCCAUUUGAAAAUUCUAUUUUAAAAACAAUUCAUUUAGAGUCCUUAGAAUCAGAAUCUCAUUUUUUAAUAAUAUGCAACCAUGUCUUGAUUGGUUUGCAUUUUUCUCAGUUUUCAAUAAAAAUUCUGGUUUUAAAUGGAAUAUGAAUCCAAGCUUGUGGUCCCAAACAAAUGGGAUAAUUCUGGGCUAGAUUUCUGUAUAUCAAUUGGGGAAUUGGUGGAACCCCUACAUAAGAAAAUGAUUCAAAACUCAUCUUUGCUGCCACCUUUGCUAUUUCAUGAAAUCAUGUCUAUUUAUUUUUUAGGAAUUAUAUACAAGAUGUAUGUGAUAAUUGAUGAUUUUGUAUACUUUGAUAAUUUUUCCUAGGCUAAUUAUAUAACAAGCACGUUAGGAUUUUUUUAUUUUAUUAUUUAUUAUCUAAUCCCUCCUGUCUUGUGGAAGCACGUUACAAGUUAUCUAUGCUAUCCAAGUACGCCCUCUAUCACCCACCUUCUAAAUUUUGCGAAUAUGUUGGUCACUGUGAACUGCGCUUAUGUUUGAUAGUGCUUGGGUGUCUUGAUAUUUGUUUCAUUGUUCGAUUAUUUUUUAUAAAGCGCAUGCUGGAUGAUAUACUAUUUGAACUAACUUUGAUGUCUUGUGAGGGCACUUAAGAAGCAGUCUAAGUACACACCCUAAAUCUUCUUUAUGAUUAUGAUUUGUUUUUCUUAUUUGGCAUACUAUUUUUUAAAUCACCUAGCCUACUUAGGUAUCCAUGAUCAACCAAUUAAUUGUCACAUUUCCCUCAACUUAGCCAGUAGAGAUCUUUUUAAGGCUUAGAGGAGUGUUACCUCUUAGAGGUACCUUUCCAAUAGGUAACCUAAUUCUUGAACCAAGACUUGGGUUUUCGAAACAUGCUUUUCCAAAAUUGUGGAGUCACUUAUUUAGGGUUUUCUUUCUUGUUUUAUUUUUCCUUUAAAGUAAAAUAAAAUAAGCAGCGACUCCAGCUUUUCCAAAACUAAUUUUUUACCAAUAAAAGUGAGUCUCGCCGAUUGAGUGGGGACGCACGUGAAGAAUGUGGGUCCACAAUAUAUAUGGGGCAACCUAAAGGAUUUAUUGUAAUAAGACAAGAACACCAAGUUAGAGAUAGAUACAUUUAGCUAGGUUGGUUUUUAACCAAUCCAAAAAUCAAAUAAGAGUUCAUUGGUUUUAACUAAAGUACAACAAAUUUAUUUGUUUACUUAUACUAAUCCAACUUAAUAUCAAUUCGAUUUAGUUUAGUUAACUCAAUUUAAACAAAAAUAUUGAGUUUGUAUGUUUUUUUUCACAUUGACCAUACAACCAAAAUGAUCAAAUUGUUUUAGAUAUAUAUAUAUAUAUAUAUAUAUAUAUAUAUAUAUAUAUAUAUAUAUAUAUAUAUAUAUAUAUUACAAGUAAUAAAAUUAAAAAAUUGUAAAAUAUGUCCAAAGAAAAGUUAUAAUUCGCCCACUUUUGAAUAUGUUCAUAGAUGUGAGUUUGUCACUACAUGCAAAAUAUAUGCAGAAGUGAUUGAAAAUGCAUGGCCACCUUUUCCUGCAUGUGAAUGUGUUGAGCUCUAUGGUGCAAUUACUAAUGAAAUUCUCAAUUUAGUUGAUAAGUAUUUUGAGAUGCAAAAGCAUGAUGUUGUCCGGGCAUUGGAAAUUUAUCAGAAAGCAGGAGAGCCAUCAACCAUUCACUCGACAAGCAAGAGAAACACAUAGGCCGCACCAUUCUCCAACAAGACACAACAACAUACAUUCUUGAAGGUAAGUCCCUUUUUAAAAUUUUAUUUUAGUUUAAUUUUAAUUUAUUUAGUUAGUUUAGAUUUUUUUUUUCAUAAUUAGUUUAAUUAAUUCUAUAUUAUAAAGCUCUUAUUUUUCAUUCCGAUUUAGUUUAGUGUUGAUUUUUCUUAUAGUUUAAGUCCGAAAGUACAAUGAUUUUAAAUUUUAGAUAAUGCUUAUGCCAUAAGCAACUUUUAAUUUGUAAUAAAGCCAUAUGAGUUAGACUCCAAGCCGCUAACACCAAAUUGUAGCCCAACUAAGUUGCCUUCGGAUGAGAAUGGUUCGACUCACAAAGUCCCAAGAUUCUCCACAACACUCCAAAAUCCAAGCAAUUAUAUUUGUCCCACUCCUCUACUACUUGGGUUUGUUUGCCAGUCCACUUUUGGUAAGUGAUCUAGGUUGAAUUUUCCAUAAGCCAAAAACCAAAAUAGAGUUACUCAAGUAAGAAUACUUCUAAAGAGAAUAGUCUAAAGAGCUACUACAAAAGAGAAUUGGAGAUGGUUGGAGUAAUGGUGGUGGCUAUUGAAAGGGUUAAUGGUGGUGGGAAGCCAUAGCCCUUGGUGAAGAGGAAGUUAGGUGAAUUGGAGACUCGGUGAAGAAGAAAAUGUGAGCUUGAUAAAAUUUCCUCCAACUUUUCCUUCUCUCUCUUAUUUUCCCCACUAAUUUUUAAGGAAAGUAGUAGGGAAAAUAUUACAAUAUUUCCUUUAGUAUUUUUCUUUAUAUUUUUUUUCCAUCAUAUUUUUCAUGUCACCCAAACUAAGAAAAAUAACUUUCCACAAUAUUUUUUUUUCCUUUCCCUUGCAUUUUCUGAAAACUAAACACAACCUUUAUAAAUAAAAAAUUAAGAAUUACAGUAAGACGGUAUAUUCUUCCUUUUUCUUCCUGCAUUUCUACAUCAACUACUCUAUCUUACAUCAUAUUUUUACUCCCUUCUUCAAUCAGCAUUCCUCUCUUUAUAUAGAGUUAUCUUCACACCAAUUCAUAAGAUAAGAAAGAUGAAUGAACCUUGGGGCAAGGUUGGACAACUGGUGGCAGCUAGUCAAGGCUAGAAGUCAACUUUUGCUUGACUCUUUGGGAAUGGGUAGCAACGUGUCGACCUUUCUUUAGCAUGAAAAUGGCUAGAACGUGUCGACCUUUCUUUAGCAUGAAAAUGGCUAGAACGUGUUAAGCUCUCUUAUUAGAUGACGUGUCAACUAUAGGGUAAUCAUAGGGUGGGGAAUAUAUGGUAAUUAUGCAAAAAAAGAAAAAAAAAGAAAAAGAAAAAUUGAUAUCCAAUUAUAUAGAAAGACAUCUUCCAACAUUUGAUAUAAAUAAAAAUUAAGAGAAAAAUAUUUUAAAAAAGCAUAUUAAACCUAAAAAUAGGGAAUUAAUAAUAAAAUCAAGUAAAAAGGUAAAAUUAAAACUAAAUAUAAAAUAUGAAUAUAGUUUAAAUAUUAAAAAUAAUAUUAUUUAGGUUAAAUCAUUAGGCUUGCUAGAGGAGUUUAUAUAUAUAUAUUAGUUUUUUCUUUUUUUUUAAUCCUUUCUAUGUUGUUUAUAUUAAUGCAUUGAAUUUGAUGUUACCUAAAACAAAAUUAUAUUUCAUGUCCUCUAUUAUAAGUGGACAACCAUUCCUUAUGUUAGAUUUUAGAUAAAGAACGAAUAAUGAAGAUUGGAAUUGUAAGAAAUUAGGAGAUCCUAAUUUUAAAUAUGUAACAAAGUUCUAUAAUCACUCCUAUCCACAUUUAAAAAUUGUAUUUCUUUCUAAUAUGGGAGCAAACUUUUUCCUUCUUUCUUAUAAUUUUCAUUUGGGAAUGAUUUAAAAAUAAAUAAACAAAAGCCCUUCUAAAUAUUAAAAAAACAAUCUCUUAUAAAAAUUAAUUAGGUGGAUGGUAAGGUCAAAUUCGGGAUACUUCAUAUUUUUUGCUUUGCCUGAAAAUUAAAAUCAAAAUCAAAAUUAAAGUAAUAAUUUUUAAGAUGUUGUAAAAGUUUUAUUAAACAUGAAAGAACUUAUUGUGUAAACAAAAAUAGAACUAUAGAAUUCUUAUAAGAAAUAACAAUUUUAUGAAUUCUAUAUGAAACCUUUUUUAAAAGUUAUAAGUUUUUUUUUAUAAAUAAUUAAAUAGGUAUAGGAACUUUUAUUCAACUUAAUUUUUUUUAACGGUUAAAAGUCAAUCCAAAUAAAAUUUAAAUAUAUUUGAAAAUCAUUUUAAAAAAUUCAAAAAAUCACUUAAAAAAAAUUUAUGAAUUUUUUUUUUAAUUUACAUUCAAAUACUAAGUGAUUCUUUUAAAAAUCAUUUAUAAUGUCAAAAUAUUUUUUUAUGGAUAAAAACAUUAGAAAUAAAAAACAUUUCUAAUGAAAGUUUAAUCAAUUAAUCUUUUUUAGCACACCACUCAUAACUGUCAGUGAUUUCCUGCUAACUUAACAUAUCGACAUGGACUUGGAGAGUUCGGUCAAUUAAAGCAGCCUGAUUAAUUGUAAGUGUCUUUUCUCUAAACCAUAAAUUCCUACGUUUUAAUUUACAAAAGCCAGUGAUUUGUUUUUACUUAAGGAAGCAGGAAAGGGUUUAAUGAGUUGAAACAAGAACACAACAUCAAAUUCUCUUUUUAUAAUCAAAGACUACUAUGGAAAAUUCCACCAUAGCAUAUCUCAAAUUCCAUUAAUAAUCCCAAACACAAUAUUCCGCAACUUUACAUUAUUCUUUUUAUCAACUUUACACAAAAAAUUGAAGAGGAAUACUAACUUAAAUCAAACAGAAAUUAAAUCAUGAAAGAUGAAUAAUACAAAUAUUCAAUGAAAUCUUUGGCGUGUUAUUUCUUUGCAGCUUCAACAUGGUGGCAUGUCCGACGGAGGAGGCAACAUUUGAGCUUCCGGGUGUUUACCAUUUUUCACUAUGAACGCAGUUUCCAUGCCCCAAGUCAGAUGGCGUUCUACAUGGCAGUGCAUGAACCACACUCCUGCAACAGAGAAAAUAUACCAACAUUACACCUAACUUUAUUGUAAUAUUAAGAAAAAAUAUUUCAUUGGUAUGUAGGUUGGCAGUUUCAAGGGUUUUUUUCUUUAAUAAAGGACAUGAGUGCUUGGAACAUACCAGGGUUGGAUGCCUCGAAUCUGAUUGCAACCCAACCAUUCGAAGGAACAGAGAUGGUAUUCUGAAAGGGAGGAUCCACCAUAUUAUAGCGCAAAGGGUCCUUAUUUCCAUCGAAAUUCCCAAAUCCCCAUCCAACAACAUAGAAACUGUAUCCAUGGAGAUGCAUGGGGUGGUGUGUCGCUGCAAGCACAUUUGUCCCUUGAAAAACAAUAUCCACUGUGGAGUUAUACUCGAGCACCCUUACUUCUGUUCCGCUGCUCGGCAACUGAUAGAUUAAUGGAAGAUAAUCAGCUGUAAAAUCGAACACCAGUGGUGGAUCACUAGGAAAUUUAUCUCCAUAUAUACCACUGAUGUUAUAAUAGUAAGCUUGCAGUAUGUCAACUGUAGGGGUAUGGAAGCUUAUGUUGUUUAUACUUGAGGAGAAUCGCGUCCCAUUGGCCCCUGCACAUGAAUUAUUGACGCAUGGGUACGAGUUUACAGAAACAGUGUAAAUCAGGUUAGUGCUCGUGCUCAAUGGGACAUUGCAAGGAUGUUCCGCAUUUGCUAAGCUUCGGAGGCCGGCCAUGACCUGAACGGAUGCAUUUGUGUCAUUGUAUGCAGGAAGAUAAGGCAAGGAGGGAGGUGAAGAUGGAGUGUAGUAUCCGUUGUAUUGUACAAUAGCUGUGGUGGUUGUGUUAUCAUAAAAGUCUUGAUAUUUCGGGGCAACAGAAUAAGUUAUAGCCGCCAUGUAAUAGUGAUCCGGGCGUUGGUUAGCUUCUAGUAAGACAUCAUAGGUUUGGCCAGGAAAUAUUGUGAUAAAAUCUCGUGUCAAUGGUUUCGUGUAGCUACCAUCUGUUCCAACCACUGUCAUUUUAUGCUUGUCAAUGGAGAAGAAGAGAGCCUCUUGCAAGGCAGCAUUGAUUAUGCGAAGUAGAUAGGUCUUUCCAUGAUCCACCGUUAGCUUGAAUGUGUCUGCAAUUAGAAAGGGAAAGUUGUAUACUUAUGACUAGCCAAAAGAAAAAGAAAAAGUUUCCAUGAGGAUCCACUAAUUAUGAAGUGAUUGAUUGAUGAGGGGUGUAAAUUUGGCUCCAUAGUUCAAAAUUAUAUUUGGACUAGCCUUCUUUUGUGUUUUAAAUCAUGGCUCUACCAUCCUCAUAGCUAUAUUCCUCUUUCUUAGCAUUAAGCUUUAAAUAUGUUGAUGUUAAUAAGAAAAAGUAAUAUGGCUAACAUAUAAGAAAAUGAAAUUGUGUACAAUUUUAAAAUGGGAAGUUAAACUUUGUACCUGAUUUUGAGCAUGGAUAUAGAUCACCGGGUUGUCCAUUUAUCAAUAAAGCAUCAGAGGGGUCGGGGUCACCUCCGGUUGCAAGCCCUUCAUCUCGAACCGCAUUCACAUCAUUCUUCCACCAUUCUCCUGCAUUUCAACAACUUCAAUAAUUUUAGAUUUUGCUUUGUUGGUUAAUUCAUAAUAUGUAAAUUAACCUUUAAAAGUAACAACACUUAUACCUAAUAUGAUAGGGACCUCUCUAUCAGGUUUGUGAAAAGGAUACUUGGUUCCAUUCUUGGGAUAGAUAAUUAUAGCUCCAUGAACAGUGGCUCGGGUCCAAUCACUGUGAGCAUGCCACCAUAGAGUGCCUUCUUCAGUGGAAAGGAUGAUCUUCUGUGUAAACUUUGACCCUGGCCGAAUUGGGCAUUGUGUGAUAUACUCGGGACCAUCUGUCCAUGGAUAUCUAGGCAUGGUCACCCCAUGCCUGCGAAACCAUAACUAUACGUUAAAACUAGUACUAAUUUUCAAAGUAACAAAAGAUGGCAUGCAACAACAUAUUAUCAUAAUAACAAGAGGCAUCAAUUGUAUUUCAAUGGAACUAAAGCAAAUAACCUAAAAGUAUUGUUUUAAAUUUGACUUUAUUUUCAAAGUUAUAUAUUGUAGCCCCCUCUUAGAUAUAAAAGAAUAUAUGUCAUGCAAGCAUGGUACCACUGCUCUUUCUUUGAGACACGCACAGGACCUACCAGUGAAUGGUGAUGUUUUCAUUUCCCUUGUUAUAAACGUCGACAAUGAUCGUCUCUCCUUUCGUAGCAUAUAUGGUUGGUCCCGGAAAUUUUCCAUUUACUGUUAAGAUGUUCUUGGUGCUACAAAGCCUUUUAUAUGAAGCUUCCCUCACCUGCAACCAAUUAAAAGUUAGCCAUGCAACCUGAUCCCAAAAGAAAUAUCACAUGCAUGAAUAGUUGUAUCGAUCCAUUCAUGUAAGUGUAUAACCAAUUAGAAAUUGAUAGCAUGCAUGAACGACUCAACGACACCAAGGUAGUAGGUCAUAUGGUACGAAAUGAGAGCAAUACCACUCCCUAAAUAUCAUGAUUACAAGGUGGCGUUAAGGCCAGAAUCAUAUAUAGUAUUUACCACAAAAGUAAGCCGACGGGUCGAAGCUUGGCAAUGGAUGCCACCACCAAAAACUAGAAACGCUAAAAUUUGCAGGAGGAAAACCUUCAUGAUCAGCCACAUUUUCCUUGGAAUAAAAGCCUCUUCUCUUGUCCUAAACACAACUCCUUCAAUUCUCUUACUGCUUUUGAUGUAUUUCUUUCAUAUAUGGUUCAUUAUAUAGGCAUGGUAAUUCUCUAGGGAUACAAUACGUGUCAAUAUAAGAGGAAGUGAUUUGAAUGUGUAUUGGUUUUCAAUGUUCUUUCAGGACGACUUCAAUGAGCAGGACCACUUCAAAAUAAUUAAUUAUGAUAUUUCUUACACGUUACCUACACGUUAUUUUAGAAUAAAUUUAAAAUAUCCUUUCACAAGUCUUUUAUUGAUUAUUUCAACAAAUGUUAAUUAAUUAAAUAUAUGUAGGAUAUUUUUAAAACUUUGACCUCCCGUAUGAAAACUGUUUUUCAUUGACAACUACUUUUAACAAUUAUUGGGUGGUUGGCGGCAAAGUUGUUUUCGUAUUGUUAAUACAAUUUGUCAUGAUCGUUGAUUUCGUUUGAAUGGGACAAAGUUGUUUCCAAUUUUUUUUAAACUUGAGAAUUGAGAUUAUAAAAGACAAGAUGAGAAGUUAUUUGGUAUUUCAGAAUUUUCCAUAACAAAUACAAAAAUAUAUUUUGUAAAAAGCUGAAAAUAGGAUACUAACAACCCCUUAUAGUAUUUUUUUUUUUCUCAACAAAAAGCAAUUUAAUACUAAUAAUAAAAAAUAAUUAUAGAUUUUAAAAUAUAUUUUUCAAAAGAAAUGAAUCUAUAAUUUAUUUGUUCAAAUGGUAUGUAUAUAUUGAUUAAAUAAAUAAAUUAUGAAAAGAUUUAUAUAUUUUCAAAAUGAGAUUUUAAAAUUGAACAGAGAUAUUUGUUUAUUUUAGAUUUGAAUGUUUGGAUUCAUCUAAUUCCAUAAAUUAUUAUUUCUUUAUUUUAUUGGAGUUGACUUUAAAUGUUUGGAUUGACCUAAUUCCAAGUGGACUAAGCCAACCUAAUAUUUGAAUGGAGAUGAAAGCAUGGGUAUAGGUUUGUACUUAAAGAAAUUUAAAAAGGAAAUGAAGAUAUGAUUAAAAUAAACCUGAUACAGUUACUCUAUAAGAAUAGAUCCUGUUUCUAACCUUUUAACAUACAAAUUUGGAAACCUAAACGUAUGGAUUGUUUCUUUCCUAUAAUGGAAUCCUAUAUUCCUUCUCAAAGCAGCGCUGACUUGAUAAAGGUUUAUUUUAUCUAUAUAUGGGAGGUCAAAGUUUUAAAAGUAUUCUACAUAUAUUUUAAAUUUAUUCUAAAAUAAUGUGUUUGAUUAAUUUCUUGGUCGAUUCUCAAAGUCAAACUUGUAUUUUGAAUUAGAAAAUUCAAGAGAUUCUAAGAAACUCGUCUUCUACGAUACACAACCUGAUUGAAGCUGAGCUUUGAGAAAUUUUCACAAUUGUUAGCAUUCUUCAGGCAUUUGGUUUAUUUAAAUUUUAGUAGGUAAUCAAAUAUCAUACACAACCUGCUCUUUGAAGUGGUCCUGGAAGAACAUUCAAAACCAAUACACAUUCACAUUACUUCGCUUAUAUUGAUACGCGGCGAGGAAUUGUUGAUACCCAAGCCACAUGUGAUCUGAUUUAAUGAAUGAAUCUCUGCCCUUCAUCCGAAGAAUUCUGGUGUUCUGGAUUGAUGGGAGCAAAAAGGUGACCAGUUUUACCUUGAGUCAAAUUCAAAUGACAAAAUAUAUUACCAGGGCAAUCAUGGACACCACCCUUAACUACAAAAAUAGCGCACACAGCCAAUCCCAUCAACCUAGUAUUACACCAAUUUGGAGGCAGAUGUACCAUAUUACUGUGGAGCCUAUACGCUGUUGGCUGAACCACUCAGGAAUUCAACUUCCAGGAACGAAAGUACUGGAUUCAAUAUGUGGAGUAUAUGGCACCAUCUGGGUCAUGAAAAUCAAUGUCAAGUUAUAUGGAAAUAAUGUAGGAGUAGUGCUCAAAGGAGUAUAAGAAUUAUUCCAUAGGAUUUAAUUGAUUUACUUUUACAAUAUGAUCAAGAGAGAGAGGAGAGAAACCUGAAUUGGGAAUUGAAAUCUUGGUAAUUUAUUUGCCAGACUUUGCAUUUCCCUUAAUGUAGCUGCCACAAAGUUGCUGCUUUCAUUCUCAGACAGUCUGAAGCAAUUAGAAAAUGUGAAUCGGAGGCCCCCACAUUCCUUGGAUCUGUAGACACUUGAUGGACACAAAAUGUUUUCCAUAACUGUGCCAUCAUGGGCAUCUAUUUCUUCUAUACUUGAUGGAAGCUCUGGUAAUGAUUGAAGCCUCUUGCAACAACCCAACCUAAGGCCUUUGAGCUGUGAAAGUUGAUUGAGGCGUGCAGGUAGAGUAACAAAAUUGUUUCUGCUCAGAUCUAAAUAUUCCAAUGAGCACAGAGAGCUAAAGUCAUUGGGAAUUGCUCCUUCCAAUAUGUGGCAAUCACUUAGAUUUAACUUUCUUAGGGAUCUUAAACCAAAGAAAGAUGCAGUUGCCACACUAUUCUUAGAUUUAACUUUCUUAGGGAUCUUCAUAUUUAGUUUCAUAGGAAAGAUGUUUUCAAAGAAAUCUGCAUUCUUUGUUUCUAUUAUAGUAUUGACAUCUACCAGAUUAUUUUCUGACUUAGUAACAAGAAACCUAUAUGCCACACUAUUCUCAGCAUAGCCAAUGAACGUUGCAUCAAAGGUUUUAGGACCUAGUUUUCGUUUUUUAGGUUCGGGGAGAAGAACUUUAGCUAAACACCCCCACACUUUCAGGUAUGCUAUAUUAGGUGCACAACCUUUGCACAACUCAUAAGGAGUUUUACUAGUUUUCUUGUAAGGUAUUCUAUUUUGAAUAUGGCAUGCGGAUAGGAUAGCUUCCCCCCACAAGUUCAAGGGUGCUCCUGAACUUACUAACAUUGGAUUCAUAAUUUCUUUUAAGGUCUUAUUUUUCCUUUAUGCUAUUCCAUUAGACUCAGGGGAAUAAGGAGGAAUAAGGAGGAGUAGUUUCAUGAAUGAUCCCAUGAUCUUCACAAAAAGAAUUAAAGGGGUUGGACUCAUACUCUCCUCCUCUUUCAGUUCUAAGCCUUUUAAUUUUCUUACUUAGUUGAUUUUCCAUUUCAUUUUUGUACUUGAUGAAAGCAUCUCUUGCUUCAUCUUUGUUUCUCAAAAGAUAUACCCUUGUAUACCUUGAGUAGUCAUCUAUGAAAGUUAUGUAGAAUUGAUCACCACCUCUAGUCAUUGUAUUUUUUAGGUCUCCUAAGUCACUAUGUAUUAAACUUAGUAGACCUGAUUCUCUUUCAACUGAUUUGCAAGAUUUCUUUGUGGCUUUAGAUUCUACACAAGAUUCACAUUUCCCAUGGUUUUCUAAGGACAGAUUAGGGAUUAAACUCAAUUCAACCAUUUUCUUCGUAUAUGAAAAGUUCACAUGUCCUAGUCUACCAUGCCAAAUAUCACAAGAAUCAACUAUGUAAGCAAAAGAAGAAGAUGUAUUAUUAUUGAUAAUAUCAUAAACAUUCAACAUAAAUAAACCCUGAUUACAAUAGCUCUUUCCCACAAAUGCAUCAUUCUUGGUUAAAACUAUUUUAUCAGAGUCAAACAAGAUCCUCACUCCUGCUUUUCCAAGUAGAGAUACCGACACCAAGUUCCAACAGAUAUCUGGCACAUGAAGAACAUCAUGUAGGGCAAGCACUUUUCCAGAUGUUAGCUUGAGGAGAACUUUCCCUUUGCCAAUCACUGGAGUAGAUCUAGAAUCACCCAUGAACACUUGUUCCUCUCCUUUCUUUAUAGUGGUAUAGGAAGUAAAUGCAUUUCUAUUCCCACAGAUGUGCCUAUUAACCCCAAAGUCUACCACCCAUUCCUUCAUAUUGGUGACCAUGCUCACCUCAAAGGAGAUUACUGUUGUGAUCACCUCUGUCUCUGCCAGAUUUGCCUUUGAACUAGUCUUCUCAAUUCUCUUCCUAUGGCGACAUUGAGCUGCAUGGUGUCUAGACUUGCCACAGACAAAGCAAUUACCCCAUUUUUUAAUAAUUGAGUUUUGGACCUUGUUUAAUGCAUUAGGCUUGGUCCUAAAGUUUUGUUUCCUGAACCUAUUAUUUUUGGGUUUAGAUUUUUCUUCUACUACAUUAGCUUUAGAAGACAAUUCCUUAGCUUUCUCAAUAUUGUCCCUAUUUCGGUUUUGUUCCUCAAUCCUAAUAUGGAUUAUGACAUCCUCUAAGGACAUUUGUUUCCUUUUAUGUUUCAUGUUGUUUUUAUAGUCUUUCCAAGACUCCGGAAGAGCCUCUACUAAAUAACUAGCCACAAAAGGUUCGGGUAAUUUAAUGUCUUCAAUAGCUAAGUCAUUAAUCAACAAGUGGUAGUCAUGGAUUUGAGAUGAUACAACUCUAUCCUCACUCAUUUGGAAAUUUCUAAAAUUCCCUAUGGCAUAUUUAUGAGUUCCCGCAUCUUGCAAAAUAUAUUUUUUAUUCAUUGCAUCCCAAAUUUAUUUUGCAACUUUAAAUUGACAAUAAAUAUCAAAAAGUUCAUUAGAAAGUGUACUCAGAAUAGCAUAGCUAACUUGUUUAUUUCUAGUUUCCCAGGUUGGUAACCUAUGAGAACCAUCUUAUUGUUUUGGAUCAGUCAAAAUAUGUCCUAAGUUCACCACAUCAAUUGUAGAGAAAACCCUUUCCUGUCAUCUCUUAAAGAAUGUCCCAUUAAAUGGAUUAAUUUUAGAGGUGUCAGGAUGGGUGUGAAUUAGGGAAGCUUUCAUUUGAAUUUAUUUCAAGAUUGUUGGAUUUUAAGGGUAUGGAAACAAAGACUAGCCCAAAAAGACACAAACAAAGAACAUAAUGAAUAAUAAAAAAAAACUUAUCGGCUGAGGCAUGACAAACACUGUCCUUGAAAUAGAUCCACCCUUCUCGAAGACGAACUCUAUGCACUAUGUGAGAAAGGGUAUAAAUAAUGUGAGAUAAGGUACAAAAAAAUGUGAAAAAAAUGUACGAAUAAUGUGAGAAAAUGGUAUGCACAAUGUUAUAAAAUGGUACAAAAAAUGUAAGACAUGGUAUGAAUAAUGUGAGAUAGGGUACAAAUAAUGUGAUAUAAUGUAUGAAGAAUGUGAAGAAUGUGAGCAUGGGUAUGAAGAAUGUGAGAAAUUGUACGAAAAAUGUGGAAAAAAAAGUGCGAACAAUGUGAGAAAUUAUACAAAACAAUACAAGACAUAUGGUACAAAUAAUGUGAGAGAGAUGGUAUGAAAAAUUUGAAAUAUGAUACGAACAAUGUAAGGAAUGUUACAACCAAUAUGAGAAAGAAUACAAAGAAUAGGAGGAAGGAUAUGAAGAAUGUGAGACAUAGUAUGAAAAAUCUGAGAAAGGGUACGAACAAUGUGAGAAAGAAUACAAAGAAUGUGAGAUAGGGUAUAAAUUGUAAGGAAACCCAGAUCACUCUAUUCCAUAUCUUAGAAUUAGGUUAGAUGCAUGCAAAAACUUUCCUAGGCUUUUCUAAAUCCUAUGCAUAAUAAAAACAAACAUUUAAAAACUUUAGCAAGAUUUAAAAAUCAAAAGAGAAAAACUAUACAUUGAUUUGGAUAUUCUCAAAUCAAAUCCAUGUAGUGAAGUUGAAGGUUGAAGUAUUCAGAGGUCUCAAUGACUCAAACUCGAUAUUUGAACCCCAAAGGUGGGUUGGCUAUUGCUAUCUACAAAUUGGAUGAUAGAACACAACUAUCUUAAAAACCCUAACCUUUGAGAAGGUAUUUAUAGGGUUCCUUAAUUAGGCUUAAGUGACUUAAGCUUACCGUGGACUUAGGUCACUUAAUUUAGCUCAAAAUAUGUCUUAAUCAAUUAAUUACAUGACACUAUUAGGUUAAUUGAUUAAUUAACCUAAUAUGGCCAAUCAAUUAACCUAAUAGGGCCAUGUAAUUAAUCAAUUAACCUAAUCUAGAGGUUUUAUUCACUUACCUUUGUGUAACCUUACAUAAUUACCAAAACACUAUUAUGCACAAAAGUUAAUUAAGAGUUAAUCUAACCCUUAUGAACCAUUCCACCAAGGUAUAUGAACUCGAGUGGGGACCCCACUAGGAACCAUAGGAUAAUACUGACACAUUCAUAAUCCAGUUUUGAAGUUAACUCAACAUUCCACUACAAAAAAUUAAUUGCACCACAAUAUCCUAUGUACAAUACAAUGAAACACCAAGUUCUCUAGAUCGUGACCUAUUAUCCACUAAUUUCACCACAAUAUCCUAUGUGCAUAUGAUCAAAUGACAUGCCCUACCUCACUAAGAGCAUACGUCAAAUUACUAAAGGAAUUACUGUGUGUCCACAGAUUUCAUGAUCACACGUCCUUAGGAUCACCCAAUGGAACACACUCUCUUAAAGUCCAUGAGAUAUCGUGGUGUCUCUAAUGAGAAUACCAAUUUUUAUCGGCUUCCAUCAAUAGUGACUUAAUCCAUAGGAAAUAUAUGAUCAACUUACGAUCUCACAGUAGGUCAAAGCCUCUACUAACUUUAACUUAUAUAAGCUUAGUAUUCUCUUAAGGUUGAGAGACAAUACAAUUUAAUAGCUUGGUGAAGUCAUGACUACAUGAUAGUCUUAUGUCGUGACUCACCAUAGGUUCUGUUCAAUAUUGUGCAAACUUACACACUAGUGCACUCACCAUGGGAACCCCAUCCCAAUGGCCAAGACCAAUCAUUCCUCCUAUUAGAAGGUAGUGCACUACAACUUCUAAUGGGUUACCUAGGUUCAUGAACUAGCUAUGAACAAGUCAUCUAUUUGUAAUAAACCCAUGACUUGGAUCUUCUAUGCAACUCCUAAUGCACUUAAGUCGCAUUUAAUCAAACCUAAAUGCUUACAAGGUAUAGUGAAUGUCAUGUCAUGUCAUGUCAUGCUUUUAAAGAUUUUAUCAUAACUUGAAUAAUGUGAGACAUGGUACGAACAAUGUAAGAGAGAGUACAAAUAAUAUAAGAAAGAGUAAAAACAAUGUUAGAAAGAGUAUGAACAAUGUGAGACAAGAUAUGAAGAAUGUGAGGGAGGGUAUGAACAAUGUGAAGGAGGGUACAAACAAUGUGAGACAAUACAUGAAGAAUGUGAGGAAUGAUACAAAGAAUGUGAUGAAUGGUACAAAGAAUGUGAGGCAAGGUAAGAAGAAUGUGAGAAAGCGUACGAACAAUAUGAGAAAGUGUAUGAACACUGUGAGACAAUGUAUGAAUAAUGUGAGAUAAUGCAUGAAUAAUGUAAGAUAGUGUACAAAACAAAGUGAGAAAGAAUACGAACAAUAUGAGAAAUUAUAUGAAAAAUAUGGAGGGUAUAAAGAAUAUGAGAUAUUAUAUAAAUAAUGUGAGAAAAUAUACGAAAAAUAUGAGAUAUAGUACGAAUAAUGUAGAAAUGGUACGAACAAUGUGAGAUAAGCUAUGAAGAAUGUGAGAAAUAGUACUCUUCAUAUCCUUUCUCACAUUAUUUAUACCCUCGCUCAUGUACUUUUGUACAUAUUCUCACAUUCUUUGUACAUGAUCUCGCAUAAAAUAGAUAUUGUUUUAUUAAAUACAAAAAAAUUAUAAAAAAUUAUAAAAAUAUUGAAUUUUUAAAAAACCAAAUUGAUAACAUGUAUGGCUAAAUAAUGUAGUUCUCUAACUACUAUUUUUUUAUUAUUUUAUUUUAGUUUCUUCAUGGAUAUAAUGGACAAAGGCAAACGAAAGAAAUUCAUCAUUGAUUUGAAUAAUGAAAACUUUGAUUAAUAAUAUGAUUGCAAUGUGAAAACCGGGUUUGACAAAAAGCCCAUGCUAGUUUAAGAGAAUAUUUUGUAUGGUUUAAGACUUGAAGAUGUAUGGGAAAUGGAGUUCAACUCAAUAGAUGAGAUAGAAGAAUUUUACAAUUUAUACGUAAAGUUAACAAAUUCAAUGUUAGAAAGGAUGAUGUUAAAUGAGAUAAGAAUGAAAAUAUAGCAUCUCAUAUGUGGGUUUGCUCAAAGAAGGAUAAAGACAAACAAUAUGUUUGGAGAAUGAAAAUCGAAAACGAGAACAUAAGACAAUAACUAGAGUUGGUUGUGAGACAUCACUUCGUAUCGAGUUUAACAAACAAAUAAAUAAGUGUAUUAUGAUGGAGUUUAUGGGUGAUCAUAAUCAUCCUUUGGUGGAACCAAAAAUACCCAAUUCUUUCAAUCCCAAAGGGUCAUGAGGAAUGCAUAUAAGGCUUAAUUGAGUGCAAUGCGUAGUGUUUGCCUGAGAACUAGACAAAUUAUGGAUUACAUGGUGCAACAAUCAAAUGGAUAUAUUAAUGUGGGCUUCACAAAGAAAAAAAGAUCUAUAUAACCAUGUUAAUGUUGAUUGUAAAGUUCAGAUAAGAAAUGGUGAUACAAAGGGUACACUUUCUUACUUGUGUGGAAAGGCUUAAAUGGAUACAUCAUUUUAUUACAAGUACAAUGUUGAUAAAGACAAUCGCUUAACAAACUUGUUUUGGCCAAAUUCUACAAGAAUAUUGGAUUACACUUAUUUCAGAAAUGUGUUAGCAUUUAAUAGAACUUAUGAGACUAAUGCUUAUAGAAAACUAUUGGUCAUCUUAGUUGACAUUAACCAUCACAAUCAAAUUGUAGUGUUUAGAUGUUCAUUAUUGGUAGAUGAGAGUCUUUACACUUAUACAUAGGUUUUGGAGACAUUUUUGGAUGUAAUGAAUAAAAAGAAGUUUUUUAUUUUUUUCUGUUAUUAUAGAUGAGGACAAAGCAAGGUGUCAAGCCAUUAAGAGAAUAUUUCUAUAGUUUUAUCAUUGGUUAUGUGCUUAUUAUAUUCAAUGCAAGACAUUCAUUAAUGUCUAUGUCAAAGACUUUACUUAUCAUUUUUCUAGGUACAUGUUCAUGGAAGGCACCGUUAAUUUGAAUGUGCAUGGAGUGGCAUGGUGGAAAUGUGUAAUCUCCACGAACAUAAUUGGGUGAUAGACAUAUAUGCUAAGUGUCCUAGAUGGGCAAAGGCUUAUUUAAAGGUGCAUUUCUUUGCAAGUUUGAAAGCGCACAAAGGUGUGAAAGGAUGAAUGCAUACUUGAAUAGUUUCCUUAAAACUCAUUUAAAGUUGUUUGAGUUUUUGAAGCAUUUUGAUUGAGCACUCUCAUGUAUUCAUCAUAAUGAGGCAAAGGCAAAGUUUGAGAUGCACACUCUUUUACUUCUUCUAAACUCCAAACUCCAUGAAAUUGAGAAAUAUACAGACAUUGUUUUCACUCGGAAAUCUUUUCUCAAAUUUAGGGAUGAAAUGAAUGCGAAACUUUUUUCCCUUAUUAGUACAAAAAAUCAUAGAGGUUAUCAUGUCCAUACAUUGACUAAAUUUAGAAGCUCUGACAAGUUCUCAAAAGUAUGUUAUGGUAAUUGUGAUGAGUCUAUGAAAUGUACUUGGAAAGGGAGACACAGGUUGGUGGUCUUUUGGGGGGAAUAGAAGAUAGAGAGGGAGACACCACUUUUUUGGAGAACGGAGGUCCACACAGGUUCAGAUUUUGGUGAGGCUUUCCGGGGAUUUUCGGAAGCAGAUUCAACAGAUUUUGGUGAAGGAGUUCUCUAGGCGGUUUUUUCUGUUGUUAAGUGGCAGCCGCAUGGACUGCAUGAGGAGGGUUGACGUCUCAUAGUUACCUUCUUUCCUCCAUUGAUAGUAGCCCACAAGGCCACCUUAAGUGGGCGACACAAUAAGGCUGCCAUGCACGCAUGAGGCAGCCAUGACGCUGCCAUGUGGGAGAAGGUAGCAACCACUUCCGCAUUUUUUCUAUGUAUCUCCAGAAACUCCUUUGUACAGCCCACACACGGGCUAAUGAAGCAGAUUCCUGCAUGUGUCACUACAUGCAAAAUAUAUGCAGAAUAUAUAUGAGCCUUGAAUUUGUCACUACAUGCAAAAUAUAUGCAGAAGUGAUUGAAAAUGCAUGACCACCUUUUCCUGCAUGUGAAUGUGUUGAGCUGUAUGGUGCAAUUACUAAUGAAAUUCUCAAUUUGGUUGAUAAGUAUUUUGAGAUGCAAAAGCAUGAUGUUGUCUGGGCAUUGGAAAUUUAUCAGAAAGCAGGAGAGCCAUCAAACAUUCACCCGACAAGCAAGAGAAACACAUAGGCCGCACCAUUCUCCAACAAGACACAACAACAUACAUUCUUGAAGGUAAGUCCCUUUUUAAAAUUUUAUUUUAGUUUAAUUUUAAUUUAUUUAGUUAGUUUAGAUGUUUUUUCUUCAUAAUUAGUUUAAUUAAUUCUACAUUAUAAAGUUCUUAUUUUUCAUUCCGAUUUAGUUUAGUGUUGAUUUUUCUUUUAAUUUAAGUGUGUUUGUGGUUUUAAUUCAAUAGUUUAAUUAAUCUUAUUAGAUAAAGUUCAUAUAUAUAUAUAUAUAGAUUAUCCCAAAUUAGUUUAGUUUUAAUCUUUCUUUUAGUUUAAGUGUGUUAGUAAUUUUAAUUCAGUAGUUUAAAUAAUCAUGUCAGAUAAAGUUCGUGUUUUUAAUUCUAAUUAGCUUCGUCUUAAUUUAUUCUUUAGUUUAGAUUUGUUGUUGAUUAUAAUUUAUUAGUUUAAUUAAUCUUAUUAGAUAAAGUCUAAUUUCAAUUUAGUUUAGUUUUAAUUUAUUCUAUAAUUUGAGUUUGUUUGCGAUUUUAAUUCAAUUGUUUAAUUAAACCUCUUAGGUAAAGAUCUUGUUUUUAAUUCCGAUUUAGUUUAGUUUUAAUUUACUUAUUUAUUUAUUUAUUUUAGUUUAGAUGUGUUUGUAAUUUUAAUUCGACAAUUUAAUCGAUCUUAUUAGAUAAAGUUGAUGUUUUUAAUUCUAAUUUAGUUUAAUUUUAAUUUAUUUUUUAGUUUAAAUGUGUUUGUGUGUUUAAUUGACCUUAUGCUAGCUCUUGAUUUGUUAUUCUCAAUUUAGGCGUUUUCUUGAAUCUUAGUCAUUAAUUCUUGGUGGAUAUCUCAUUAGUUUAUUUAAUCUAAGUUUUAAUAAUUUAUUAUUUCGGUAGUCUCUUGUCAAAUUUACUUUUCAGAUGCCAUCGGAAAAUAGUGAAGAUUGACCUCCAUUCUCACCACUUUAGUUUGUUUGGUUGUCAAAAAUUUUACUUUGUGAUUUUGUUUACUUUUAUUUUGCUUGUUUCUUAUGUUUUGAUUGUUUUCAAAUUAUUUUAUUUUAUUUUAAAAUAAAAUAUUUUUCUCAAAAGAUCCAUUUGAAAAUUCUAUUUUAAAAAUAAUUCAUUUAGAGUCUUUAGAAUCAGAAUCUCAUUUUUUAAUAAUAUGCAACCAUGUCUUGAUUGGUUUGCAUUUUUCUCAGUUUUCAAUAAAAAUUCUGGUUUUAAAUAGAAUAUGAAUCUAAACUUGUGGUCCCAAACAAAUGGGAUAAUUCUGGGCUAGAUUUUUGUAUAUCAAUUGGGGAAUUGGUGAAACCCCUACAUAAGAAAAUUCUUCAAAACUCAUAUUUUUUGCCACCUUUGCUAUUUCAUGAAAUCAUGUCUAUUUAUUUUUUAGGAAUUAUAUACAAGAUUUAUGUGAUAAUUGAUGAUUUCGUAUACUUUGAUCAUUUUUGCUAGGCUAAUUAUAUAACAAGCACGUUAGGAUUUCUUUAUUUUAUUAUUUAUUAUCUAACCCCUCAUGUCUUGUGAAAGCACGUUACAAGUUAUCUAUGCUAUCCAAGUACGUCCUCUAUCACCCACCUUCUAAAUUUUGUGAAUAUACCGGUCACUGUGAACUGCACUUAUGUUUGAUAGUGCUUGGGUGUUUUGAUAUUUGUUUCAUUGUUCGAUUAUUUUUUAUAAAGCGCAUGCUGGAUGAUAUAUUAUUUGAACUAACUUUGAUGUCUUGUGAGGGCGCUAAGAAGCAGUUUAGGUACACACCUUAAAUCUUCUUUAUAAUUAUGAUUUGUUUUUCUUAUUUGGCAUGCUAUUUUUGAAAUCACCUAGCUUACUUAGGUAUCCAUGAUCAACCAAUUAAUUGUCACAUUUCCCUCAACUUAGCCAGUAGAGAUCUUUUUAGGGCUUAGAGGAGUGUUACCUCUUAAAAGUACCUUCCCAAUGGUAACUUGAUUCUUGAACCAAGACUUGGGUUUUCGAGACAUGCUUUUCCAAAAUUGUGGAGUCACUUAUUUAGGGUUUUCUUUCUUGUUUUAUUUUCCCUUUAAAGUAAAAUAAAAUAAGGGGCGACUCCAGCUUUUCCAAAACUAAUUUUUCACCAAUAAAAGCGAGUCUCACUGAUUGAGUGGGAACGCACGUGAAAAAUGUGGGUCCACAGUAUAUAUGGGGCAACCUAAAGGAUUUAUUGUUAUAAGAUAAGAACACCAAGUUAGAGAUAGAUACAUUUAGCUAGGUUGGUUUUUAACCAAUCCAAGAAUCAAAUAGGAGUUCAUUGGUUUUAACUAAAGUACAACAAAUUUAUUUAUUUACUCAUACUAAUCCAACUUAAUAUCAAUUCGAUUCAGUUUAGUUAACUCAAUUUAGACAAAAUUAUUGAGUUUGUAUGUUUUUUUUCACUUCGACCAUACAACCAAAAUGAUCAAAUUGUUUUAGAUAUAUAUAUAUUUUACAAGUAAUACAAUUAAAAUUUUUUUAAAUAUGUGUGGGAGCAACCUAUGGGUUAUUUGCUUGUUGGGAGUAAGUCAAUGAGUUGUAUUAUUGACAUAUUGGGCACUUGUGACUUGAAAUUAUAUUAUCAUCAUUAUUAAGUCCCAAAGUACAAUGAUUUUAAAUUUUAGAUCAUGCUUAUGCCAUAAGCAACUUUUAAUUUGUAAUAAAGCCAUACGAGUUAGGCUCCAAGCCACUAACACCGAAUUGUAGCCCAACUAAGUUGGCUUUGGAUGAGCAUGGUUCGACUCAUAAAGUCCCAAGAUUCUCCACAACACUCCAAAAUCCAAGCAAUUAUAUUUGUCCCACUCCUCUACUACUUGGGUUUCUUUGCCAGUCCACUUUUGGUAAGUGAUCUAGGUUGAAUUUUCCAUAAGCCAAAUACCAAAAUAGAAUUACUCAAGUAAGAAGACUUCUAAAGAGAAUAGUCUAAAGAGCUACUACAAAAGAGAAUAGGAGAUGGUUAGAGUAAUGGUGGUGACUAUUGAAAGAGUCGAUGGUGGUGGGAAGCCAUAGCUACUGGUGAAGAGGAAGUUAGGUGAAUUGGAGACUCAGUGAAGAAGAUAAUGCGAACUUGAUAAAAUUUCCUCCAACUUUUCCUUUUCUCUCUUAUUUUUCCCGCUAAUUUUUAAGGAAAGUAGUAGGGAAAAUAUUACAAUAUUUUCUUUAGUAUUUUCCUUUAUAUUUUUUUUCCAUCAUAUUUUUCAUGUCACCCAAACUGAGGAAAAUAACUUUCCAUAAUAUUUUUUUUCCCUUUCCCUUGCAUUUUCUGAAAACUAAACACAACCUUUAUAAAUAAAAAAUUAAGAAUUACAGUAAGACGGUAUAUUCUUCCUUUUUCUUCCUGCAUUUCUACAUCCACUACUCUAUUUUACAUCAUAUUUUUACUCCCUUCUUCAAUCAGCAUUCCUCUCUUUAUAUAGAGUUAUCUUCACACUAAUUCAUAAGAUAAGAAAGAUGAAUGAACCUUGGGGCAAGGUUGGACAAUUGGUAGCAACGUGUCGACCUCUCUUUAGCAUGAAAAUGGCUAGAACGUGUUAAGCUCUCUUAUUAGAUGACGUGUCAACUAUAGGGCAAUCAUAGGAUGGGGAAUAUAUGGUAAUUAUGCAAAAAAAGAAAAAAAGAAAAAAAGAAAAAGAAAAAUCGAUAUCCAAUUAUAUAGAAAGACAUCUUCCAACAUUUGAUAUAAAUAAAAAUUAAGAGAAAAAUAUUUUUAAAAAACAUAUUAAACCUAAAAAUAGGGAAUUAAUAAUAAAAUAAAGUAAAAAGGUAAAAUUAAAACCAAAUAUUAAAAAUAAUGUUAUUCAGGUUAAAUCAUUGGGUUUGCUAGAGGAGUUUAUAUAUAUAUAUUAGUUUUUUUUCUUCUUUUUAAUCCUAUCUAUGUUGUUGAUAUUAAUGCAUUGAAUUUGAUGUUACCUAAAACAAAAUUAUAUUUCAUGUUCUCUAUUAUAAGUCGACAACCAUACCUUAUGUUAUAUUUUAGAUAAAGAACGAAUAAUGAAGAUUGGAGUUGUAAGAAAUUAGGAGAUCCUAAUUUUAAAUAUGUAACAAAGUUCUAUAAUCACUCCAAUCCACAUUUAAAAAUUGUAUUUCUUUCUAAUAUGGGAGCAAACUUUUUCCUUCUUUCUUAUAAUUUUCAUUUGGGAAUGAUUUAAAAAUAAAUAAAUAAAAGCCCUUCCCAAUAUUAAAAAAAACACUCUUAUAAAAAUUAAUUAGGUGGAUGGUAAGGUCAAAUUCGGGAUAGCUUCAUAUUUUUUGCUUUAAUUGAAACUUAAAAUCAAAAUUAAAGUAAUAAUUUUUAAGAUGUUGUAAAAGUUUUAUUAAACAUGAAAGAACUUAUUGUGUAAACAAAAAUAGAACUAUAGAAUUCUUAUAAGAAAUAACAAUUUUAUGAAUUCUAUAUGAAACCUUUUUUAAAAGUUAUAAGUUUUUUUAUAAAUAAUUAAAUAGGUAUAGAAACUUUUAUUCAACUUAAUUUUUUUUUAACGGUUAAAAGUCAAUCCAAAUAAAAUUUAAAUAUAUUUGAAAAUCAUUUUUAAAAAUCCAAAAAAUCACUUAAAAAUAAUUUCUGAACUUUUUUUUUUUUUAAUUUACAUUCAAAUACUAAGUGAUUCUUUUAAAAAUCAUUUAUAAUGUCAAAAUAUUUUUUUAUGGAUAAAAACACUAGAAAUAAAAAACAUUUUAAUUCAUGAAAUUUCAUUUAUUGUUAUUUAUUUUUUGGGAUUUAAUUCUUUACAAUUAUUUUUGAGUGUUUAUAAAGUAUAAUUAGGUUAUGCCCAAAUUUAUUCCUUUAACUCUAUCCAUUAGAUAUAAGUAGCGUGAAAUUUUGGCCUGUCUCCACCUUUCUUCACUUCUGACAUUGUCAUGCAGUGCUUCGUCAAUGGAUAAUAUAUUAAUUUAUUUCUUAAUUUAAUAGCAUUGGAGUGUCAGCUGGAAUAAAAUGAAAGUUCAAUCAUUUAAUCUUUUUUAGCACACCACUCAUAACUGUCAGUGAUUUCCUGCCAACUUAACAUAUUGACAUGGACUUGGAGAGUUCGGUCAAUUAAAGCAGCUUGGUUAAUUGUAAGUGUUUUUUCUCUAAACCAUAAAUUCCUACGUUUUAAUUUAUAAAAACAAGUGAUUUGUUUUUACUUAAGGAAGCAGGAAAGGGUUUAAAAUAAGAGUUGAAAAGUAUGCCAAUUAUUUUAACUUAAAAUACUUAAAUAAAAAGGAAUUGAUUUUAUCUCAAUUGUAUAAGACUUUAUAAAAAUUAUCAUUUAUAAUUUUUUUGAUUAUUAAUAUGAUACGUAACCUUUGACAGAAUUGGAAUAAAAUAUGGAUAAUUAAAAAAUGUCAACUAUCCCAUUUCAAACUUUUCUAAUACAGCAUGAUAUUUUAUCAUGUUGAAUGAAAUGGGAAUGACCAAAAAUUGUCAAAUCAAAGAUUUAUCUAUUGUGGACAUGGCAUUCAGAGGCUUCUUAACAUUGUAUUGGUCUAUUUAAUGAGUUGAAAUAAGAACACAACAUCAAAUUCUCUUUUUAUAAUCAAAGACUGCUAUGGAAAAUUCCACCAUAGCAUAUCUCAAAUUCCAUUAAUAAUCCCAAACACAAUAUUCCGCAACUUUACAUUAUUCUUUUUAUCAACUUUACACAAAAAAUUGAAGAGGAAUACUAACUUAAAUCAAACAGAAAUUAAAUCAUGAAAGAUGAAUAAUACAAAUAUUCAAUGAAAUCUUUGGCGUGUUAUUUCUUUGCAGCUUCAACAUGGUGGCAUGUCCGACGGAGGAGACAACAUUUGAGCUUCCGGGUGUUUACCAUUUUUCACUAUGAACGCAGUUUCCAUGCCCCAAGUCAGAUGGCGUUCUACAUGGCAGUGCAUGAACCACACUCCUGCAACAGAGAAAAUAUACCAACAUUACACCUAACUUUAUUGUAAUAUUAAGAAAAAAUAUUUCAUUGGUAUGGAGGUUGGCAGUUUCAAGGGUUUUUUUCUUUAAUAGAGGACAUGAGUGCUUGGAACAUACCAGGGUUGGAUGCCUCGAAUCUGAUUGCAACCCAACCAUUCGAAGGAACAGAGAUGGUAUUCUGAAAGGGAGGAUCCACCAGAUUAUAGCGCAAAGGGUCCUUAUUUCCAUCGAAAUUCCCAAAUCCCCAUCCAACAACAUAGAAACUGUAUCCAUGGAGAUGCAUGGGGUGGUGUGUCGCUGCAAGCACAUUUGUCCCUUGAAAAACAAUCUCCACUGUGGAGUUAUACUCGAGCACCCUUACUUCUGUUCCGCUGCUCGGCAACUGAUAGAUUAAUGGAAGAUAAUCAGCUGUAAAAUCGAACACCAGUGGUGGAUCACUAGGAAAUUUAUCUCCAUAUACACCACUGAUGUUAUAAUAGUAAGCUUGCAGUAUGUCAACUGUAGGGGUAUGGAAGCUUAUGUUGUUUAUACUUGAGGAGAAUCGCGUCCCAUUGGCCCCUGCACAUGAAUUAUUGACGCAUGGGUACGAGUUUACAGAAACAGUGUAAAUCAGGUUAGUGCUCGUGCUCAAUGGGACAUUGCAAGGAUGUUCCGCAUUUGCUAAGCUUCGGAGGCCGGCCAUGACCUGAACGGAUGCAUUUGUGUCAUUGUAAGCAGGAAGAUAAGGCAAGGAGGGAGGUGAAGAUGGAGUGUAGUAUCCGCUGUAUUGUACAAUAGCUGUGGUGGUUGUGUUAUCAUAAAAGUCUUGAUAUUUCGGGGCAACAGAAUAAGUUAUAGCCGCCAUGUAAUAGUGAUCCGGGCGUUGGUUAGCUUCUAGUAACACAUCAUAGGUUUGGCCAGGAAAUAUUGUGAUAAAAUCUAUUGUCAAUGGUUUCGUGUAGCUACCAUCUGUUCCAACCACUGUAAUUUUAUGCUUGUCAAUGGAGAAGAAGAGAGCCUCCUGCAAAGCAGCAUUGAUUAUGCGAAGUAGAUAGGUCUUUCCAUGAUCCACCGUUAGCUUGAAUGUGUCUGCAAUUAGAGAAGGAAAGUUGUAUACUUAUGACUAGCCAAAAGAAAAAGAAAAAGUUUCCAUGAGGAUCCACUAAUUAUGAAGUGAUUGAUUGAUGAGGGGUGUAAAUUUGGCUCCAUAGUUCAAAAUUAUAUUUGGACUAGCCUUUUUUUGUGUUUUAAAUCAUGGCUCUACCAUCCUCAUAGCUAUAUUCCUCUUUCUUAGCAUUAAGCUUUAAAUAUGUUGAUGUUAAUAAGAAAAAGUAAUAUGGCUAACAUAUAAGAAAAUGAAAUUGUGUACAAUUUUAAAAUGGGAAGUUAAACUUUGUACCUGAUUUUGAGCAUGGAUAUAGAUCACCGGGUUGUCCAUUUAUCAAUAAUGCAUCAGAGGGGUCAGGGUCACCUCCGGUUGCAAGCCCUUCAUCUCGAACCGCAUUCACAUCAUUCUUCCACCAUUCUCCUGCAUUUCAACAACUUCAAUAAUUUUAGAUUUUGCUUUGUUGGUUAAUUCAUAAUAUGUAAAUUAACCUUUAAAAGUAACAACACUUAUACCUAAUAUGAUAGGGACCUCUCUAUCAGGUUUGUGAAAAGGAUACUUGGUUCCAUUCUUGGGAUAGAUAAUUAUAGCUCCAUGAACAGUGGCUCGGGUCCAAUCACUGUGAGCAUGCCACCAUAGAGUGCCUUCUUCAGUGGAAAGGAUGAUCUUCUGUGUAAACUUUGACCCUGGCCGAAUUGGGCAUUGUGUGAUAUACUCGGGACCAUCUGUCCAUGGAUAUCUAGGCAUGGUCACCCCAUGCCUGCGAAACCAUAACUAUACGUUAAAACUAGUACUAAUUUUCAAAGUAACAAAAGAUGGCAUGCAACAACAUAUUAUCAUAAUAACAAGAGGCAUCAAUUNNNNNNNNNNNNNNNNNNNNNNNNNNNNNNNNNNNNNNNNNNNNNNNNNNNNNNNNNNNNNNNNNNNNNNNNNNNNNNNNNNNNNNNNNNNNNNNNNNNNNNNNNNNNNNNNNNNNNNNNNNNNNNNNNNNNNNNNNNNNNNNNNNNNNNNNNNNNNNNNNNNNNNNNNNNNNNNNNNNNNNNNNNNNNNNNNNNNNNNNNNNNNNNNNNNNNNNNNNNNNNNNNNNNNNNNNNNNNNNNNNNNNNNNNNNNNNNNNNNNNNNNNNNNNNNNNNNNNNNNNNNNNNNNNNNNNNNNNNNNNNNNNNNNNNNNNNNNNNNNNNNNNNNNNNNNNNNNNNNNNNNNNNNNNNNNNNNNNNNNNNNNNNNNNNNNNNNNNNNNNNNNNNNNNNNNNNNNNNNNNNNNNNNNNNNNNNNNNNNNNNNNNNNNNNNNNNNNNNNNNNNNNNNNNNNNNNNNNNNNNNNNNNNNNNNNNNNNNNNNNNNNNNNNNNNNNNNNNNNNNNNNNNNNNNNNNNNNNNNNNNNNNNNNNNNNNNNNNNNNNNNNNNNNNNNNNNNNNNNNNNNNNNNNNNNNNNNNNNNNNNNNNNNNNNNNNNNNNNNNNNNNNNNNNNNNNNNNNNNNNNNNNNNNNNNNNNNNNNNNNNNNNNNNNNNNNNNNNNNNNNNNNNNNNNNNNNNNNNNNNNNNNNNNNNNNNNNNNNNNNNNNNNNNNNNNNNNNNNNNNNNNNNNNNNNNNNNNNNNNNNNNNNNNNNNNNNNNNNNNNNNNNNNNNNNNNNNNNNNNNNNNAGGAGAGAAACCUGAAUUGGGAAUAGAAAUCUUGGUAAUUUAUUUGCCAGACUUUGCAUUUCCCUUAAUGUAGCUGCCACAAAGUUGCUGCUUUCAUUGUCAGACAGUCUGAAGCAAUUAGAAAAUGUGAAUCGGAGGCCCCCACAUUCCUUGGAUCUGUAGACACUUGAUGGACACAAAAUGUUUUCCAUAACUGUGCCAUCAUGGGCAUCUAUUUCUUCUAUACUUGAUGGAAGCUCUGGUAAUGAUUGAAGCCUCUUGCAACAACCCAACUUAAGGCCUUUGAGCUGUGAAAGUUGAUUGAGGCGUGCAGGUAGAGUAACAAAAUUGUUUCUGCUCAGAUCUAAAUAUUCCAAUGAGCACAGAGAGCUAAAGUCAUUGGGAAUUGCUCCUUCCAAUAUGUGGCAAUCACUUAGAUUUAACUUUCUUAGGGAUCUUAAACCAAAGAAAGAUGCAGUUGCCACACUAUUCUUAGAUUUAACUUUCUUAGGGAUCUUCAUAUUUAGUUUCAUAGGAAAGAUGUUUUCAAAGAAAUCUGCAUUCUUUGUUUCUAUUAUAGUAUUGACAUCUACCAGAUUAUUUUCUGACUUAGUAACAAGAAACCUAUAUGCCACACUAUUCUCAGCAUAGCCAAUGAACGUUGCAUCAAAGGUUUUAGGACCUAGUUUUCGUUUUUUAGGUUCGGGGAGAAGAACUUUAGCUAAACACCCCCACACUUUCAGGUAUGCUAUAUUAGGUGCAUAACCUUUCCACAACUCAUAAGGAGUUUUACUAGUUUUCUUGUAAGGUAUUCUAUUUUGAAUAUGACAUGCGGAUAGGAUAGCUUCCCCCCACAAGUUCAAGGGUGCUCCUGAACUUACUAACAUUGCAUUCAUAAUUUCUUUUAAGGUCUUAUUUUUCCUUUAUGCUAUUCCAUUAGACUCAGGGGAAUAAGGAGGAAUAAGGAGGAGUAGUUUCAUGAAUGAUCCCAUGAUCUUCACAAAAAGAAUUAAAGGGGUUGGACUCAUACUCUCCUCCUCUUUCAGUUCUAAGCCUUUUAAUUUUCUUACUUAGUUGAUUCUCCAUUUCAUUUUUGUACUUGAUGAAAGCAUCUCUUGCUUCAUCUUUGUUUCUCAAAAGAUAUACCCUUGUAUACCUUGAGUAGUCAUCUAUGAAAGUUAUGUAGAAUCGUUUACCACCUCUAGUCAUUGUAUUUUUUAGGUCUCCUAAGUCACUAUGUAUUAAACUUAGUAGAUCUGAUUCUCUUUCAACUGAUUUGCAAGAUUUCUUUGUGGUUUUAGAUUCUACACAAGAUCCACAUUUUCCAUGGUUUUCUAAGGACAGUUUAGGGAUUAAACUCAAUUCAACAAUUUUCUUCAUAUAUGAAAAGUUCACAUGUCCUAGUCUACCACAAGGAUUGAAAUAUUGGCAAAUACGGAUAUAUCGGUACUUGGAUUUUACGGAUAUAUCGGAAAUAUCAGAGAAAUAUCGGUUGAUAUUUUUCAUCAAAUAUCGGUGAGACAAAAAUUAUCCAAAAUUGAUGGGAAUGCUUAGAAAAAUCCAAAGAAUGAUAAAAUAAGCAAGAAUAUACAUGUUAAAGUUAUUUUAUAAGUGUAAUUGACAUAAAUAUGGUCAGAGAAAAAAAUAUCGGUAAACAGUUUACGAUACUUGGAUUUUAAGAAUUGAAAAUAUGAAAUUUGGAAUUGUACACUUGGAUAAAGUGAAGAUUGAUUUUCCACCAUUGGAUCACAAAUCUGACCGUUGGAGGCCUUUACAAAUACACGGGUGAAAUCUGGGCCAUCAGAUCCUCAAAAAUUCAAAAUUGGCCGUCAGAUCAAAAUCCUUGAAGUUGGAAAAAAUUGGCAAUAUAUAGGUAAAAUCCCUGAUUUUUUGGGCUCUUCCUCCGGCUUCUCCUCGCAUGCCUCCACUGGCGAUUUUUCGCCGAUUUAUCGGUGCUUCACCGAUAUUUCGCUGAUAUAUUGGCGAUUUUGCCGAUUUUUUACCGGUUUUUCCUUUGAUCGAUAAUCGGUGACGAUUAUUGUUUCGGUGCCGCCCGAUAUUCGAUAUUUCUCCGAAAUAUCGACGAUAUAUCCCGAUUUUUCAAUCCCUGGUCUACCAUGUCAAAUAUCAUAAGAAUCAACUAUGUAAGCAAAAGAAGAAGAUGUAUUAUUAUUGAUAAUAUCAUAAACAUUCAACAUAAAUAAACCCUGAUUACAAUAGCUCUUUCCCACAAAUGCAUCAUUCUUGGUUAAAACUAUUUUAUCAGAGUCAAACAAGAUCCUCACUCCUGCUUUUCCAAGUAGAGAUACCGACACCAAGUUCCAACGGAUAUCUGGCACAUGAAGAACAUCACGUAGGGCAAGCACUUUUCCAGAUGUUAGCUUGAGGAGAACUUUCCCUUUGCCAAUCACUGGAGUAGAUCUAGAAUCACCCAUGAACACUUGUUCCUCUCCUUUCUUUAUAGUGGUAUAGGAAGUAAAUGCAUUUCUAUUCCCACAGAUGUGCCUAUUAACCCCAAAGUCUACUACCCAUUCCUUCAUAUUGGUGACCAUGCUCACCUCAAAGGAGAUUACUGUUGUGAUCACCUCUGUCUCUGCCAGAUUUGCCUUUGAACUGGUCUUCUCAAUUCUCUUCCUAUGGCGACAUUGAGCUGCAUGGUGUCUAGACUUGCCACAGACAAAGCAAUUACCCCAUUUUUUAAUAAUUGAGUUUUGGACCUUGUUUAAUGCAUUGGGCUUUGUCCUAAAGUUUUGUUUCCUAAACCUAUUAUUUUUGGGUUUAGAUUUUUCUUCUACUACAUUAGCUUUAGAAGACAAUUCCUUAGUUUUCUCAAUAUUGUCCCUAUUUCGGUUUUGUUCCUCAAUCCUAAUAUGGAUUAUGACAUCCUCUAAGGACAUUUGUUUCCUUUUAUGUUUCAUUUUGUUUUUAUAGUCUUUCCAAGACUCCGGAAGAGCCUCUACUAAAUAACCAGCCACAAAAGGUUCGGGUAAUUUAAUGUCUUCAAUAGCUAAGUCAUUAAUCAACAAGUGGUAGUCAUGGAUUUGAGAUGAUACAACUCUAUCCUCACUCAUUUGGAAAUUUCUAAAAUUCCCUAUGGCAUAUUUAUGAGUUCCCGCAUCUUGCAAAAUAUAUUCUUUAUUCAUUGCAUCCCAAAUUUAUUUUGCAACUUUAAAUUGACAAUAAAUAUCAAAAAGUUCAUUAGAAAGUGUACUCAGAAUAGCAUGGCUAACUUGUUUAUUUCUAGUUUCCCAGGUUGGUAACAUAUGAGAACCAUCUUCUGGUUUUGGAUCAGUAAAAAUAUGUCCUAAGUUCACCACAUCAAUUGUAGAGAAAACCCUUUCCUGUCAUCUCUUAAAGAAUGUCCCAUUAAAUGGAUUAAUUUUAGAGGUGUCAGGAUGGGUGUGAAUUAGGGAAGCUUUCAUUUGAAUUUAUUUCAAGAUUGUUGGAUUUUAAGGGUAUGGAAACAAAGACUAGCCCAAAAGACACAAACAAAGAACAUCAUGAAUAAAAAAAAAAAACUUAUCGGCUGAGGCAUGACAAGCACUGUCCUUGAAAUAGAUCCACCCUCCUCAAAGACGAACUCGGUGCACUAUGUGAGAAAGGGUAUAAAUAAUGUGAGAUAAGGUACAAAAAAAUGUGAAAAAAAUGUACGAAUAAUGUGAGAAAAUGGUAUGCACAAUGUUAUAAAAUGGUAUGAACAAUGUGAAAAAAGAUACAAAUAAUAUGAGACAUGGUAUGAAUUAUGUGAGAGGGGAUACAAAUAAUGUGAGGGAAGGUACAAACACUAUGAGAAAGAGUACAAACAAAACAAGGAAAUGUACAAACAAUGUGAUAAAUGGUACGAAAAAUGUAAGACAUGGUAUGAAUAAUGUGAGAUAGGGUACAAAUAAUGUGAUAUAAUGUAUGAAGAAUGUGAGCAUGGGUAUGAAGAAUGUGAGAAAUUGUACGAAAAAUGUGGAAAAAAAAGUACGAACAAUGUGAGAAAUUAUACAAAACAAUGCAAGACAUAUGGUACAAAUAAUGUGAGAGAGAUGGUAUGAAAAAUUUGAAAUAUGAUACGAACAAUGUAAGGAAUGUUACAACCAAUAUGAGAAAGAAUACAAAGAAUAUGAGGAAGGAUACGAAGAAUGUGAGACAUAGUAUGAAAAAUCUGAGAAAGGGUACGAACAAUGUGAGAAAGAAUACAAAGAAUGUGAGAUAGGGUAUAAAUUGUAAAGAAGCCCAGAUCACUCUAUUCCAUAUCUUAGAAUUAGGUUAGAUGCAUGCAAAAACUUUCCUAGGUUUUUCUAAAUCCUAUGCAUAAUAAAAACAAACAUUUAAAAACUUUAGCAAGAUUUAAAAAUCAAAAGAGAAAAACUUUACAUUGAUUUGGAUAUUCUCAAAUCAAAUCCAUGUGGUGAAGUUGAAGCUUGAAGUAUUCAAAGGUCUCAAUGACUCAAACUCGAUAUUUGAACCCCAAAGGUGGGUUGGCUAUUGCUAUCUACAAAUUGGAUGAUAGAACACAACUAUCUUAAAAACCCUAACCUUUGAGAAGGUAUUUAUAGGGUUCCUUAAUUAGGCUUAAGUGACUUAAGCUUACCGUGGACUUAGGUCACUUAAUUUAGCUCAAAAUAUGUCUUAAUCAAUUAAUUACAUGACACUAUUAGGUUAAUUGAUUAAUUAACCUAAUACGGCCAAUCAAUUAACCUAAUAGGGCCAUGUAAUUAAUCAAUUAACCUAAUCUAGAGGUUUUAUUCACUUACCUUUGUGUAACCUUACAUAAUUACCAAAACAUUAUUAUGCACAAAAGUUAAUUAAGAGUUAACCUAACCCUUAUGAACCAUUCCACCAAGGUAUAUGAACUCGAGUGGGGACCCCACUAGGAACCAUAGGAUAAUACUGACACAUUCAUAAUCUAGUUUUGAAGUUAACUCAACAUUCCACUACAAAAAAUUAAUUGCACCACAAUAUCCUAUGUACAAUACAAUGAGACACCAAGUUCUCUAGAUCGUGACCUAUUAUCCACUAAUUGCACCACAAUAUCCUAUGUGCAUAUGAUCAAAUGACAUGCCCUACCUCACUAAGAGCAUACGUCAAAUUACUAAAGGAAUUACUAUGUCUCCACAAAUUUCAUGAUCACACGUCCUUAGGAUCACCCAAUGGAACACACUCUCUUAAAGUCCAUGAGAUAUCGUGGUGUCUCUAAUGAGAAUACCAAUUGUUAUCGGCUUCCAUCAAUAGUGACUUAAUCCAUAGGAAAUAUAUGAUCAACUUACGAUCUCACAAUAGGUCAAAACCUCUACUAACUUUAACUUAUAUAAGCUUAGUAUUCUCUUAAGGUUGAGAGACAAUACAAUAUAAUAGCUUGGUGAAGUCAUGACUACAUGAUAGUCUUAUGUCGUGACUCACCAUAGGUUCUGUUCAAUAUUGUGCAAACUUACACACUAGUGCACUCACCAUGGGAACCCCAUCCCAAUGGCCAAGACCAAUCAUUCCUCCUAUUAGAAGGUAGUGCACUACAACUUCUAAUGGGUUACCUAGGUUCAUGAACUAGCUAUGAACAAGUCAUCUAUUUGUAAUAAACCCAUGACUUGGAUCUUCUACGCAACUCCUAAUGCACUUAAGUCGCAUUUAAUCAAACCUAAAUGCUUACAAGGUAUAAUGAAUGUCAUGUCAUGUCAUGUCAUGCUUUUAAAGAUUUUAUCAUAACUUGAAUAAUGUGAGACAUGGUACGAACAAUGUAAGAGAGAGUACAAAUAAUAUAAGAAAGAGUACACACAAUGUUAGAAAGAGUAUGAACAAUGUGAGACAAGAUAUGAAGAAUGUGAGGGAGGGUAUGAACAAUGUGAAGGAGGGUACAAACAAUGUGAGACAAUACAUGAAGAAUGUGAGGAAUGAUACAAAGAAUGUGAUGAAUGGUACAAAGAAUGUGAGGCAAGGUAAGAAGAAUGUGAGAAAGCGUACGAACAAUAUGAGAAAGUGUAUGAACACUGUGAGACAAUGUAUGAAUAAUGUGAGAUAAUGCAUGAAUAAUGUAAGAUAGUGUACAAAACAAAGUGAGAAAGAAUACGAACAAUAUGAGAAAUUAUAUGAAAAAUAUGGAGGGUAUAAAGAAUAUGAGAUAUUAUAUAAAUAAUGUGAGAAAAUAUAUGAAAAAUAUGAGACAUAGUACGAAUAAUGUAGAAAUGGUACGAACAAUGUGAAAUAAGCUAUGAAGAAUGUGAGAAAUAGUACUCUUCAUAUCCUUUCUCACAUUAUUUAUACCCUCACUCAUGUACUUUUGUACAUAUUCUCACAUUCUUUGUACAUUAUCUCGCAUACAAUAGAUAUUGUUUUAUUAAAUACAAAAAUUUUUUAAAAAAUAUUGAAUUUUUAAAAAACCAAAUUGAUAACAUGUAUGGCUAAAUAAUGUAGUUCUCUAACUACUAUUUUUUUAUUAUUUUAUUUUAGUUUCUUCAUGGAUAUAAUGGACAAAGGCAAAGGAAAGAAAUUCAUCAUUGAUUUGAAUAAUGAAAACUUUGAUUAAUAAUAUGAUUGCAAUGUGAAAACGGAGUUUGACAAAAAGCCCAUGCUAGUUUAAGAGAAUAUUUUGUAUGGUUUAAGCCUUGAAGAUGUAUGGGAAAUGGAGUUCAACUCAAUAGAUGAGAUAGAAGAAUUUUACAAUUUAUACGUAAAGUUAACAAAUUCAAUGUUAGAAAGGAUGAUGUUAAAUGAGAUAAGAAUCAAAAUAUAGCAUCUCAUAUGUGGGUUUGCUCAAAGAAGGAUAAAGACAAACAAUAUGUUUGGAGAAUGAAAAUCGAAAACGAGAACAUAAGACAAUAACUAGAGUUGGUUGUGAGACAUCACUUCGUAUCGAGUUUAACAAACAAAUAAAUAAGUGCAUUAUGAUGGAGUUUAUGGGUGAUCAUAAUCAUCCUUUGGUGGAACCAAAAAUACCCAAUUCUUUCAAUCCCAAAGGGUCAUGAGGAAUGCAUAUAAGGCUUAAUUGAGUGCAAUGCGUAGUGUUUGCCUGAGAACUAGACAAUUUAUGGAUUACAUGGUGCAACAAUUAGAUGGAUAUAUUAAUGUGGGCUUCACAAAGAAAAAAAGAUCUAUAUAACCAUGUUAAUGUUGAUUGUAAAGUUCAGAUAAGAAAUGGUGAUACAAAGGGUACACUUUCUUACUUGUGUGGAAAGGUUUAAAUGGAUACAUCAUUUUAUUACAAGUACAAUGUUGAUAAAGACAAUCGCUUAACGAACUUGUUUUGGCCAAAUUCUACAAGAAUAUUGGAUUACACUUAUUUCAGAAAUGUGUUAGCAUUUAAUAGAACUUAUGAGACUAAUGCUAAUAGAAAACUAUUGGUCAUCUUAGUUGACAUUAACCAUCACAAUCAAAUUGUAGUGUUUAGAUGUGCAUUAUUGGUAGAUGAGAGUCUUUACACUUAUACAUAGGUUUUGGAGACAUUUUUGGAUGUAAUGAAUAAAAAGAGGUUUUUUUUUUUUUUUUUUUCUGUUAUUAUAGAUGAGGACAAAGCAAGGUGUCAAGCCAUUAAGAGAAUAUUUCUAAAGUUUUAUCAUUGGUUAUGUGCUUAUUAUAUUCAACGCAAGACAUUCAUUAAUGUCUAUGUCAAAGACUUUACUUAUCAUUUUUCUAGGUACAUGUUCAUGGAAGGCACCGUUAAUUUGAAUGUGCAUGGAGUGGCAUGGUGGAAAUGUGUAAUCUCCAUGAACAUAAUUGGGUGAUAGACAUAUAUGCUAAGUGUCCUAGAUGGGCAAAGGCUUAUUUAAAGGUGCAUUUUUUUGCAAGUUUGAAAGCGCACAAAGGUGUGAAAGGAUGAAUGCAUACUUGAAUAGUUUCCUUAAAACUCAUUUAAAGUUGUUUGAGUUUUUGAAGCAUUUUGAUUGAGCACUCUCAUGUAUUCAUCAUAAUGACGCAAAGGCAAAGUUUGAGAUGCACACUCUUUUACUUCUUCUAAACUCCAAACUCCAUGAAAUUGAGAAAUAUACAGAGAUUGUUUUCACUCGGAAAUCUUUUCUCAAAUUUAGGGAUGAAAUGAAUGCGAAACUUUUUUCCCUUAUUAGUACAAAAAAUCAUAGAGGUUAUCAUGUCCAUACAUUGACUAAAUUUAGAAGCUCUGACAAGUUCUCAAAAGUAUGUUAUGGUAAUUGUGAUUAGUCUAUGAAAUGUACUUGGAAAGGGAGACACAGGUUGGUGGUCUUUUGGGGGGAAUAGAAUAUAGAGAGGGAGACACCACUUUUUUGGAGAACGGAGGUCCACACAGGUUCAGAUUUUGGUGAGGCUUUCCCGGGAUUUUCGGAAGCAGAUUCAACAGAUUUUGGUGAAGGAGUUCUCUAGGCGGUUUUUUCUGUUGUUAAGUGGCAGCCGCAUGGACUGCAUGAGGAGGGUUGACGUCUCAUAGUUACCUUCUUUCCUCCAUUGAUAGUAGCCCACAAGGCCACCUUAAGUGGGCGACACAAUACGGCUGCCAUGCACGCAUGAGGCAGCCAUGACGCUGCCAUGUGGGAGAAGGUAGCAACCACUUCCGCAUUUUUUCUAUGUAUCUCCAGAAACUCCUUUGUACAGCCCACACACGGGCUAAUGAAGCAGAUUCGGCAUAUUUUUAGAGGGGGAAUCUUGAAACCACACAACAUCAAGAGACUUGGCCGGAAGUGUGAUGAUGGGUGUUUCCAAAGAAAAGUUAUAAUUCGCCCACUGUUGAAUAUGUUCAUAGAUGUGAAGGGUCCCACGAGCCUUGAAUUUGUCACUACAUGCAAAAUAUAUGCAGAAGUGAUUACAAAAGCAUGACCACCUUUUCCUGCAUGUGAAUGUGUUGAGCUCUAUGGUGCAAUUACUAAUGAAAUUCUCAAUUUGGUUGAUAAGUAUUUUGAGAUGCAAAAGCAUGAUGUUGUCUGGGCAUUGGAAAUUUAUCAGAAAGCAGGAGAGCCAUCAAGCAUUCACCCGACAAGCAAGAGAAACACAUAGGCCGCACCAUUCUCCAACAAGACACAACAACAUACAUUCUUGAAGGUAAGUCCCUUUUUAAAAUUUUAUUUUAGUUUAAUUUUAAUUUAUUUAGUUAGUUUAGAUGUUUUUUUUUUCAUAAUUAGUUUAAUUAAUUCUACAUUAUAAAGUUCUUAUUUUUCAUUCCGAUUUAGUUUAGUGUUGAUUUUUCUUUUAAUUUAAGUGUGUUUGUGCUUUUAAUUCAAUAGUUUAAUUAAUCUUAUUAGAUAAAGUUCAUAUAUAUAUAUAUAUAUAUAUUAUCCAAAUUAGUUUAGUUUUAAUCUAUCUUUUAGUUUAAGUGUGUUAGUAAUUUUAAUUCAGUAGUUUAAAUAAUCAUGUCAGAUAAAGUUCGUGUUUUUAAUUUUAAUUAGCUUCGUCUUAAUUUAUUCUUUAGUUUAGAUUUGUUGUUGAUUAUAAUUUAUUAGUUUAAUUAAUCUUAUUAGAUAAAGUCUAAUUUCAAUUUAGUUUAGUUUUAAUUUAUUCUAUAAUUUGAGUUUGUUUGCGAUUUUAAUUCAAUUGUUUAAUUAAACCUCCUAGGUAAAGAUCUUGUUUUUAAUUCCGAUUUAGUUUAGUUUUAAUUUACUUAUUUAUUUAUUUAUUUUAGUUUAGAUGUGUUUGUAAUUUUAAUUCGACAAUUUAAUCGAUCUUAUUAGAUAAAGUUGAUGUUUUUAAUUCUAAUUUAGUUUAAUUUUAAUUUAUUUUUUAGUUUAAAUGUGUUUGUGCGUUUAAUUGACCUUAUGCUAGCUCUUGAUUUGUUAUUCUCAAUUUAGGCGUUUUCUUGAAUCUUAGUCAUUAAUUCUUGGUGAAUAUCUCAUUAGUUUAUUUAAUCUAAGUUUUAAUCAUUUAUUAUUUCGGUAGUCUCUUGUCAAAUUUACUUUUCAGAUGCCAUCGGAAAAUAGUGAAGAUUGACCUCCAUUCUCACCACUUUAGUUUGUUUGGUUGUCAAAAAUUUUACUUUAUGAUUUUGUUUACUUUUAUUUUGCCUGUUUCUUAUGUUUUGAUUGUUUUCAAAUUAUUUUAUUUUAUUUUUAAAUAAAAUAUUUUUCUCAAAAGAUCCAUUUGAAAAUUCUAUUUUAAAAAUAAUUCAUUUAGAGUCCUUAGAAUCAGAAUAUCAUUUUUUAAUAAUAUGCAACCAUGUCUUGAUUGGUUUGCAUUUUUCUCAGUUUUCAAUAAAAAUUCUGGUUUUAAAUGGAAUAUGAAUCCAAGCUUGUGGUCCCAAACAAAUGGGAUAAUUCUGGGCUAGAUUUCUGUAUAUCAAUUAGGGAAUUGGUGAAACCCCUACAUAAGAAAAUUCUUCAAAACUCAUAUUUUUUGCCACCUUUGCUAUUUCAUGAAAUCAUGUCUAUUUAUUUUUUAGGAAUGAUAUACAAGAUUUAUGUGAUAAUUGAUUAUUUCGUAUACUUUGAUCAUUUUUGCUAGGCUAAUUAUAUAACAAGCACGUUAGGAUAUCUUUAUUUUAUUAUUUAUUAUCUAACCCCUCAUGUCUUGUGAAAGCACGUUACAAGUUAUCUAUGCUAUCCAAGUACGUCCUCUAUCACCCACCUUCUAAAUUUUGUGAAUAUACCGAUCACUGUGAACUGCACUUAUGUUUGAUAGUGUUUGGGUGUCUUGAUAUUUGUUUCAUUGUUCAAUUAUUUUUUAUAAAGCGCAUGCUAGAUGAUAUAUUAUUUGAACUAACUUUGAUGUCUUAUGAGGGCGCUAAGAAGCAGUUUAGGUACACACCCUAAAUCUUCUUUAUAAUUAUGAUUUGUUUUUCUUAUUUGGCAUGCUAUUUUUGAAAUCACCUAGCUUACUUAGGUAUCCAUGAUCAACCAAUUAAUUGUCACAUUUCCCUCAACUUAGCCAGUAGAGAUCUUUUUAGGGCUUAGAGGAGUGUUACCUCUUAAAAGUACCUUCCCAAUAGGUAACCUGAUUCUUGAACCAAGACUUGGGUUUUCGAGACAUGCUUUUCCAAAAUUGUGGAGUCACUUAUUUAUGGUUUUCUUUCUUGUUUUAUUUUCCCUUUAAAGUAAAAUAAAAUAAGGGGCGACUCCAGCUUUUCCAAAACUAAUUUUUCACCAAUAAAAGCGAGUCUCGCUGAUUGAGUGGGAACGCACGUGAAAAAUGUGGGUCCACAGUAUAUAUGGGGCAACCUAAAGGAUUUAUUGUUAUAAGAUAAGAACACCAAGUUAGAGAUAGAUACAUUUAGCUAGGUUGGUUUUUAACCAAUCCAAGAAUCAAAUAGGAGUUCAUUGGUUUUAACUAAAGUACAACAAAUUUAUUUAUUUACUCAUACUAAUCCAACUUAAUAUCAAUUCGAUUCAGUUUAGUUAACUCAAUUUAUACAAAAAUAUUGAGUUUGUAUGUUUUUUUUCACUUUGACCAUACAACCAAAAUGAUCAAAUUGUUUUAGAUAUAUAUAUAUUUUACAAGUAAUACAAUUAAAUUUUUUUAAAAUAUGUGUAGGAGCAACCUGUGGGUUAUUUGCUUGUUGGGAGUAAGUCAAUGAGUAGUAUUAUUGACAUAUUGGGCACUUGUGACUUGAAAUUAUAUUAUCAUCAUUAUUAAGUCCCAAAGUACAAUGAUUUUAAAUUUUAGAUCAUGCUUAUGCCAUAAGCAACUUUUAAUUUGUAAUAAAGCCAUACGAGUUAGGCUCCAAGCCACUAACACCGAAUUGUAGCCCAACUAAGUUGGCUUUGGAUGAGCAUGGUUCGACUCAUAAAGUCCCAAGAUUCUCCACAACACUUCAAAGUCCAAGCAAUUAUAUUUGUCCCACUCCUCUACUACUUGGGUUUCUUUGCCAGUCCACUUUUGGUAAGUGAUCUAGGUUGAAUUUUCCAUAAACCAAAUACCAAAAUAGAAUUACUCAAGUAAGAAGACUUCUAAAGAGAAUAGUCUAAAGAGCUACUACAAAAGAGAAUUGGAGAUGGUUAGAGUAAUGGUGGUGGCUAUUGAAAGGGUUGAUGGUGGUGGGAAGCCAUAGCUACUAGUGAAGAGGAAGUUAGGUGAAUUGGAGACUCAGUGAAGAAGAUAAUGCGAACUUGAUAAAAUUUCCUUCAACUUUUCCUUCUCUCUCUUAUUUCCCCCACUAAUUUUUAAGGAAAGUAGUAGGGAAAAUAUUACAAUAUUUUCUUUAGUAUUUUCCUUUAUAUUUUUUUUCCAUCAUAUUUUUCAUGUCACCCAAACUGAGGAAAAUAACUUUCCAUAAUAUUUUUUUUCCCUUUCCCUUGCAUUUUCUGAAAACUAAACACAACCUUUAUAAAUAAAAAAUUAAGAAUUACAGUAAGACGGUAUAUUCUUCCUUUUUCUUCCUGCAUUUCUACAUCCACUACUCAAUUUUACAUCAUAUUUUUACUCCCUUCUUCAAUCAGCAUUCCUCUCUUUAUAUAGAGUUAUCUUCACACUAAUUCAUAAGAUAAGAAAGAUGAAUGAACCUUGGGGCAAGGUUGGACAAUUGGUGGCAGCUAGUCAAGGCUAGAAGUCAACUUUUGCUUGACUUUUUGGGAAUGGGUAGCAACGUGUCGACCUCUCUUAAGCAUGAAAAUGGCUAGAACGUGUUAAGCUCUCUUAUUAGAUGACGUGUCAACUAUAGGGCAAUCAUAGGAUGGGGAAUAUAUGGUAAUUAUGCAAAAAAAGAAAAAAAGAAAAAAAGAAAAAAAAAAUCGAUAUCCAAUUAUAUAGAAAGACAUCUUCCAACAUUUGAUAUAAAUAAAAAUUAAGAGAAAAAUAUUUUUAAAAAGCAUAUUAAACUAAAAAUAGGGAAUUAAUAAUAAAAUAAAGUAAAAAGGUAAAAUUAAAACCAAAUAUUAAAAAUAAUAUUAUUUAGGUUAAAUCAUUGGGUUUGCUAGAAGAGUUUAUAUAUAUAUAUAUAUAUUAGUUUUUUUUCUUCUUUUUAAUCCUAUCUAUGUUGUUGAUAUUAAUGCAUUGAAUUUGAUGUUACCUAAAACAAAAUUAUAUUUCAUGUUCUCUAUUAUAAGUGGACAACCAUACCUUAUGUUAUAUUUUAGAUAAAGAACGAAUAAUGAAGAUUGGAGUUGUAAGAAAUUAGGAGAUCCUAAUUUUAAAUAUGUAACAAAGUUCUAUAAUCACUCCAAUCCACAUUUAAAAAUUGUAUUUCUUUCUAAUAUGGGAGCAAACUUUUUCCUUCUUUCUUAUAAUUUUCAUUUGGGAAUGAUUUAAAAAUAAAUAAAUAAAAGCCCUUCUCAAUAUUAAAAAAAACACUCUUAUAAAAAUUAAUUAGGUGGAUGGUAAGGUCAUAUUCGGGAUAGCUUCAUAUUUUUUGCUUUAAUUGAAACUUAAAAUCAAAAUUAAAGUAAUAAUUUUUAAGAUGUUGUAAAAGUUUUAUUAAACAUGAAAGAACUUAUUGUGUAAACAAAAAUAGAACUAUAGAAUUCUUAUAAGAAAUAACAAUUUUAUGAAUUCUAUAUGAAACCUUUUUUAAAAGUUAUAAGUUUUUUUAUAAAUAAUUAAAUAGGUAUAGAAACUUUUAUUCAACUUAAUUUUUUUUAACAGUUAAAAGUCAAUCCAAAUAAAAUUUAAAUAUAUUUGAAAAUCAUUUUUAAAAAUCCAAAAAAUCACUUAAAAAUAAUUUCUGAACUUUUUUUUUUUUUAAUUUACAUUCAAAUACUAAGUGAUUCUUUUAAAAAUCAUUUAUAAUGUCAAAAUAUUUUUUUAUGGAUAAAAACACUAGAAAUAAAAAACAUUUUAAUUCAUGAAAUUUCAUUUAUUGUUAUUUAUUUUUUGGGAUUUAAUUCUUUACAAUUAUUUUUGAGUGUUUAUAAAGUAUAAUUAGGUUAUGCCCAAAUUUAUUCCUUUAACUCUAUCCAUUAGAUAUAAGUAGCGUGAAAUUUUGGCCUGUCUCCACCUUUCUUCACUUCUGACAUUGUCAUGCAGUGCUUCGUCAAUGGAUAAUAUAUUAAUUUAUUUCUUAAUUUAAUAGCAUUGGAGUGUCAGCNNNNNNNNNNNNNNNNNNNNNNNNNNNNNNNNNNNNNNNNNNNNNNNNNNNNNNNNNNNNNNNNNNNNNNNNNNNNNNNNNNNNNNNNNNNNNNNNNNNNNNNNNNNNNNNNNNNNNNNNNNNNNNNNNNNNNNNNNNNNNNNNNNNNNNNNNNNNNNNNNNNNNGAGGACAUGAGUGCUUGGAACAUACCAGGGUUGGAUGCCUCGAAUCUGAUUGCAACCCAACCAUUCGAAGGAACAGAGAUGGUAUUCUGAAAGGGAGGAUCCACCAGAUUAUAGCGCAAAGGGUCCUUAUUUCCAUCGAAAUUCCCAAAUCCCCAUCCAACAACAUAGAAACUGUAUCCAUGGAGAUGCAUGGGGUGGUGUGUCGCUGCAAGCACAUUUGUCCCUUGAAAAACAAUCUCCACUGUGGAGUUAUACUCGAGCACCCUUACUUCUGUUCCGCUGCUCGGCAACUGAUAGAUUAAUGGAAGAUAAUCAGCUGUAAAAUCGAACACCAGUGGUGGAUCACUAGGAAAUUUAUCUCCAUAUACACCACUGAUGUUAUAAUAGUAAGCUUGCAGUAUGUCAACUGUAGGGGUAUGGAAGCUUAUGUUGUUUAUACUUGAGGAGAAUCGCGUCCCAUUGGCCCCUGCACAUGAAUUAUUGACGCAUGGGUACGAGUUUACAGAAACAGUGUAAAUCAGGUUAGUGCUCGUGCUCAAUGGGACAUUGCAAGGAUGUUCCGCAUUUGCUAAGCUUCGGAGGCCGGCCAUGACCUGAACGGAUGCAUUUGUGUCAUUGUAUGCAGGAAGAUAAGGCAAGGAGGGAGGUGAAGAUGGAGUGUAGUAUCCGUUGUAUUGUACAAUAGCUGUGGUGGUUGUGUUAUCAUAAAAGUCUUGAUAUUUCGGGGCAACAGAAUAAGUUAUAGCCGCCAUGUAAUAGUGAUCCGGGCGUUGGUUAGCUUCUAGUAAGACAUCAUAGGUUUGGCCAGGAAAUAUUGUGAUAAAAUCUCGUGUCAAUGGUUUCGUGUAGCUACCAUCUGUUCCAACCACUGUCAUUUUAUGCUUGUCAAUGGAGAAGAAGAGAGCCUCAUGCAAGGCAGCAUUGAUUAUGCGAAGUAGAUAGGUCUUUCCAUGAUCCACCGUUAGCUUGAAUGUGUCUGCAAUUAGAGAGGGAAAGUUGUAUACUUAUGACUAGCCAAAAGAAAAAGAAAAAGUUUCCAUGAGGAUCCACUAAUUAUGAAGGGAUUGAUUGAUGAGGGGUGUAAAUUUGGCUCCAUAGUUCAAAAUUAUAUUUGGACUAGCCUUUUUUUGUGUUUUAAAUCAUGGCUCUACCAUCCUCAUAGCUAUAUUCCUCUUUCUUAGCAUUAAGCUUUAAAUAUGUUGAUGUUAAUAAGAAAAAGUAAUAUGGCUAACAUAUAAGAAAAUGAAAUUGUGUACAAUUUUAAAAUGGGAAGUUAAACUUUGUACCUGAUUUUGAGCAUGGAUAUAGAUCACCGGGUUGUCCAUUUAUCAAUAAAGCAUCAGAGGGGUCGGGGUCACCUCCGGUUGCAAGCCCUUCAUCUCGAACCGCAUUCACAUCAUUCUUCCACCAUUCUCCUGCAUUUCAACAACUUCAAUAAUUUUAGAUUUUGCUUUGUUGGUUAAUUCAUAAUAUGUAAAUUAACCUUUAAAAGUAACAACACUUAUACCUAAUAUGAUAGGGACCUCUCUGUCAGGUUUGUGAAAAGGAUACUUGGUUCCAUUCUUGGGAUAGAUAAUUAUAGCUCCAUGAACAGUGGCUCGGGUCCAAUCACUGUGAGCAUGCCACCAUAGAGUGCCUUCUUCAGUGGAAAGGAUGAUCUUCUGUGUAAACUUUGACCCUGGCCGAAUUGGGCAUUGUGUGAUAUACUCGGGACCAUCUGUCCAUGGAUAUCUAGGCAUGGUCACCCCAUGCCUGCGAAACCAUAACUAUACGUUAAAACUAGUACUAAUUUUCAAAGUAACAAAAGAUGGCAUGCAACAACAUAUUAUCAUAGUAACAAGAGGCAUCAAUUGUAUUUCAAUGGAACUAAAGCAAAUAACCUUAAAGUAUUGUUUUAAAUUUGACUUUAUUUUCAAAGUUAUAUAUUGUAGCCCCCUCUUAGAUAUAAAAGAAUGUAUGUCAUGCAAGCAUGCUACCACUGCUCUUUCUUUGAGACACGCACAGGACCUACCAAUGAAUGGUGAUGUUUUCGUUUCCCUUGUUAUAAACGUCGACAAUGAUCGUCUCUCCUUUCGUAGCAUAUAUGGUUGGUCCCGGAAAUUUUCCAUUUACUGUUAAGAUGUUCUUGGUGCUACAAAGCCUUUUAUAUGAAGCUUCCCUCACCUGCAACCAAUUAAAAGUUAGCCAUGCAACCUCAUCCCAAAAGAAAUAUUACAUGCAUGAAUAGUUGUAUCGAUCCAUUCAUGUAAGUGUAUAACCAAUUAGAAAUUGAUAGCAUGCAUGAAUGACUCAACGACACCAAGGUAGUAGGUCAUAUGGUACGAAAUGAGAGCCAUACCACUCCCUAAAUAUCAUGAUUACAAGGUGGCGUUAAGGCCAGAAUCAUAUAUAGAAUUUACCACAAAAGUAAGCCGACGGGUCGAAGCUUGGCAAUGGAUUCCACCACCAAAAACUAGAAACGCUAAAAUUUGCAGGAGGAAAACCUUCAUGAUCAGCCACAUUUUCCUUGGAAUAAAAGCCUCUUCUCUUGUCCUAAACACAACUCCUUCAAUUCUCUUACUGCUUUUGAUGUAUUUCUUUCAUAUAUGGUUCAUUAUAUAGGCAUGGUAAUUCUCUCGGGAUACAAUACGUGUCAAUAUAAGAGGAAGUGAUUUGAAUGUGUAUUGGUUUUCAAUGUUCUUUCAGGACGACUUCAAUGAGCAGGACCACUUCAAAAAUAAUUAAUUACGUACACGUUAUUGAUUAUUUUAGAAUAUUCUUUCAAAAGUCUUUUAUUGAUUAUUUCAACAAAUUUUAAUUAAUUAAAUAUAUGUAGAAUAAUUUUAAAACUUUGACUUCCCGUAUGAGUACAAUUUGUCAUGAUCGUUGGUGUAGAUAUAAAAAGAGACUAAAUUAAAGGAUUUUGAAAAUGUGUCGACAAGAACAUCAUUGAAAAAUUUGAAGGUUCCAAUUUUGUGGGUCAUGCAAUUUAUUGGACACUGAAUGGAUAAACAAGCCACGCUCUCCACUUAUUUUCUUUCAAUAUAUAAGCCUUGUACGUGAUGUUGGUUGACUAUUAUGAUAGUAAAUUCGGGAGGAUGUUUAAAUGGACGGGCAAGAUAAGAAAUAGAUUUUCUAUUAAGAUAUUUGAAUGGAGAUGAAAGCAUGGGUAUAGGUUUGUACUAAGGAAAUGAACAUAUGAUUAAAAUAAACCUGAUACAGUUAGUCUAUAAGAAUGGAUCCUGUUUCUAACCUUUUAACACACAAAUUUGGAAACCUAAACCUAUGGAUUGUUUCUUUCCUAUAAUGGAAUCCUAUGUUCCUUCUCAAAGCAGCGCUGACUUUUCCCUUCCUACCAACUACAAAGAGAAAAUCUUGACUAAUCUCGAUAAAGGUUUAUUUUAUCUAUACAUGCGAGGUCAAAGUUUUAAAAGUAUUCUACAUAUAUUUUAAAUUUAUUCUAAAAUAAUGUGUUUGAUUAAUUUCUUGGUCAAUUCUCAAAGUCAAACUUGUAUUUUGAAUUGGAAAAUUCUAGAGAUUCUAAGAAACUCGUCUUCUACGAUACACAACCUGAUUGAAGCUGAGCUGUGAGAAAUUUUCACAAUUGUUAGCAUUCUUCAGGCAUUUGGUUUAUUUAAAUUUUGGUAAUAGUCAUAUGAUAGUAAAUUCGGGAGGAUGCUUGCAUGCAUGGGCAUCAUGAUUUUUUUUGAGAUGUUUAAAUGGACGUGAAAGAUAAGAAAUAGAUUUUCUAUUAAGAUAUUUGAAUGGAGAUGAAAGCAUGGGUAUAGGUUUGUACUAAGGAAAUGAACAUAUGAUUAAAAUAAACCUGAUACAGUUAGUCUAUAAGAAUGGAUCCUGUUUCUAACCUUUUAACACACAAAUUUGGAAACCUAAACCUAUGGAUUGUUUCUUUCCUAUAAUGGAAUCCUAUAUUCCUUCUCAAAGCAGCGCUAAACCUAAACCUGAUACAGUUAAUCCUAUAUUUAAAAUACAAGUUUGACUUUGAGAAUUGACCAAGAAAUUAAUCAAACGCAUUAUUUUAGAAUAAAUUUAAAAUAUCCUUUCACAAGUCUUUUAUUGAUUAUUUCAACAAAUGUUAAUUAAUUAAAUAUAUGUAGGAUAUUUUUAAAACUUUGACCUCCCGUAUGAGUACCCUUCUGAAAAGUCGGGAGGAUGUUGGUUGACUAUUAUGAUAGUAAAUUCGGGAGGAUGCUUGCAUGUAACAAUUUUAUUUUAUUUUAUUUUAAAAUUUAUUCUAAAACCAUAGGUUUAGGUUUCCAAAUUUGUGUGUUAAAAGGUUAGAAACAGGAUCCAUUCUUAUAGACUAACUGUAUCAGGUUUAUUUUAAUCAUAUCUUCAUUUCCUAAGUACAAACCUAUACCCAUGCUUUCAUCUCCAUUCAAAUAUCUUAAUAGAAAAUCUAUUUCUUAUCUUUCACGUCCAUUUAAACAUCCUCCCGAAUUUACUAUCAUAAUAGUCAACCAACAUCACGUACAAGGCUUAUAUAUUGAAAGAAAAUAAGUGGAGAGCGUGGCUUGUUUAUCCAUUCAGUGUCCAAUAAAUUGCAUGACCCACAAAAUUGGAACCUUCAAAUUUUUCAAUGAUGUUCUUGUCGACACAUUUUCAAAAUCCUUUAAUUUAGUCUCUUUUUAUAUCUACACCAACGAUCAUGACAAAUUGUACUCAUACGGGAAGUCAAAGUUUUAAAAUUAUUCUACAUAUAUUUAAUUAAUUAAAAUUUGUUGAAAUAAUCAAUAAAAGACCUUUGAAAGAAUAUUCUAAAAUAAUCAAUAACGUGUAGGUAAAUAAUCAAGAACAUCUUAACAGUAAAUGGAAAAUUUCCGGGACCAACCAUAUAUGCUACGAAAGGAGAGACGAUCAUUGUCGACGUUUAUAACAAGGGAAACGAAAACAUCACCAUUCACUGGUAGGUCCUAUGCGUGUCUCAAAGAAAGAGCAGUGGUAGCAUGCUUGCAUGACAUACAUUCUUUUAUAUCUAAGAGGGGGCUACAAUAUAUUACUUUGAAAAUAAAGUCAAAUUUAAAACAAUACUCUAAGGUUAUUUGCUUUAGUUCCAUUGAAAUACAAUUGAUGCCUCUUGUUACUAUGAUAAUAUGUUGUUGCAUGCCAUUAUAGGAUUCCAUUAUAGGAAUAUAGUUAUGGUUUAGGUUUCCAAAUUUGUGUGUUAAAAGGUUAGAAACAGGAUCCAUUCUUAUAGACUAACUGUAUCAGGUUUAUUUUAAUCAUAUGUUCAUUUCCUUAGUACAAACCUAUACCCAUGCUUUCAUCUCCAUUCAAAUAUCUUAAUAGAAAAUCUAUUUCUUAUCUUGCCCGUCCAUUUAAACAUCCUCCCGAAUUUACUAUCAUAAUAGUCAACCAACAUCACGUACAAGGCUUAUAUAUUGAAAGAAAAUAAGUGGAGAGCGUGGCUUGUUUAUCCAUUCAGUGUCCAAUAAAUUGCAUGACCCACAAAAUUGGAACCUUCAAAUUUUUCAAUGAUGUUCUUGUCGACACAUUUUCAAAAUCCUUUAAUUUAGUCUCUUUUUAUAUCUACACCAACGAUCAUGACAAAUUGUACUCAUACGGGAAGUCAAAGUUUUAAAAUUAUUCUACAUAUAUUUAAUUAAUUAAAAUUUGUUGAAAUAAUCAAUAAAAGACUUUUGAAAGAAUAUUCUAAAAUAAUCAAUAACGUGUAGGUAAAUAAUCAAGAACAUCUUAACAGUAAAUGGAAAAUUUCCGGGACCAACCAUAUAUGCUACGAAAGGAGAGACGAUCAUUGUCGACGUUUAUAACAAGGGAAACGAAAACAUCACCAUUCACUGGUAGGUCCUAUGCGUGUCUCAAAGAAAGAGCAGUGGUAGCAUGCUUGCAUGACAUACAUUCUUUUAUAUCUAAGAGGGGGCUACAAUAUAUUACUUUGAAAAUAAAGUCAAAUUUAAAACAAUACUCUAAGGUUAUUUGCUUUAGUUCCAUUGAAAUACAAUUGAUGCCUCUUGUUACUAUGAUAAUAUGUUGUUGCAUGCCAUUAUAGGAUUCCAUUAUAGGAAUAUAGUUAUGGUUUAGGUUUCCAAAUUUGUGUGUUAAAAGGUUAGAAACAGGAUCCAUUCUUAUAGACUAACUGUAUCAGGUUUAUUUUAAUCAUAUGUUCAUUUCCUUAGUACAAACCUAUACCCAUGCUUUCAUCUCCAUUCAAAUAUCUUAAUAGAAAAUCUAUUUCUUAUCUUGCCCGUCCAUUUAAACAUCCUCCCGAAUUUACUAUCAUAAUAGUCAACCAACAUCACGUACAAGGCUUAUAUAUUGAAAGAAAAUAAGUGGAGAGCGUGGCUUGUUUAUCCAUUCAGUGUCCAAUAAAUUGCAUGACCCACAAAAUUGGAACCUUCAAAUUUUUCAAUGAUGUUCUUGUCGACACAUUUUCAAAAUCCUUUAAUUUAGUCUCUUUUUAUAUCUACACCAACGAUCAUGACAAAUUGUACUCAUACGGGAAGUCAAAGUUUUAAAAUUAUUCUACAUAUAUUUAAUUAAUUAACAUUUGUUGAAAUAAUCAAUAAAAGACUUGUGAAAGGAUAUUUUAAAUUUAUUCUAAAAUAAUGCGUUUGAUUAAUUUCUUGGUCAAUUCUCAAAGUCAAACUUGUAUUUUGAAUUAGAAAGUUCAAGAGAUUCUAAGAAAGUCGUCUUCUACGAUACACAACCUGAUUGAAGCUGAGCUGUGAGAAAUUUUCACAAUUCUUAGCAUUCUUCAGGCUUUUGGUUUAUUCAAAUUUUGGUAAGUAAUCAAAUAUCAUACACAACUUGAAGUGGUCCUGCACAUUGAAGUGGUCCUGGAAGAACAUUCAAAACUGCACAUUGAAGUGGUCCUGGAAGAACAUUCAAAACCAAUACACAUUCAAAUUACUUGGCUUAUAUUGAUACGCGUCGAGGAAUUGUUGAUACCCAAGCCACAUGUGAUCUGAUUUAAUGAAUCUCUGCCCUUCAUCCGAAGAAUUCUGGUGUUCUGGAUUGAUGGGAGCAAAAAGGUGACCAGUUUUACCUUGAGUCAAAUUCAAAUGACAAAAUAUAUUACCAGGGCAAUCAUGGACACCACCCUUAACUACAAAAAUAGCGCACACAGCCAAUCCCAUCAACCUAGUAUACACCAAUUUGGAGGCAGAUGUACCAUAUUACUGUGGAGUCUAUACUCUGUUGGCUGAACCACUCAAGAAUUCAACUUCCAGGAACAAAAGUACUGGAUUCAAUAUGUGGAGUAUAUGGCACCAUCUGGGUCAUGAAAAUCAAUGUCAAGUUAUAUGGAAAUAAUGUAGGAGUAGUGCUCAAAGGAGUAUAAGAAUUAUUCCAUAGGAUUUAAUUGAUUUACUUUUACAAUAUGAUCAAGAGAGAGAGGAGAGAAACCUGAAUUGGGAAUUGAAAUCUUGGUAAUUUAUUUGCCAGACUUUGCAUUUCCCUUAAUGUAGCUGCCACAAAGUUGCUGCUUUCAUUCUCAGACAGUCUGAAGCAAUUAGAAAAUGUGAAUCGGAGGCCCCCACAUUCCUUGGAUCUGUAGACACUUGAUGGACACAAAAUGUUUUCCAUAACUGUGCCAUCAUGGGCAUCUAUUUCUUCUAUACUUGAUGGAAGCUCUGGUAAUGAUUGAAGCCUCUUGCAACAACCCAGCCUAAGGCCUUUGAGCUGUGAAAGUUGAUUGAGACGUGCAGGUAGGGUAACAAAAUUGUUUCUGCUCAGAUCUAAAUAUUCCAAUGAGCACAGAGAGCUAAAGUCAUUGGGAAUUGCUCCUUCCAAUAUGUGGCAAUCACUUAGAUUUAACUUUCUUAGGGAUCUUAAACCAAAGAAAGAUGCAGUUGCCACACUAUUCUUAGAUUUAACUUUCUUAGGGAUCUUCAUAUUUAGUUUCAUAGGAAAGAUGUUUUCAAAGAAAUCUGCAUUCUUUGUUUCUAUUAUAGUAUUGACAUCUACCAGAUUAUUUUCUGACUUAGUAACAAGAAACCUAUAUGCCACACUAUUCUUAGCAUAGCCAAUGAACAUUGCAUCAAAGGUUUUAGGACCUAGUUUUCGUUUUUUAGGUUCGGGGAGAAGAACUUUAGCUAAACACCCCCACACUUUCAGGUAUGCUAUAUUAGGUGCAUAACCUUUCCACAACUCAUAAGGAGUUUUACUAGUUUUCUUGUAAGGUAUUCUAUUUUGAAUAUGGCAGGCGGAUAGGAUAGCUUCCCCCCACAAGUUCAAGGGUGCUCCUGAACUUACUAACAUUGCAUUCAUAAUUUCUUUUAAGGUCUUAUUUUUCCUUUAUGCUAUUCCAUUAGACUCAGGGGAAUAAGGAGGAAUAAGGAGGAGUAGUUUCAUGAAUGAUCCCAUGAUCUUCACAAAAAGAAUUAAAGGGGUUGGACUCAUACUCUCCUCCUCUUUCAGUUCUAAGCCUUUUAAUUUUCUUACUUAGUUGAUUUUCCAUUUCAUUUUUGUACUUGAUGAAAGCAUCUCUUGCUUCAUCUUUGUUUCUCAAAAGAUAUACCCUUGUAUACCUUGAGUAGUCAUCUAUGAAAGUUAUGUAGAAUUGUUUACCACCUCUAGUCAUUGUAUUUUUUAGGUCUCCUAAGUCACUAUGUAUUAAACUUAGUAGAUCUGAUUCUCUUUCAACUGAUUUGCAAGAUUUCUUUGUGGUUUUAGAUUCUACACAAGAUUCACAUUUUCCAUGGUUUUCUAAGGACAGAUUAGGGAUUAAACUCAAUUCAACCAUUUUCUUCAUAUAUGAAAAGUUCACAUGUCCUAGUCUACCAUGCCAAAUAUCACAAGAAUCAACUAUGUAAGCAAAAGAAGAAGAUGUAUUAUUAUUGAUAAUAUCAUAAACAUUCAACAUAAAUAAACCCUGAUUACAAUAGCUCUUUCCCACAAAUGCAUCAUUCUUGGUUAAAACUAUUUUAUCAUAGUCAAACAAGAUCCUCACUCCUGCUUUUCCAAGUAGAGAUACCGACACCAAGUUCCAACGGAUAUCUGGCACAUGAAGAACAUCACAUAGGGCAAGCACUUUUCCAGAUGUUAGCUUGAGGAGAACUUUCCCUUUGCCAAUCACUGGAGUAGAUCUAGAAUCACCCAUGAACACUUGGUCCUCUCCUUUCUUUAUAGUGGUAUAGGAAGUAAAUGCAUUUCUAUUCCCACAGAUGUGCCUAUUAACCCCAAAGUCUACCACCCAUUCCUUCAUAUUGGUGACCAUGCUCACCUCAGAGGAGAUUACUGUUGUGAUCACCUCUGUCUCUGCCAGAUUUGCCUUUGAACUGGUCUUCUCAAUUCUCUUCCUAUGGCGACAUUGAGUUGCAUGGUGUCUAGACUUGCCACAGACAAAGCAAUUACCGCGUUUUUUAAUAAUUAGAUUUUGGACCUUAUUUAAUGCAUUGGGCUUGGUCCUAAAGUUUUGUUUCCUGAACCUAUUAUUUUUGGGUUUAGAUUUUUCUUCUACUACAUUAGCUUUAGAAGACAAUUCCUUAGCUUUCUCAAUAUUGUCCCUAUUUCGGUUUUGUUCCUCAAUCCUAAUAUGGAUUAUGACAUCCUCUAAGGACAUUUGUUUCCUUUUAUGUUUCAUGUUGUUUUUAUAGUCUUUCCAAGACUCCGGAAGAGCCUCUACUAAAUAACCAGCCACAAAAGGUUCGGGUAAUUUAAUGUCUUCAAUAGCUAAGUCAUUAAUCAACAAGUGGUAGUCAUGGAUUUGAGAUGAGACAACUCUAUCCUCACUCAUUUGGAAAUUUAUAAAAUUCCCUAUGGCAUAUUUAUGAGUUCCCGCAUCUUGCAAAAUAUAUUUUUUAUUCAUUGCAUCCCAAAUUUAUUUUGCAACUUUAAAUUGACAAUAAAUAUCAAAAAGUUCAUUAGAAAGUGUACUCAGAAUAGCAUGGCUAACUUGUUUAUUUCCAGUUUCCCAGGUUGGUAACAUAUGAGAACCAUCUUCUGGUUUUGGAUCAGUCAAAAUAUGUCCUAAGUUCACCACAUCAAUUGUAGAGAAAACCCUUUCCUGCCAUCUCUUAAAGAAUGUCCCAUUAAAUGGAUUAAUUUUAGAGGUGUCAGGAUGGGUGUGAAUUAGGGAAGCUUUCAUUUGAAUUUAUUUCAAGAUUGUUGGAUUUUAAGGGUAUGGAAACAAAGACUAGCCCAAAAGACACAAACAAAGAACAUAAUGAAUAAAAAAAAAAAACUUAUCGGCUGAGGCAUGACAAGCACUGUCCUUGAAAUAGAUCCACCCUCCUCGAAGACGAACUCGGUGCACUAUGUGAGAAAGGGUAUAAAUAAUGUGAGAUAAGGUACAAAAAAAUGUGAAAAAAUGUACGAAUAAUGUGAGAAAAUGGUAUGCACAAUGUUAUAAAAUGGUAUGAACAAUGUGAAAAAAGAUACAAAUAAUAUGAGACAUGGUAUGAAUUAUGUGAGAGGGGAUACAAAUAAUGUGAGGGAAGGUACAAACACUAUGAGAAAGAGUACAAACAAAACAAGGAAAUGUACGAACAAUGUGAUAAAUGGUAGGAAAAAUGUAAGACAUGGUAUGAACAAUGUAAGAAAAAUAAAAAAUAGAUAAGAUUAAUAAAUUAUUUUUUCAUUAAUAUAAAUUAAAUAAUUAAAAUACCUAAGUUUUUCAAAAAUUUUAAUCAUGGUAGUGGGCCUUUGAUCAACCAAAGAUAGCCCAUGUAUCAUUUUCCAAAGUGAAGCACAACAACCUUAUAACAGUGAUGUCACAUAGCAAUUCAUUAUUCAUUAUUUUGUUUUCCCUUUUCAAUGUGGAUUUUCUUAAAGCUAUUAAAAAAACACACAAAAUCAAGAUUUGAGCAUGGGUCUUUCACAAUAUCUUUUAUAUACUAAUAAUUAUAAAUUAAUUAAAAUGAAAUUAUUAUAAAUAAGUUAAUUUUAAUUAUCUUAUUAUGUCUCAUAUAAAGUGAUUAGAUAUAGGAUAAAUAUAAAUUUAUAAAUAAAAUUAUUAACAUUUUCAAAUAAAAAAUAUAAAUAUAUAUCAAUUUUUUUUAUAUCCUUUAGUAUAUCUAAACUUAAUGCAUUAUCAUUUUAGUAUUAAUAUUUCCCAAUUCGGUAUAUUAUUGUCUGAGAUUACAAAUUUAUUAUACAUUUAUCAAUUUUUCUUAAAACAAUAUCAUUAUAUACAUUAUUACUUUUCUAUCAUUUUUUGAGUUAUUUCCAACAUUUCAUAAGGUUUUAUCAAUUUCCAUCUUAUAUAUAUAUAUAUAUAUAUUUCAGAAUUUUCAUUGAUAUUUCUUUAUAUAUCUAUAAACUCCAACUAAUGAUAUAUCGGUAAAAAUCAAUAUUUUUAUUCUUACUUAACAUAAGAAAGAAAAUUAUUCAAAUGGUGCAUAAAUUAAUGUGACCUCCUGAUGAGAAUGACAAUGACAACCAUGAGUCAUAAUUAGUGUAUGUGUGUGGUAAAUUAACUUAGUGUUUGAUAAAAUAAUUAUUUAUCAUCAUUUAAAAUUUAAAAAUAAAUUUAAAUGUUAAAUCAAAAUAAUUAACUUAUUCUAAAUACUAAUUUUUUUUAUUCUCUUUGUUCAUAUUUGGUGAUAACCAUGCUUUAUUUUUAGAAUUCUUUUUUUUUUUAGUAAAUAUUUUGUAGUUAUUUUGUAGCUUCACAAUAGUACUUUUUAAUAUAAAUGUUUAACAAGCUUGAGUUUAUGAAGAUAAAUAUUAAGAAAAAUUAAUGAGUUUAAAUAUAUCAAUAUAAUAACUUUUAAAAAAUUAAGUUGAUUUUACCAAAAUAAAAAUAAAAAUAAUUCAUCUUAAAAUUAAUUUCAAUAAUUAAGUAAUAAGGAUUAAGUUUUAUCAUACACUCUCUUAAUUAAUAAAUGACAUAACUUCUUUCAACAACUUCUUCGUUCUACUUUUGAAAAAAAAUAAUAAUAAUGUGAUAUUUAUUUAUUUAUGUCUAAAAUUUAAAUAUACUUGAAUUUGACUUAAAUCUAAAUAUAGCUUAAUAUUAUUAAGUGUUCAGACUAUUUUUUUUUAUUUGUGUCUAAAUAUUAUUAACUGUUAAAUUGUUUCUUUUUAUUAAUAUCAAAAUAUGUGAAGUGUUAAAUUUAUUUAUUUUUGGUUAAAAACAUUUAUAAAAGUAAUUGUUAUAUUUCUUCUUAUUUUAAUUUGAAAAGUUAUAAUUUAACAAAAUAGUAAUUUAAUUAACACAUCUAAAAAAUAUUAUAAUACAUUGUCAAAGUAAAAAUUUUAUAAUGAUAAUUAUGUAAUUAGUAAAUUAUAUUAUUGUACAAUCCAUUGUUCCAUGUCGUAUAAUAUAGAAUAGCUAUGCAUACCCAUCAGUGCAUAGACAUAUAUCUUUUGAUAAUCUAUCAUGAAUGUCACCUGGACUCUAAGUGAAGUAUGUAGCUAUUAUACUAUAAAGAUGGCAUAGGAAGAGGCUCCGGGUUUACUAGUUCUCACUCAACCAUAGAAAUAGGGAAUAUAUUGCACAUUAUUUUCAUCUAAAAGAAAGGUAGAAAGACCUUAGAAAUGGAACUUUUAGAUAAAACCUAAGGGUGGCAAUGAGAUGAGUCUAAGAAGGAUCACCUCAAUCUCAAUCUUAUGCCAUUUAUUUAUAUUAAAUGGGGUGAGAUAAGACAAAAUUAUAUUCGAACCUGUCUUGAAUUUGGUUCGAGGGCAAGAAGGGUCUUUACAAAAAUCAGCCUCAUUGUCAUUCUUAGGUACGCAUCUAUACCAAUGAAAGUUUUUACAUCUAUUAAAAAAUUUAAUGUUCCCGAUGUUAAUUAACUUCACCAGACUACAUACACUUCAUAAUCGUGAAAAAGUGUUAAAAUUCUCAACCAAUCAAUGACAUAAACUACAAUCAAGUUUAGUACAUCGUAACCCUAAAAUACCUCCAAACCCCAUUUCUUGUAAGACCCCCUUCUGAUUAGGUUGCAAAUGUUGAAGUGCAUUAUACAACUAAUUAGGCGAACAACAAGUGUCAAGGUAAGACUGCAAGCCAUACAUAUACAUAUGCAUAUAAAUUCGAAAUUGAAAGAAAAUAUUAUCAAAUUUUAAAAAGAUAAAUUUCAAUUUUUUUUUUGUCUUUGAUACAUUUUUUGAGCUUGUACCAUUUUGUUUUACAUAUUCAUUGGAGUAUUUCUUCAUCAUGGGUCUUCAUCCAUUAGGGCACCAAGGAGAGCAAGUUCAUUGGCACGUGCUUUAAUGGUAUGUAGGAAGGUAGUGAUGCUUUGCAAACCCUUGGUGUGAUUCUUAAGGUGGUUGUUGACUUGUUUAAUGUAGACAUGUGAUAGUUUGACAUAGGUAUUGGUGAAGAUGAUCUAUGCUUCACGAAAGGUUGUGGCACAGGCAAUGAAUGGAAUUAUGGUGGGUGAAACGGAGCCAAUAAGUGCAUUUAGGAUCAAUUGAUCUUGAUGAAGCAAGAAUAGGUUGGGUUGGGUAUUACAGUGUCGUUGGCAUAGUGGUGGGUGGACAAGGUUUGGUUCUAUCAAUAUAGCUAAGGCGGUCAAAGCCAAUAAAUAGUGUUUGGAAUUGAAAUCUUUAUGAUAUAUAGUUGGUAGUGGUUAGUUUAAGUGGGGCUCGAGCAAAAACAUUUAUUGAGAUGAGUAUUUGGUGUGACUCAUGGGUGUUGUGAAUAUUGAGAGUAGAAGUUACAGAAGUGGUGACAUCUUAGGUGGCCAUGAGGCUAUGAUGAUGGGGAGGAGCAUUAGAUGGCUUUGGCAUAGAAAAAGAGGUAAGAAGGAAGAACAAGUGGUGGUGAGGGUUUUCAGGUUAAGAAGCUUGAAUGCUCUGAUGUCAUAUUGAAGAAUGAGAUUGGUAAAUUAUUUUUCUAGGUUGAUUCUAUGUUGCUUAUAUGCAUGAUUCACCAAGGGUUUCUGACAAGCAUUAGCUAAGGGUGGCUGAACCCAAUGACAGACCAGAUGAAGGAUUAAUAAUAUAUUGCACUCCAGCAGUUCAACCAAUUCCCUUCGUUUCCUUAAUGACUUCUUUUGGUGACCUAUCAAUUUCUCUCUUGGAAAGUCUAGUAAUGGGUUGCCAAUUACCUAAAAGUUACUUCUGAGGUUUUGUUUUGUUGAUUCUAUGCUAACUGAUAAUCUGCAGAGGAAACAACUUGUUCGUCUGGAGAAGGUCUUGAAGCAUGCACUGUGAUGAAUUUGACCAGAAGAGUAAACUCAUCAAGUCCAUAUUAAGUCAUCAGGUUCCAGUAGAGCUAUUUCAAAAACUUCUUUAAUGCAUUAGCAUUUAAAAAUUGAAACAAUAAAAUAACAUAUAUUAUUGAUACUAUCAUUUAAAACAAGAAAUAUAUUGUUGAUAAUGGCAUUUAAAACAAUAAAAUAGUGCAUUAGACCUGCAUUCAAAUCUUCAAUUCUCAAACACCACCAACCCACCCAUGAAUAGAGAAAGAGAAGAGAACCCUAGCAAAAGUAGAGAGGUUCGAUUCUCAAAUCUUCAAUUUUCUUUUUAUGUGUUCAAGUCAUUUUUAUUUGUUAAAUGAUUCCAGCUACUACUUGGGUCUAGUAUUUCCUUGGUGUAUAUAUCAUGCACUUCUCAGUAGAAUGCCCAUAGACAUGGAGAAACAAUUUUUUAUUUAUUUGCAAUGCCUAAUAUAAAUUAAUAAGCACCUAAUUUUUUGUUUCAGCUAUGAAUGGUAUUUUUCUCUAGAUCAUAAGUACGUUGGUUGAAUUUUAAAAAAUUUAUACCAUUUCAGCGACUAAUUAAUAUCAUGCAAUAGAAAAACAAAGUUGAAAUUUGGGAUAAUAAAUAUCAUUAAAGUACAAAGAAAGUAACUUAUUGGGAGCAAAUUCUUCACAACCUGGCAUUCGCCUUUAGAUUAAAUAAUUUAUUAAUAAUCUCCUCUUUCUUUCUAAACUUAUACCGCUGUUUAUGAAAGUUUCUAAAAACCAAAGCCCAAAGCCUAGACUAUAAAAAGGAAAUAAUCACUUGGAGAGGGGUUGUUUGUUUUUCUUGAGAGCCUAAUAAAUGCAACGACAUAGACAGAAAGAGGCGGAAGAGUUGAGUCGGAGGAUCAAGAAACACAACCAUUCUUCUCUUUCAUUAGGGUUUUUGGCUGACUCUAAGGCCGUCUUACCUUCCUCUUAGAAUGAUGGCCUCUCGUUUCUAUACAUAUCCUUUCAUGCAUUUUCUGGCUCUCCCAUUCUCUUUUUCAAAGCUACGUCUUUCCUCAUAGACCCUGUUUGGUUUCUAAGAAAGUGGUCUAGGUCUCUUUCUUUUUCUUGAUUUAUCUUUUGGUUUACAAGAAUCAGCGACACAAUAAGACUGCCAUGAACGCAUGACGCAGCCACGUGGGAGAAGGCAGCAACCACUUUCGCAUUUUUACUAUGUAUCUCCAGAAACUCCUUUGUACAGCCCACACACGCGCUAAUGAAGCAGAUUCAGCAGAUUUUAAGAGGGGGAAUCUUGAAACCACACAACAUCAAGAGACUUGGCCGGAAGUGUGAUGAUGGGUGUUUCCGAAGAAGAGUUAUAAUUCGCCCACUGUUAAAUAUGGUCAUAGCCGUGAAGGGUCCCACGAGCCUUGAAUUUGUCACUACAUGCAAAAUAUAUGCAGAAGUGAUUGAAAAUGCAUGGCCACCUUUUCCUGCAUGUGAAUGUGUUGAGCUCUAUGGUGCAAUUACUAAUGGAAUUCUCAAUUUAGCUGAUAAGUAUUUUGAGAUGCAAAAGCAUGAUGCUGUCCGGGCAUCGGAAAUUUAUCAGAAAGCAGGAGAGCCAUCAAGCAUUCACUCGACAAGCAAGAGUAACACAUAGGCCACACCAUUCUCCAAAUAGACACAACAACAUACAUUCUUGAAGGCAAGUCCCUUUUUAAAAUUUUAUCUUAGUUUAAUUUUAAUUUAUUUAGUUAGUUUAGAUGUUUUUUUCAAAAUUAGUUUAAUUAAUUCUACAUGAUAAAGCUCUUAUUUUUCAUUUCGAUUUAGUUUAGUGUUGAUUUUUCUUUUAGUUUAAGUGUGUUUGCGAUUUUAAUUCAAUAGCUUAAUUAUUCUUAUUAGAUAAAGUUCAUAUAUAUAUAUAUAUAUAUAUAUAUAUAUAUAUUAUCCCAAAUUAGUUUAGUUUUAAUCUAUCUUUUAGUUUAAGUGUGUUAGUAAUUUUAAUUUAGUUGUUUAAAUAAUCAUGUGAGAUAAAGUUCAUGUUUUUAAUUCUAAUUAGUUUCAUCUUAAUUUAUUCUUUAGUUUAGAUUUGUUGUUGACAGUAAUUUACUAUUUUAAUUAAUCUUAUUAGAUAAAGUCUAAUUAAAAUUAGGUUAGUUUUAAUUUAUUCUAUAGUUUGAGUGUGUUUGCGAUUUUAAUUCAAUUGUUUAAUUAAUCCUCUUAGGUAAAGAUCUUGUUUUUAAUUCCGAUUUAGUUUAGUUUUAAUUUACUUAUUUAUUUAUUUUAGUUAAGAUGUGUUUGUAAUUUUAAUUCGACAAUUUAAUCGACCUUAUUAGAUAAAGUUGAUGUUUUUAAUUCCAAUUUAGUUUAAUUUUAAUUUAUUUUUUAGUUUAAAUGUGUCUGUGUGUUUAAUUGACCUUAUGCUAGCUCUUGAUUUGUUAUUCUCAAUUUAGGUGUUUUCUUGAAUCUUAGUCAUUAAUUCUUGGUGGAUAUCUCAUUAGUUUAUUUUAUCUAAGUCUUAAUAAUUUAUUAUUUCGAUAGUCUCUUGUCAAAUUUACUUUUCAGAGGCCAUCGGAAAAUAGUGAAGAUUGACCUCCAUUCUCACCACUUUAGUUUGUUUGGUUGUCAAAAUUUUUACUUUGUGAUUUUGUUUGCUUUUAUUUUGCUUGUUUCUUAUGUUUUGAUUGUUUUCAAAUUAAUUUCUUUUAUUUUAAAAUAAAAUAUUUUUCUCAAAAGAUCCAUUUGAAAAUUCUAUUUUAAAAAUCAUUCAUUUAGACUCCUUAGAAUCAAAAUCUCAUUUUUUAAUAAUAUGUAACCAUGUCUUGAUCGGUUUGUAUCUUUCACAGUUUUCAAUCAAAAUUCCGAUUUGGAAUGGAAUAUGAAUCCGAGCUUGUGGUCCCAAACAAAUGGGAUAAUUCUGGUCUAGAUUUGUGUAUAUCAAUUGAGGAAUUGGUGGAACCCCUACAUAAGAAAAUUCUUCAAAACUCAUCUUUGCAGCCACCUUUGCUAUUUCAUGAAAUCAUGUAUAUUUAUUAUUUAGGAAUUAUAUACAAGAUGUAUGUGAUAAUUGAUGAUUUCGUAUACUUUGAUCAUUUUUGCUAGGCUAAUUAGAUAACAAGCACAUUAGGAUUUUUUUUAUUUUAUUAUCUAACCCCUCAUGUCUUGUAGAAGCAUGUUACAAGUCAUCUAUCCUAAUAUAUAUUUUAUUAUAUAUUAGUUUUUUUUUUCUUUUUUUAAUCCUAUCUAUGUUGUUGAUAUUAAUGCAUUGAAUUUGAUGCUACCUAAAACAAAAUUAUAUUUCAUGUCCUCUAUUAUAAGUGGACAAUCAUUCCUUAUUUUAGAUUUUAGAUAAAGAACGAAUAAUGAAGAUUGGAGUUGUAAGAAAUUAGGAGAUCCUAAUUUUAAAUAUGUAACAAAGUUCUAUAAUCACUCCAGUACGUUUAAAAUUUGUAUUUCUUUCUAAUAUGGGAGCAAACUUUUUCCUUCUUUCUUAUAAUUUUCAUUUGGGAAUGAUUUAAAAAUAAAUAAAUAAAGGCCCUUCUAAAUAUUAAAAAAACACUCUCUUAUAAAAAUUAAUUAGGUGGAUGGUAAGGUCAAAUUCGGGAUAGCUUCAUAUUUUUUGCUUUAACUGAAAAUUAAAAUCAAAAUUAAAGUAAGAAUUUUUAAGAUGUUGUAAAAGUUUUAUUAAACAUGAAAGAACUUAUUGUGUAAACAAAAAUAGAACUAUAGAAUUUUUAUAAGAAAUAACAUUUUUAUGACUUCUAUAUGAAACCUUUUUUAAAAGUGAUAAGUUUUUUUUUUUAAAUAAUUAAAUAGGUAUAAAAACUUUUAUUCAACUUAAUUUUUUUUAACGGUUAAAAGUCAAUUCAAAUAAAAUUUAAAUAUAUUUGAAAAUCAUUUUUAAAAAUAAAAAAAAAAAACCACUUUUUUUUUAAUUUACAUUUAAUUCAUGAAAUUUCAUUUAUUGUUAUUUAUUUUCGGGAUUUAAUUCUUUGCAAUUGUUUUUGAGUGUUUAUAAAGUAUAAUUAGGUUAUGCCCAAAUUUAUUCCUUUAACUCUAUCCAUUAGAUAUAAGUAGCGUGAAAUUUUGGCCCAUCUCCACCUUUCUUCACUUCUGACAUUGUCAUGCACUACUUCAUCAACUCCAAACACAACCGCUGAGGAUCGAAGAAAAUGAGACAAUGGUCAAUAAAAUGAAAGUUUAAUCAUUUAAUCUUUUUUAGCACACCCCUCAUAACUGUCAGUGAUUUCCUGCCAACUUAACAUAUUGACAUGGACUUGGAGAGUUCGGUCAAUUGCAGCAGCUUGGUUAAUUGUAAGUGUCUUUUCUCUAAACCAUAAAUUCCUACGUUUUAAUUUACAAAAGCCAGUGAUUUUUUUUUACUUAAGGAAGCAGGAAAGGGUUUAAAAUAAGAGUUGAAAAGUAUGCCAAUUAUUUUAACUUUAAGAAAAAACGUUUAUUUUAAUUUAAAAUAAGUAAAUCAAAAGGAAUUGAUUUUAUCUCAAUUGUAUAAGAUUUUAUAAAAAUUAUCUUAUUUGCAAAAUAUUUUCAGAUGUAAAAGUAAAAAAUUAAACAAAUCAUUUGAUGAUCAUAGUCUAAUUUUAAAUUAUUAGAAUAAGUCAAUCCUCUAAACUAUAUCAUUUAUAAUUUUUUUGAUUAUUAAUAUGAUACGUAACCUUCCACGGAAUUGGAAUAAAAUAUGGAUAAUUAAAAAAUGUCAACUAUCCCAUUUCAAACUUUUCUAAUAUAGCAUGAUAUUUUAACAUGAUGAAUGAAAUGGGAAUGACCAAAAAUUGUAAAAUCAAAGAUAUAUCUAUUGUGGACAUGGCAUUCGGAGGCUUCUUAACAUUGUAUUGGUCUACUUAAUGAGUUGAAACAGGAACACAACACCAAAUUCUCUUUUUAUAAUCAAAGACUUCCAUGGAAAAUUCCACCAUAUCAUAUCUCAAAGAUUAGUCAAAUUCCAUUAUCUUUAUAGACUUUUAACAAUCCAAGAAAUUGACAUUAAUAAUCCCAUACACAAUAUUCUACAACUUUACAUUAUCUUGAUUGAAGAUAAUCAUAUUAUUUCAUUAACAAUUCAAGAAAUUCCAUUAUCAAUCAAAAAAUAAAUCAUGAAAGCUAAAUAAUACAAAUAUUCAAUGAAAUCUUUGGCGUGUUAUUUCUUUACAGCUUCAACAUGGUGGCAUGUCCGACGGAGGAGGCAGCAUUUGAGCUUCCGGGUGUUUACCAUUUUUCAUUAUGAACGCAGUUUCCAUGCCCCAAGUCAGAUGGCGUUCUACAUGGCAGUGCAUGAACCACACUCCUGCAACAGAGAAAAUAUACCAACAUUACACCUAACUUAAUUGUAAUAUUAAGAAAAAUUAUUUCCUUGGUAUGCAGGUUAGCAGUUUCAAGGGUUUUUAUUUUUUAUUUUUAAUAGACGACAUGAGUGCUUGGAACAUACCAGGGUUGGAUGCCUCAAAUCUGAUUGCAACCCAACCAUUCGAAGGAACGGAGAUGGUAUUCUGAAAGGGAGGAUCCACCAAAUUAUAGCGUAAAGGGUCCUUAUUUCCAUCGAAAUUCCCAAAUCCCCAUCCAACAACAUAGAAACUGUAUCCAUGGAGAUGCAUGGGGUGGUGUGUUGCUGCAAGCACGUUUGUCCCUUGAAAAACAAUCUCCACUGUGGAGUUAUACUCGAGCACCCUUACUUCUGUUCCGCUGCUUGGCAACUGAUAGAUUAAUGGAAGAUAAUCAGCUGUAAAAUCGAACACCAGUGGUAGAUCGCUAGGAAAUUUAUCUCCAUAAACACCACUGAUGUUAUAAUAGUAAGCUUGUAGUAUGUCAACUGUAGGGGUAUCGAAGCUUAUGUUGUUUAUACUUGAGGAGAACCGCGUCCCAUUGGCCCCUGCACAUGAAUUAUUGACGCAUGGGUACGAGUUUACAGAAACAGUGUAAAUCAGGUUAGUGCUUGUGCUCAAUGGGACAUUGCAAGGAUGUUCCGCAUCUACUAAGCUUCGAAGGCCGGCCAUGACCUGAACCGACGCAUUUGUGUCAUUGUAUGCAGGAAGAAGAGGGAAGGAUGGAGGCGAAGAUGGAGUGUAGUAUCCGUUGUACUGUACAAUAGCUGUGGUGGUUGUGUUAUCAUAAAAAUCUUGAUAUUUCGGGGCAACAGAAUAAGUUAUAGCUGCCAUGUAAUAGUGAUCCGGGCGUUGGUUAGCUUCUAGUAAGACAUCGUAGGUUUGGCCAGGAAAUAUUGUGAUAAAAUCUCGUGUCAAUGGUUUCGUGUAGCUACCAUCUGUUCCAACCACUGUCAUUUUAUGCUUGGCAAUGGAGAAGAAGAGAGCCUCUUGUAAGGCAGCAUUGAUUAUGCGAAGUAGAUAGGUCUUUCCAUGAUCCACUGUUAGCUUGAAUGUGUCUGCAAUUAGAAAGGGAAAGUUGUAUACUUAUGACUAGCCAAAAAAAAAACAAAAAGUUUCCAUGAGGAUCCACCAAUUAUGAAGUGAUUGAUUGAUUAGGUGUGUAAAUUUGGCUGCAUAGUUCAAAAUUAUAUUUGGACUAGCCUUUUUUUUGUGUGUUAAAUCAUGGCUCUACCAUCCUUAUAGCUAUAUUCCUCUUUCUUAGCAUUAACCUUUAAAUAUGUUGAUGUUAAUAAGAAAAAGUACUAGGGUUAACAUACAAGAAAAUGAAAUCAUGUACAAUUUUAAAACGGGAAGUUAAACUUUGUACCUGAUUUUGAGCAUGGAUAUAGAUCACCGGGUUGUCCAUUUAUCAAUAAAGCAUCAGAGGGGUCAGGGUCACCUCCGGUUGCAAGCCCUUCAUCUCGAACCGCAUUCACAUCAUUCUUCCACCAUUCUCCUGCAUUUCAACAACUUCAAUAAUUUUAGAUUUUGCUUUGUUGUUUAAUUCUUAAUAUGUAAAUUAACCUUUAAAAGUAACAACACUUAUACCUAAUAUGAUGGGGACCUCUCUGUCAGGCUUGUGAAAAGGAUACUUGGUUCCAUUCUUGGGAUAGAUGAUUAUAGCUCCAUGAACAGUGGCUCGGGUCCAGUCACUGUGAGCAUGCCACCAUAGAGUGCCUUCUUCAGUGGAAAGGAUGAUCUUCUGGGUAAACUUUGACCCUGGCUGAAUUGGGCAUUGUGUGAUAUACUCAGGACCAUCUGUCCAUGGAUAUCUAGGCAUGGUCACCCCAUGCCUGCGAAACCAUAACUAUACGUUAAAACUAGUACUAAUUUUCAAAGUAACAAAAGAUGGCAUGCAACAACAUAUUAUCAUAGUAACAAGAGGCAUCAACUGUAUUUCAAUGAAACUGAAGCAAAUAACCCUAAAGUAUUAUUUUAAAUUUGACUUUAUUUUCAAAGUAAUAUAUUGGAGCCCCCUCUUAGAAAUAAAAGAAUGUAUGCCAUGUUGGCAUGCUGCCACUGCUCUUUCUCUGAGACACGCAUAGGACCUACCAGUGAAUGGUAACGUUUUCGUUUCCCUUGUUAUAAACGUCGACAAUGAUCGUCUCUCCUUUCGUAGCAUAUAUGGUUGGUCCCGGAAAUUUUCCAUUUACUGUUAAGAUGUUCUUGGCACUACAAAGCCUUGUAUAUGAAGCUUCCCUCACCUGCAAUCAAUUAAAAGUUAACCAUGCAACCUCAUCCCAAAAGAAAUAUUACAUGCAUGAAUAGUUGCAUCGAUCCAUUCACGUAAGUGUAUAACCAAUUAGAAAUUGAUAGCAUGCAUGAACGACUCAAUGACACCAAGGUAAUAGAUCAUACGGUAUGAAAUGAGAGCCAUACUACUCCUUAAAUAUCAUGAUUAGAAGGUGGCGUUAAGGCCAGAAUCAUAUAUAGUAUUUACCACAAAAGUAAGCCGACGGGUUGAAGCUUGGCAAUGGAUGCCACCACCAAAAACUAGAAACGCUAAAAUUUGCAGGAGGAAAACCUUCAUGAUCAGCCACAUUUUCCUUGGAAUAAAAGCCUCUUCUCUUCUCUUGCCCUAAACACAACUCCUUCAAUUCUCUUACUACUUUUGAUGUAUUUCUUUCACAUGUGAUUCAUUAUAUAGGCAUGGUAAUUCUCUCGGGAUACAAUACUUCCUCUCCACGUGUCAAUAUAAGAGGAAGUGAUUUGAAUGUGUAUUGGUUUUUAAUGUUCUUUCAGGACGACUUCAAAAUAAUUAAUUAUGAUAUUUCUUACAAGUUACCUACGCGUUCUUUUAGAAUAAAUUUAAAAUAUUCUUUCACAAGUCUUUUAUUGAUUAUUUCAACAAAUGUUAAUUAAUUAAAUAUAUGUAGGAUGCUUUUAAAACUUUGACCUCCCUAUGAGUAGCCUUCUGAAGAUCGUUGGUGGCAAAGUUGUUUUCGUAUAGUUAAUACAAUUUGUCAUCGUCGUUGUUUUCGUUUGAAUGGGACAAAGUUGUUUCCAAUUUUUUUUAAAACUUGGGAAUUGAGAUUAUAAAAGACAAAGUUGUUAAUACAACUUCAGAAUCGAUGAUAAACUAAUUCGGUAUUUCAGAAUUUUCCAUAAAAAAACACAAAAAUAUAUUUUGUAAAAAGUUGAAAAUAGGAUACAAACAACCCCUUGUAGUAUUUUUUUUUUUCUCAACAAAAACCAAUUUAAUAACAAUAAUAAUAAAUAAUUAUAGAUUUAAAAGAUAAUCUGAAAUUUCUUUCAAUAUAUAAGCCUUGUACGUGAUGUUGGUUGACUAUUAUGAUAGUAAAUUCGGGAGGAUGCUUGCAUGUAAAAAUUUUAUUUUAUUUUAUUUUUAAUCAUGGAGCACAUUUUGAUAGAUUCUGAUUUAUAAUACUGCAUCAAUGGUCAUGAACAUUGCAAUCAUGAUUUUUUUUGAGAUGUUUAAAUGGACGUGAAAGAUAAGAAAUAGAUUUUCUAUUAAGAUAUUUGAAUGGAGAUGAAAGCAUGGGUAUAGGUUUGUACUAAGGAAAUGAACAUAUGAUUAAAAUAAACCUGAUACAGUUAGUCUAUAAGAAUGGAUCCUGUUUCUAACCUUUUAACACACAAAUUUGGAAACCUAAACCUCUGGAUUGUUUCUUUCCUAUAAUGGAAUCCUAUAUUCCUUCUCAAAGCAGCGCUGACUUUUCCCUUCCUACCAAAUACGAAGAGAAAAUCUUGACUAAUCUUGAUAAAGUUUUAAAAGUAUUCUACAUAUGUUUUAAAUUUAUUCUAAAAUAAUGUGUUUGAUUAAUUUCUUGGUCAAUUCUCAAAGUCAAACUUGUAUUUUGAAUUAGAAAAUUCAAGAGAUUCUAAGAAACUCAUCUUCUAGGAUACACAACCUGAUUGAAGCUGAGCUGUGAGAAAUUUUCACAAUUGUUAGCAUUCUUCAGGCAUUUGGUUUAUUUAAAUUUUGGUAAGUAAUCAAAUAUCAUACACAACCUGCUCUUUGAAGUGGUCCUGGAAGAACAUUCAAAACCAAUACACAUUCAAAUUACUUCGCUUAUAUUGAUACGCGGCGAGGAAUUGUUGAUACCCAAGCCACAUGUGAUCUGAUUUAAUGUAGCUGCCACAAAGUUGCUACUUUCAUUCUCAGACAGUCUGAAGCAAUUAGAAAAUGUGAAUCGGAGGCCCCCACAUUCCUUGGAUCUGUAGACACUUGAUGGACACAAAAUGUUUUCCAUAACUGUGCAAUCAUGGGCAUCUAUUUCUUCUAUACUUGAUGGAAGCUCUGGUAAUGAUUGAAGCCUCUUGCAAUAACCCAACCUAAGGCCUUUGAGCUGUGAAAGUUGAUUGAGGCUUGCAGGUAGAUUAACAAAAUUGUUUCUGCUCAGAUCUAAAUAUUCCAAUGAGCACAGAGAGCUAAAGUCAUUGGGAAUUGGUCCUUCCAAUAUGCGGCAAUCACUUAGAUUUAACUUUCUUAGGGAUCUUAAACCAAAGAAAGAUGCAGUUGCAAACGCCUAGAGCGUGGAAUUUCUGCAGGCAACAACUGGAAAGAGAGGAGCAAAUUCCUUGGCUUGGAUUCUAGUCCUUUACAUCCCUCAAAUGAUAAUACUUCAAGGUUUUCUGAAAGAGAAAUAGAGGGCGGCAGCUCUUUUACAGAGUUCCAGCUGCUCCGAGCUUCUCUAAACCUUGUAGGCUCCCCGAACCUCUGGCAAAUUGUCUAGUUUUGAGCAACCAGAUGGAAUAAGAGUUUGAAGAGAUUUCAACUUACAAAUGCUAUGUGGAAGAAUUGCAAGGCUUUUGCAUUCUCUCAGAUUCAACAGAACAAGUCCACUUAGAUGUUGGAUAGGUGAAGUUAGCUCUUUUAGAGCAGUUCCAUCUAAGAAAAGUUCCAACAAACUCCCCAUAUUUUCCAAGACUUCUGGAAGCUCUUUUGAGUUUUAAGCAAUCUGAGAGAAUAAGAAUUUCAAGGGAUCUCAACCUAUAAAUACAGCUUGGUAAUGACUCAGGGUUUUGACAGUUCCUCAGAUUUAAUAAAACAGGUCCAGUCAGAUAUUCAAUCGACAAGGGCAAUCCUUUUACUGCAGUGCCCUCCAAGGAAAGCUCUGAUAAAUGUUUCAUGCACCCUUGGACCUCUGGAAACUUCUUGAGUUUCGAGCACCCGGAGAGAGUAAGAAUUUUGAAGAGAUUCCAUACAGAUGCUUCUUAGAAAACUCUUAAGAUUCUCGCAGCCUUCUAAAUUAAGGAAAACAAGCUUGUUUAGAUCUCCAGUGGAUGGGUGAACCUUGGACAAACUUGUACAACCUUCAAGAAUUAGUCUCCUAAGGUUUGGGGCCCCCGAGAAGUCUGGGGUUUCAAUCAGGUGUUGGGAGUAGCUAAGUUUUACGAAUUUCAAUUGCUGAUACAUCUGUCAAAAACAAAACAGAAAAAAUGAUUAUAAUUCGUUUAAAGUGAAAGACGAAACUUGCAAAGAUUAUAAUCAUAUACCUUGAGUCCUUUCCAAAGUUGUUCAACUCGACUGUAACUCAUAUUUAGCUCGACAAGCUGCUCAGGAUGAAAAUUUAAUGGGAGGGAUUUCAGAGGGUAUCCAUGCCAAUAUAGACAUCUUAAGUUGUUCGAUAGAGAUUUGAAGUCUCCAGAAAGAAGCAAUUUACAGUCUUUGAAUUGAUUGAGCUUAUUCAUCCUUGUGCAAGCAUCAGCCAGCACAUAACUGUUUCCAAGAAAAAUAUUCAAAGCUUCCACAUAGCCGCACGUUACAGACUUUGAGCAAUCUUAAUUUGUUCAUCUUCAUGAAGGCAUCAAAACUGAAGUGUAGUUCCUUUGAUGCUGACAAGUCAAGGACUAUGCCUUCAACUACUUCAGUUCCUUGCAAUUAACCAGGAACAGAGUAUGGAUUGGAAAUUAAAAUCACAAAAUUCUAAAAGGAAAAGCACAGAAAGCAUCAAACUAAUGACUUGUUUUCUUGUUUUUUUAGGCAGUGUUCUAGGAAGCAAGUAUGAAGAUAAAAGAAAAUGCAUCUACUAAGACAGAAACUCAGGGAAAAGUUAGCAAAGGAUUCAAAUCAAAUCAUUCCCCCAGCUUUAUAUCUGCCUUUGCAUACAUAAAUAUGCAAUACCUUAUUAAAAUUGUACAUAUAUGUGAGUUUCUCAAAUAAGUUGAAAUUAUUCAAACUUCCUCUUCACCUAUAGAGCUUAUAUAUACAAAAAGGGAACACACACACAAAGUUCAUGUAUUUAGGUCUUACUAUGUUUCUAGUUAAUGCAUCACUAACAUCUUCAUGAAUCCACAAUCUGCUGUGUUUUCCAGGAUAUUUAAGAGAUUCUUGCCAAACAAUUUCCCAACCCAUUUCUUGUAACAAAUCAUGCAUGCACAACUUAUUAUCUGAAACAAUUAUGAGUGACUUAUCAACGAGAACCCUUAUUCCAAUAUCCGGAAAGAAACCACAACUCUCUAGUAUUUCUGUGACAAAAUCUUUGUCCUCCCAUUUUCAAAAGCAUGCAAUAUCGAGAAAUAUAUCUCUUUGUCAUCUAAUCCAUCAAAACCCAUUUUAAGCACGUUCUGAAUUUCCAUGUUGCUAAUUCUUUUUAGUUUGUCCAAUUCACUUUUCCAUUCAAGUAUGCUCUUGCUAUACAAAAAAGCACCUAAGACUUCAAGAGCUAAGGGAAGACCCUUACUAUAAUGUAUUACAUCAUAGCAUAGCUGCAUAUAAUCUUCUCCAGGGUGGUUAUGUUUAAAGGCAUACUGACGAAAGAGUUGAAAAGCUUCACUAUCCUCUAAUCCCCUAACUUCAUAAAUUGCACUGACUCCAUGUGUAACAAGCAAAUGCUUUUCUCUGCUUGUUAUAAUAAUUCUACUUCCUGAACCAAACCAAUCAUGGUUUCCUGCUUAAUAUUCUAACUGUUCCAAGUUAUCCACAUCAUCAAGAACAAUAAGAACCUUCUUAGAGUGGAGCCUAUCCUUUACAAAAUUGAUUCUUGUAUUGGAAAUUCCUACAUUUGGAUUUCCAUCCUUCAAUGUCUUUGAGAGAAGUUCCACUUGUAAAUGAUCUAGAACACAUUUUUGUGAGCCUUCUCUAACACUUGUAAAUGAUCCAAUAAUUGGUUCAAACAGUUCAAAAUUGGUCCAAUAAAUAUACCCUUCAAAAGGAGAAAUUGAACCAGAAAUGUCGCUUGGUGGUUGGAUCAAUUAGACCAACUGAUUUGUUUCAAUUUUCAAAAAAUAUUGCUUUAACAUGUAUGAUAAUCAAAAUAUAGGAAAAAAAACUAUUUACUAAGAAAUGAGAUUAUUAUAACAAAAUAGAAAAUGUAAUCUAUUUUAAUGAUAUGAUGACUUGUAACUAGAUGAAACUUUGACCAGCAAAGAAAAACAAACAAAUCUUGAGGAAUUAGAAAAUAUUAUCUUUUAUAUUAAACUUAUCUUUGUGUAAAAGCUCUCUACAAUUAACUAUGGGUUUUCAUAAAGCUUUAUUUAGGCUAUGUUACAUUCUUGGAAAUUAAAAAAAAAAAAAUGUAAGAAAUUAAUAAAUUAUUUUUUUCAUUAAUAUAAAUUAAAUAAUUAAAAUACCUAAAUUUUUCAAAAUUGUUAAUCAUGGUAGUGGGCCUUUGAUCAGCCAAAGAUAGCCCAUGCAUCAUUUGCCAAAAUUGUUAAUCAUAGUAGUGGGCCUUUGAUCAGCCAAAGAUAGCCCAUGCAUCAUUUGCCAAAGUGAAGCACAACAACCUUAUAAUAGGGAUGUCACAUAGUAAUUCAUUAUUCAUUAUUUUGUUUUCCCUUUUCAAUGUGGAUUUUCUUAAAGCUAUUAAAAAAUCACAUAAUAUCAAGAUUUGAGCAUGGGUCUUUCACAAUAUCUUUUAUAUACUAAUAAUUAUAAAUUAAUUAAAAUGAAAGAAUUAUAAAUAAGUUAAUUUUAAUUAUCUUAUUAUGUCUCUUAUACAAUGAUUUAAUAUAGGACAAAUAUAAAUUUAUAAAUAAAAUUAUUAACAUUUUCAAAUAAAAAAUAUAAAUAUAUAUCAAUAUAUUUUUUAUAUCCUUCAAUAUAUCUAAACUUAAUGCAUUAUCAUUUUAGUAUUAAUGUUUCCCAAUUCGGUAUAUUAUUAUCUAAUAUUACAAAUUUUUUAUACAUUUAUCAAUUUUUCUUAAAACAAUAUCAAUAUAUACAUCAUUAUUUUUCUAUCAUUUUUUGAGUUAUUUCCAACAUUUCAUGAGGUUUUAUCGAUUUCCAUCUCAUAUAUAUAUAUAUAUUUCAGAAUUUUCAUUGAUAUUUGUUUAUAUAUCUAUAAACUAGAACUAAUGAUAUAUCAGUAAAAAUCAAUAUUUUCAUUCUUAUUUAACAUAAGAAAGAAAAUUAUUCAAAUGGUGCAUAAAUUAAUGUGAUCUCCUGAUGAGAAUGACAACAACAACCAUGAGUCAUAGUUAGUGUAUGUGUGUGGUAAAUUAACUUAGUGUUUGAUAAAAUAAUUAUUUAUCAUCAUUUAAAAUUUAAAAAUAAAUUUAAAUAUUAAAUCAAAAUAAUUAACUUAUUCUAAAUACUAAAUUUUUUUAUUCUCUUUGUUCAUAUUUGGUGAUAACCAUGCUUUAUUUUUAGAAUUCUUUUUUUUAGUAAAUAUUUUUUAGUUAUUUUGUAGCUUCACAAUAGUACUUUUUAAUAUAAAUGUUUAACAAGCUUAAGUUUAUGAAGAUAAUUAUUAAGAAAAAUUAAUGAGUUUAAAUAUAUCAAUAUAAUAACUUUAAAAAAAUUAAGUUGAUUUUACCAAAAUUAAAGUAAAAAUAAUUCAUCUUAAAAUUAAUUUCAAUAAUUCGGUAAUAAGGAUUAAGUUGUAUCAUAUACUCUCUUAAUUAAAAAAUGACAUAACUUCUUUCAACAACUUCUUCAUUCUACUUUUGAAAAAAUAAGAUAAAUUAAAUUAAAAAUUAAAGUGAUAUUUAUUUAUUUAUUUAUGUCUAAAAUUUAAUGUACUUGAAUUUGACUUAAAUCUAACUAUAACUUAAUAUCAUUAAGUGUCUAGACUCUUUUUUUUUAUUAGUGUCUAAAUAUUAUUAACCGUUAAAUUGUUUAUUUUUAUUAAUAUCAAAAUAUGUGAAGUGUUAAAUUUAUUUAUUUUUGGUUAAAAACAUUUACAAAAGUAAUUGUUAUAUUUCUUCUUAUUUUAAUUUGAAAAGUUAUAAUUUAACAAAAUAGUAAUUUAAUUAACACAUCUAAAAAUAUUAUAAUACAUUAUCAAAGUAAAAAUUUUAUAAUGAUAAUUAUGUAAUUAGUAAAUAAUAUUAUUGUACAAUCCAUUGUUCCAUGUCGUAUAUUAUAGCAUAGUUGUGCAUACCCAUCAGUGCAUAGACAUAUCUUUUGAUAAUCUAUCAUGAAUGUCUCGUGGACUCUACAGGAAGUAUGUAGCUAUUAUAGUAUAAAGAUGGCGUAGGAAGAGGCUCCAGGUUUAGUAGUUCACACUCAACCAUAGCAAUAGGGAAUAUAUUGCACAUUAUUUCCAUCUAAAAGAAAGAUAGAAAAGACCUUAUAAAUGGAACUUUUAGAUAAAAACUAAGGGUCACAAUGAGAUGACUCUAAGAAGGAUCACCUCAAUCUCAAUCUUAUGUCAUUUAUUUAUAUUAAAUGGGGUGAGAUAAGACAAAAUUAUAUUCGAACCUGUCCUGAACUUGGUCUGAGGCCAAGAAGGGUCUCUAAAAUAAUAAGCCUCAUUGUCAUUCUUAGGUACACAUCUAUACCAAUGAAAGUUUUUACAUCUAUUAAAAAAUUCAAUGUUCCCGAUGUUAAUUAACUUCACUAGACUACAUACACUUAAAAUGCAUGAAAAAAUGUCAAAAUUCUCAACCAAUUAAUGACAUAAACUAAAAUCAAGUUUAGUACAUCAUAACCCUAAAAUACCUCCAAACCCCAUUUCUUGUAAGACCCCCUUCUGAUUAGGUUGCAAAUGUUGAAGUACUUUAUACACUUAAUUAGGUGAACAACAAGUGUCAAGAUAAGACUUCAAGCCAUACAUAUACAUAUGCAUAUAUAUUUAAAAUUGAAAGAAAAUAUUAUCAAAUUUUAAAAAGAUAAAUUUCAAAUUUUUUUUUUACCUUUGAUACAUUUUUUGAGCUUGUACCCUUUUGUUUUACAUAUUCAUUGGAGCAUUUCUUUGACUUCCCAAAGAACUUUUUUUUUUCUAGGACUAAAAACUUUUUUCCUUAAUCGACUUGGGAUAUUAUAUACACCCACAACCUAACUUAGUAGUUUUAAAAUUAAUUGGUUAAAAAGAAUGAAAUAAUCCCAAAAUUUGUAAAUAUAACAAGAUUGUGUUUUUACUUGAAAAGUAGCCCAUUUUGACAUAAAUGUCUUUCGCCAUUUCAAUUAUUUACAUUUAAAUUUAAAAAAAAAGUUAUGACAUUUUUGUCAAAAGAAGGACACAAAAAGAUCAAAAGUUAAAUUUCCAGAUUUAGUUUUUUAAUAGAUAUUUUAAUAAAAUAAACCUUAGUUUUAUAUCACAUAAUGUUUCUUCUUUAUUGUUCUUUAAUCCCUUUUAUUUAUUUAUUUAUUUUAUCAUACACGACCUAUUAAAUUUGAAAAUUUUAACAAUUUCUUGCAGUGCAUGCCUACGUGCUUAUCACAUGAGCUUCUCCAUCUAUACUAGCUAGGGAUCCAUUUGAUAAUUUCUUUUAGUGUCCACAUGCUUAUCACAUGGACCUCUUCACUUCUAUUAAUAGGGGUCCAUUUGGUAUUUCAAAAUAGUUCAAGGGCUUUGCUUAAGAAAAGCUUAGAGACUAGUUCGAAACAAUGUUUUUAGAACCCAACUAGUUAUUGAAUAAAAAAAGUUAUUGAUUCAUUGUCUAGUGGUCAAAUUAAUGUUUGAACUGCAGUCAAAUUGGUGACAUCAUAAAUAUAUAAAUUAUAUAUUAAAAAAAAUUAUAAAAUUAUAAAACUUAUUUUUCAUCUUUGACAUUUCCAAACUUAAAUCAUGAAUAAAUAUAAAUAUAUUAAUAUUUUAAAUUUUAUAAAUAAAAUUUGUGUAACAUUCAUAUGUAAAGAAAUAUAUUUAAAUAGAAUAAAAUUCUUUUGUUCAUAAUUUAUUUUACUUAUAUUAUAUUAUUUAGUUGUAUUACAAAAUUUAAAAUAAUUAUGUUAAUUUAGGUUUAGUUUGCAUUUUUUAAAUUAUAAUCAUUAAUAACAAAGUGGUGAUAGCCUAAACAUGAUCUAAAGGUCCAUGGUUCAAACCCUUGGUUCCUCAUCAUUUUCCUGGUCUCAUUAGGUGGGCUAGGCUUGGUAUGCGAAGGGCUAACCUUCCACCCAUGAUCCAACCUUUUAGUUGAUGAAAAAAGAAGGCUAACCUAGAAUCGAUAGACCAUGGUUCAAAGUUGUGGUUGCGGUCACUAACUUGGAGGGUCUUGCGGCACAUUGGUCUUGACAUCUUAGCUUGAUAUUAGAUGAUAUGUAAAAUAAGAUAAAUAAAAAUUAUAAAAUUAUAAAAUAUUAUAAUAAAUAUUUAAAAAAUAAAUAUAAUUAAAUAAACUUAAAAUUUAAUAAAAUAAAAUAUUAUGAAAAUUAAAAUUGUUCAAUAAAUUUUUAAUAUUGAAAUUGAAAACAAAAACUCUUUAAUUACCAAACUCAAAUUAAAAAAUAAAAUAAAAUGUGAUGAUUUUUACCACACAUUAGCAUUUAAAAAUUGAAACAAUAAAAUAACAUAUAUUAUUGAUACUAUCAUUUAAAACAACAAAUAUAUUGUUGAUAAUGGCAUUUAAAACUAUAAAAUAGUGCAUUAGACCUGCAUUCAAAUCUUCAAUUCUCAAACACCACCAACCCACCCAUGAAUAGAGAAAGAGAAGAGAACCCUAGCAAAAGUAGAGAGCUUCAAUUCUCAAAUCUUCAAUUUUCUUUUUAUGUGUUCAAGUGAUUUUUAUUUGUUAAAUGAUUCCAGCUACUACUUGGGUCUAGUAUUUCCUUGGUGUAUAUAUCAUGCACUUCUCAGUAGAAAGCCCAUAGACUAAUAUAAAGGAGAAACAAGUUUUUAUUUAUUUGCAAUGCCUAAUAUAAAAUUUAAUAAGCACCUAAUUUUUUAUUUCAGCUAUGAAUGAUAUUUUUCUCUAGAUCAUAAGUACGUUGGUUGAAUUAAAAAAAAUUUAUACCAUUUCAGCCACUAAUUAAUAUCAUGCAAUAGAAAAACAAAAUUGAAAUUUGGGAUAAUAAAUAUCAUUAAAGUACAAAGAAAGUAACUUAUUGGGAGCAAAUUCUUCACAACCUGGCAUUCGCCUUUAGAUUGAAUAAUUUAUUAAUAAUCUCCUCUUUCUUUCUAAACUUCACCGCUGUUUAUGAAAGUUUCUAAAAACCAAAGCCCAAAGCCUAGACUAUAAAAAGGAAACAAUCACUUGGAGAGGGGUUGUUUGUUUUUCUUGGGAGCCUAAUAAAUGCAACGGCAUAGACAGAAAGAGGCGGAAGAGUUGAGUCGGAGGAUCAAGAAACACAACCAUUCUUCUCUUUCAUUUCUAUACAUAUCCUUCCAUGCAUUCUCUGGCUCUCCCAUUCUCUUUUUCAAAGCUACAUCUUUCCUCAUAGACCCUGUUUGGUUUCUAAGAAAGUGGUCUAGGUCUCUUUCUUUUUCUUGAUUUAUCUUUGGUUUACAAGAAUCAGGAGUGAAGUAAAGUGGGCUCUUGAUUUAUGUUUGAUUUUUCUUAUUCAAACCUAUGUUUUGAUCUUUUCUCUCCAGCUCUUGUGGUCUAGGUCUAAUAUGCGUUGUGUUUUCUUUCUUUUUUCUUGGUUUUUGUUUGGUUUUCCAAGAAAGUGAAGGAAAAGGAACUCUUUACUCUCUUGGCAUAUUCCACUUAGGAUUGUCCUCCUACAUCCUUUGAUGCUUUAGUGUUUGGUCAUUAGUUGUUUUUAAGCCCUUAUUGAUGGUCCAUUAAGACAUUUUAAAGGGAUUAGGCGGAUCCCUAUCUUGAUUUUAGUGAUUUUUGAAUCUUAGUUUUAAUUGAUUUAUAACAUAUUUAGGCUUGUUUAGAACUUUUAAAAUUCAUAAUUUUGAAUGUGCCAAAUACCCCCUUCCAUCAAUUCCAACUGCAGCAACUGCCAUUCAAAGAUGCUAGCCACAUAUUAAACCCAUGCAUGAACCCCCAGCCAGAUACCCAUUUUUUCCUCCAUCCAUCAACCACCUUCUUACUCCCACCACCGCCACUGCUCACCAUUCCCACUUCUCCUCCACCACCAUGGCCACCACCGCUUCUGGCUCUGUCUUCCUCCUUCUGCUCCUUGCUGCCAGCGCUGCCGUUGAUGGCAGAGUCAUAAGCAACCGCACAUCGUCCACCGGCCUAGUCUCUGACGGCGUCCACGACCACCGCAAUGGUUUGCCUUAUCUUCUUCUCAGGUCUUUUUCGGCCGUUUCAGCCUCGGAUUCAUGUGAUCAUAUAGUAAACCCAAAUGGAAAUCAAACCUUCACAACCCGCUCACCUUUCCGAUGCCCGUGAUGAUCAAGUCUGGCACUCGAAAGAGAGAGGACAACUGGGUCAUCUCCCUCUUCGUGAUCCUCCACAUUGGGCCCUUCUUGCAUCGCCUUGGAUUUGAAACUGACCGGUUUAGAACCAUAACUCCUGCACGCGAGAGAGAUCACCAUAAGCCAUGCAAGGGAGCAUGCCAGUCACGUUCUCUAACUGCCAUGCAUCCGGUGAAGCGGUUUUGCGAGGAGAAGCCUCCAGAAGAGAAUCUUUUCGGUUGCGGGAAUAUAAAGAUCACGCCAGAAAGAAUAAAGAGGGCUGUUCUAGAGACUUCGGAGGAGGAGAGAGGAAAGGAAAACUGACAUAGAGAGUCUCUGUUUCUGGGCGUUUUUUGGAAGAGAGUUCAAAGAUCUUCUUUCUGUAGAAGAUCAUCACAUGCACCGAUUCAAAGAAUUUAGAGAACUUCUCGUUAGAGUCAAGGUUCUCAUCAUUCUAGACCUUCAUGAACAUCUUCUUCACGGCGGCAUUGGCAUCCCGAUUCCUGAACCUCCAUGAUUGAUUGAUCUCCAUCAUCUUCACGAUCGUGCACAAGUUCUGAAAGUAGAGACGUGAAUCUCUUCAUCGUCUUCACUCUCUAUACUUGUAUCUCGAAGGUUAUCCCGGUUUCUAUGUGCAUCGGAUCUCCAUAGGAAAAAUUAGAGAAUGAAUAGAGGUUGACUGUCAGCCCCUUAGACCCUUGACUUAACCAUGGAGGAAUAGGCCUCAUGGGUAGGCCUUGCACCCAUGAAAGCCUAGGAUGAAAGCAGGGAAAUCCUGGAGGUUUGGUGGUUCAAACUCUAGGAGGCAUGUGAGGAGGCCGCAGGUGAGCCAGACAAGCACUGCGCGCGCAUCGCGGGCGAGGCAGACACGCACCACGCGCACACAGUGGGCAAGCCAGACGCGCACCGCGCGCGCACAGUGGGCGAGCUAGACGCGCACCGCAUGCACACCACAGGCGAGCCAGACAUGCACCGCGUGUGCACCAGAUGGGCAUCGCGCGCGCAUCUGACUUAGGUGGUGCAGAUGAAGGCUGAGGGACUUGGAAUUUUAAUUUAUAAUUAAAAUUAUUAUUCCAUUAUGCCUUCUCAGACAUAUUGAUGUCUCCUCAAGAAACAAUGAAAAUGGCUCGUAUUGCUCUUUAAGGGGGGGGGUAGGUGACUCAAAGGAGGGAGCCACCAAGAGAAGCCUUGACCGCACCAAGGGGGCACCAUGGCAUGGCCUUGGGCGUGCCUAAGACACACGACAUGACUCGAGCACGCACACAUGGGCUCCACGACAUGUGUGGUGUGCACCCCAUGGCCGCAACGGCACGGGGCCUGGUGCGGCCUGACCCCUCCCCGUGCAGGCACGAGGGAACCUAAGCCUUGUGCGGUAAGCCAGUUAAUGAAACCAUGGGCACAAUGCCAUGGUCUGAUGGCUCCAAUAGCUGACUCGCAUCAAGAUGCCUACGCAAAGCACAGGGUGCAAUGCCCUGUGCACCAAGAGGGAUCAGUCAUGGGCGCAAUGCCAUGGCUCGUUGCUUGGAAGCUGGGAAGCAAGCAACAAGCCCAAGCCAUGGGCACCUAGACAUGGCAUGGGUUCAUUCAUUAGUGUGGGGAAGGCACACUGAUGCACUAGACGCUUGGUCAAAUGGGUGGAGCACGUUGCCUGGCUUAGAGGGCCUUGAUCAAAGACAUGCUGAUGGGCACCUGGUCACAAGAGGCACCUUACGGGGGAGGGGUCAGCUUGUUAGGGGGACUCACCAGUAGCUUGGCGAGCAAGACCUGAGGAGAUGGCAGUGCAGCUAGCUAGUGGCAGCUAGCUCAGUGACCAAGUCAAGCCGUCAUUUGAACUGCAGUUGGCUGAGGGAUGAUGGCUGGUGCAAGUGGGUGGCAUGUGCAGGCCACUAUCUAGGUGGUGGGUGGUUAUGCAGGGCAGUUGAGGGCGGUUCUGGCCAGUUGCAUAACCACCAAAGUUGGCUUCAAGAUUUGAAUUGGAAAUUCAAAUUUGUAAUUGCAGCUUGAGUCUUUUAAAAGGGCUCCUGCAGCCUUCAAACAGGGAGAGAGAGUUUUGGGGAAAGGGUUCCUUCUCGUAUGCCUUGGGUGAGAGCAUUGUACUCUAGUUCAGGAAGCAAUUUUGUCUUGCAAGAGUGAUUAAUACAAGUUAGGAAAGGAUUCUCGUAACCUCAUGUGUCCCUGUUGCUUUGUUAUUUCUGUGUUCUACUCUGUUUUUCUAAACGUUAGGAUGGAAGGUUGGCUAAGGACUGGUCCUUAGCACCGCGCACUCGUGAAAAAUUCAGUGAGAUAUUCAGGGGUAUGACACUGACCAUGAUUACUAUAUCUAGAUAUAUGUUAUGGAAUAAUGGCAGUUGUAGUAAAUAAUACACAAUGGGUUACAGGAUAAUGUUGAUGCUUGUUGAUUUUUUUAAUAAAUACUACAUAUAGAAAAGUAGAUGUAUAACCAGCCAUAAGUGUUUUUAGUGGCUCUUGAUUACAAGUUAUUGUGCCUUGUUCAUAUGUAUUAUUUUUUUCUUCUACAUGUUUAGUGUUGUCAUUUUAGUUCCAAGUAUAAUAUUCGAUUCCUUAAUUCUAAUCUUUAUUGCCAAUAUUUUCACUUUAUUCAUGAUUUUUUUGAAUACAUGUUAGUUUAGGUUGGGUGUGGACAAUUUGGGCUACGCAUGAGUGUUGUUAGAAUUUGAUAUUUAGGAAACUAAAUGAUUAAAUGUGGAUUGCUUGGUGAAUUAUGAUUGAGAUUGAGUUAUUUUUUUCUCUUUUUAUUCAAAACUUCUUUUCAUCUAAAUAAGUCAUUGGAUAAUCACAUGAUAAUUGGCUUUGAAUAAAUUCUCCUCAUUUUGAUUCUUAGAAAUUUGAUUUGUCUUAAUUUUCUAAAAUAAUUCACACAUGUACAUUUACAUUUUUUAAUAAUCCAAAUUUAAAAAUAUACAUGAACCGUUUUCCUUUUUUGGAAAAUUGAUUUUAUACCUCAUUCAUAACAAGAUCAAUCUUAGUCUCUUUGAUAAUGGAUGGCUUUUGUAUUUAAAACCUAUCUUAGUCUCUUUUAAGUAGAAAAUUUCAAUUUCUAAAAAGAAUAAUGCUGCCCAUUUUAUUUGGUAUGCAACUUUGAAAGGUUUUAAAAUAUUUUUCCCUUAAUCUAGACUUCUUAAAUUUAAUUUUUGACAUAUUAAAUAUUAAGAAAAGAUUUCUGAAAUGAGAGAUAUAAUUUUUUUCUUUUUGACCUUGCUGCACCUAUGCUCCCCUAGAGCUGAAGGAUGUUUACUUAUUUUUAAAUGUGUCAUGAAUGUAACAUUGCCUUGUGAUUAUUAUUUUUUAUUAAAAAUAGACAUGUUAGCUAGUUGUACGAAUUUUUGUAUGAUUUUAGGACAUCUCCAAGUUAAUUAAAAAAAUAAGUUCUUGAGUAUUUUAACAAAAUGCCCUGUUCUGAACCUACUAAUAUCAUUAUGAAAUCUAGUACUAAAUGAGAGCUAAUUGAUAAAUUGGAUGAUAAAGUAGACAUAUAGAAGAUAUUCUUUGAAAAUUUUUGUAAUGAAAUUCAACUUCUAGAUAUUUGUUUUUGAUUUAUUAUAUCCCCUGUUUUGACCAUUUGCUGACUUUUUUUUUUUCUUUUUUUUUUUUUUUUUGUAAAAGAACUCAUUUGUAAAUAAAUUUGACAUUGAUUAUAUAUAAGUUUAGUUUGUAAUUCCUUUUUGAAUUCAUUACUAUUAUUUGUGAGUUAAUCUCAUUUCUAUGAAAAUGCUUUAAGAUGCUAAAACAGGUAUGCAAACCCUCUUUUCAUAAUUUAUUUAAAUUAAAGCUUAUGAUUGAACAUUGUCUAUUAGAGUUUGCUAGUUGUGUUGAGAUUUAUGACUUUAAAUUUGACUUGUUAUGGAAUAUGUGAUUGCUUAGAAUACAAUGUGAUGCUAUUGCUUGUUAUCUAACUUUUGUGUUUUUUGGAACCGCUCAAAUUAGGUAUGCCUUUCUUCAUAUAAUUGAUGAAUUGUAUUGAUGUGUUUUAUUUAGUUCAUAGUAUCCAUGAAUCAACCAAUUGAUCUUCGGAAUUAUUUCAAUUUACUUAGUAGAGACCUAGCUUUUAGGGCUUAGAGGGACGCUAUAGUUCUUCAUUGUACCUUCCUGAUAAGUAAUCUGAUACUCGAACUUAGACUCGGGUUUUCAAAGACAAGCAUUUCUAAAUAAAAAGGAGUCAUUUUCUAGGGUUUUUCUUUCUUAUUUUGUUUGUCAUUUUAAAAAAAUAAAACGAAAAUAAGUGGUGACUCCAUUAUUUAUAAAAUUGGUUUUUCACAAACAAAAAGUGAGUGUUGCCAUCGAGUGAGAAUGCAUGUGAAAAUGCGGGAUCACAAACGGUGAAGUAAAGUGGUUCUUGAUUUAUGUUUGACUUCUGUUUUUUAAACCUCCAUUUUGAUCUUUCCUCUUCGGUUCUGUUUGGUUUCCAAGAAAGUGGUCUAGGUCUAAUAUGGACCAUAGUUUCUUUCUUUUUCUUGGUUUUUGCUUGUGUUUUUCUUUUUCUUGGUAUAUCUUUGGUUUACAAGAAACAGGAGUGAAGUAAAGUAGGUUCUUUAUUUUUGUUUGGUACUUUGGUUUCUCGUUCUCAAACCUACGUUUUUAUCUUUCCUUUUAUGCUCUGUUUGGUUUCCAAGAAAGUGGUCUAGAUCUAAUAUGCACUGUGCUUUCUUUCUUUUUCUUGCUGUCUGUUUGGUUUACAAGAAGCAGGAAUGAAGUGCAGUGCAUUCUUGAUUUCUAUUUGGUUUCGAAUAAAGUGAAGGAAAAUGAUGUCUUGCUUGUUAUAUAAUCAUUGAUAAGACGCCCAGGGUAAGAACCUCAUAUUCCUAAAAACAUGCUUACCAAUGAUUUUGCUUGAGCUCUUAGAAAUAAUCUCAAAUAAUCUCACUUAAAGCUCUCAAAUAGUAAUCUAUGUCCACCAUGAUAAGACAUGAUGAAAUAAGCCCCACAAAAAUAGUAUUUCAGUGCCAUUAUUUGAACCCAAGAUGAGCCCCAUGGCUCUAUCGUUUGCCUUUCUCAAGCAAACCCUACAAAGUGAAGGCUUCUUUUCUAUUAUUUAACUGUGGAGUGAGGUAACCACAAGGGAGAACCAUCAAGUAGACGCUAUCUCUUUUGCUUUCACUCUUUAUCACUGCUUUAAGUCUAAUUAUGCCUUAGAAGUAGAAACUAUGCACUAACCAUUCUCAGGUCCCACAACCCACUAUUCAUAAGCAUCAGAGUGAUGCUGUGCAUGAAGAUACUUGUACAAGGGUUUUAUGUCAUGCAACUUUCGGUGAAUCCAAUAUGUUACGAACUCCACAAAAACAAUAUAUGCCAUGAUGUACACCAAGUAGGCAAACCAGCCAACUUCACUUAUUCUUGAAAAGCACUUUGUCCACCCAUUUUCGACUGCAUACUCUGAAAAUGUUGGGAGAGCAGCAAACCAGGGAAAACUCCUCAUGGAAGCUUUGACGUGCAAAACAAAAAUGCACUAUUGGAAUAACAUGUAAUUAAGAGCUCAAGAAGACAUGCCAUUCCCUAAUGAAACAACGCUAAGCACUAUUGGAAUAAGCACGCAUUUAAACAAAACUGACAUAGAGAGUCUCUGUUUCUGGGCGUUUUUUGGAAGAGAGUUCAAAGAUUUUCUUUCUGUAGAAGAUCAUCACAUGCACCGAUUCAAAGAAUUUAGAGAGCUUCUCAUUAGAGUCAAGGUUCUCGUCAUUCUAGACCUUUAUGAACAUCUUCUUCACGGCAGCAUUGGCAUCCCGAUUCCUGAACCUCCAUGAUUGAUUGAUCUCCAUCAUCUUCACGAUCUUCACGAUCGUGCACUAGUUCUGAAAGAAGAGACGUGAAUCUCUUCAUCGUCUUCACUCUCUAUACUUGUAUCUCGAAGGUUAUCCCGGUUUCUAUGUGCAUCGGAUCUCCAUAGAUGAACUCGGAUUUUGCAUUGAUCUGAAUCUCAAGCAUGCAUUAUUUCCAUAUUGUGCUGCCAAACUUGGUGUUUUUCUUCAUUUAUUCUUCACCACAACAGUUGGACAUAAAGGUUAGUCUCAAUGAAUCUUUACCAUUUGAAUUAGUUUAUUAAUGAUUUUUAAGUUAUUCAUUGAUGAAGUUAAGGCUAAUAGAUGAAAUUGGUUUGUUGAUUUUGAAACUCACGGCUGUUUGUGACAUGCUUUUAUCAAAAUUAGAGAAUGAAUAGAGGCUGACUAUGAUUACUAUAUCUAGAUAUAUGUUAUGGAAUAAUGGCAGUUGUAGUAAAUAAUACACAAUGGGUUACGGGAUAAUGUUGAUGCUUGUUGAUUUUUUUAAUAAAAGCUACAUAUAGAUAAGUAGAUGUAUAACCAGCCAUAAGUGUUUUUAGUGGCUCUUGAUGACAAGUUAUGAUGCCAUGUUCAUAUAUAUAUAUAUAUUAAUUUUUUCUUUUUUUAAUCCUAUCUAUGUUGUUGAUAUUAAUGCAUUGAAUUUGAUGUUACCUAAAACAAAAUUAUAUUCAUGUCCUCUAUUAUAAGUGGACAACCAUUCUUUAUGUUAGAUUUUAGAUAAAGAACGAAUAUUGAAGAUUGGAGUUGUAAGAAAUUAGGAGAUCCUAAUUUUAAAUAUGUAACAAAGUUCUAUAAUCACUUCAAUCCACAUUUAAAAAUUGUAUUUCUUUCUAAAAUGGGAUCAAACUUUUUCCUUCUUUCUUAUAAAUUUCAUUUGGGAAUGAUUUAAAAAUAAAUAAAUAAAAGCCCUUCUAAAUAUUAAAAAAACACUCUCUUAUAAAAUUUAAUUAGGUGGAUGGUUAGGUCAAAUUCGGGAUAGCUUCAUAUUUUUUGCUUUAACUGAAAAUUAAAAUCAAAAUUAAAGUAAUAAUUUUUAAGAUGUUGUAAAAGUUAUAUUAAACAUGAAAGAACUUAUUGUGUAAACAAAAAUAGAAUUAUAGAAUUCUUAUAAGAAAUAACAUUUUUAUGACUUCUAUAUGAAACUUUUUAAAAAAUUUAUCAGUUUUUCUUUUUAAAAAAUAAUUAAAUAGGUAUAAAAAACUUUUAUUCAACUUAAUUUUUUUUAACUCUUGAAAGUAAAUCCAAAUAAAAUUUAAAUAUAUUUGAAAAUCAUUUUCAAAAAUCCAAAAAAUCACCUAAAAAUAAUUUCAAAUUUUUUUUAUUUACAUUUAAAUACUAAGUGAUUCUUUUAAAAAUCAUUUGUAAUGUCAAAAUAUUUUUUUAUGGAUAAAAAUAUUACAAAUAAAAAACAUUUCAAUCACAAUUAAUUUAUUUUUAAUUCAUGAAAUUUCAUUUAUUGUUACUUAUUUUUUGGGAUUUAAUUCUUUACAAUUAUUUUUGAGUGUUUACAUAGAAUAAUUAGGUUAUGCCCAAAUUUAUUCCUUUAACUCUAUCCAUCAGAUAUAAGUAUCGUGAAAUUUUGGCCUGUCUCCACCUUUCUUCGCUUUUGACAUUGUCAUGCACUGCUUCCUCAACUCCAAACACAACCGCUGAGGAUCGAAGAAAAUGAGACAAUGGUCAAUGAAUAAUUUAUUAAUUUUUUUCUUAAUUUAAUAGCAUUGGAAUGUCAGUUGGAACAAACCAUUUGAUGAUCUUUUUCAUAAGUAUCCAUUUAGAUCAUAGUCUUUUUAAAAUAUUAGAAUAAAUCAAUUAGUCUAAGCUAUAUCAUUUAUAAUUUUUUUAUUAUUAAUAUGAUACCUAUCCUUUCACGGAAUUGAAAUAAAAUAUGAAUAAUUAAAAAAUGUCAACUAUCCAUGAUAUUUGAUACCAAACUUUUCUAAUACAACAUGAUAUCAUGUUGAAUGAAAUGGGAAUCACCAAAUGUUCUCAAAUCAAAGAUAUAUCUACAGGGGACACGUCAAAUUCUCUUUUUAUAAUCAAAGGCUUCCAAAAAAAUUCAACCAUAGCAUAUCUCAAAGAUUAGUCAAAUUCCAUUAUUUUUAUAGACUUCUAACAAUUCAAGAAAUUGACAUUAAUAAUCCCAAACACAAUAUUCUGCAACUUUACAUUAUUCUUUUUAUUGUAAUUGAAGAGGAAUACCAACUUAGUCAAAUAGAAAAUAAAUCAUGAAAGCUGAAUAAUACAAAUAUUCAGUGAAAUCUUUGGCAUGUUAUUUCUUUGCAGCUUCAACAUGGUGGCAUGUCGGAUGGAGGAGGCAGCAUUUGAGCUUCUGGGUGUUUACCAUUUUUCACUAUGAAUGCAGUUUCCAUGCCCCAAGUCACAUGGCGUUCUACAUGGCAAUGCAGGAACCACACUCCUGCAACAGAGAAAAUAUAUCGAGAUUACACCUAACUUAAUUGUAAUAUUAAAAAAAAAUUAUUUCAUUGGUAUGCAAGUUGGCAGUAUCAAGGGUUUUUUUCUUUAAUAGAGGACAUGAGUGCUUGCAACGUACCAGGGUUGGAUGCCUUGAAUCUGAUUGCAACCCAACCUUUCGAAGGAACAGAGAUGGUAUUCUGAAGGGGAGGAUCCACCAAAUUAUAGUGCAAAGGGUCCCUAUUUUCAUCGAAAUUCCUAAAUCCCCAUCCAACAACAUAGAAACUGUAUCCAUGGAGAUGCAUAGGGUGGUGUGUCUCUGCAAGCACGGCUGUCCCUUGAAGAACAAUCUCCACUGUGGAGUUAUACUCGAGCACCCUUACUUCUGUUCCACUGCUCGGCAACUGAUAGAUUAAUGGAAGAUAAUCAUAUGUAAAAUCGAACACUAGUGGUGGAAAGCUAGGAAAGUUAUUUCCAUAUACACCACUGAUGUUAUAAUAGUAAGCUUCCAGUAUGUCAACCGUAGGGGUAUGGAAGCUUAUGUUGUUUAUACUUGAGGAGAACCGCGUCCCAUUUGGCCCUGCACAUGAAUCAUUGACGCAUGGGUACGAGUUCAUAGAAAGAGUGUAAAACAACUUAGUGCUCGUGCUCAAUGGGACAUUGCAAGGAUGUUCCGCAUUUGCUAAGCUUCGGAGGCCGGCCAUGACCUGAACUGAUGCAUCUGUGUCAUUGUAUGCAGGAAGAUGAGGCAAAGAGGAGGUGAAGAUGGAGUGUAGUAUCCCCUAUAUUGUACAAUAGCUGUGGUGGUUGUGUUAUCAUAAAAGCCUUGAUAUUUCGGGGCAACAGAAUAAGUUAUAGCCGCCAUGUAAUAGUGAUUUGGGCGUUGGUUAGCUUCUAAUAAGACAUCAUAGGUUUGGCCAGGAAAUAUUGUGAUAUAAUCUCGUGUCAAUGGUUUCGUGUAGCUACCAUCUGUUCCAACCACUAUCAUUUUAUGCUUGGCUAUGGCGAAGAAGAGAGCCUCAUGCAAGGCAGCAUUGAUUAUGCGAAGUAGAUAGGUCUUUCCAUGAUCCACCGUUAGCUUGAAUGUGCCUGUAAUUAGAAAGGGAAAGUUGUAUACUUAUGACUAGCAAAAAGAAAAAGAAAAAUUUUCCAUGAGAAUCCACCAAUUAUG